rnacentral:lncRNA from 1 species
GAUAAUAUAUAUGAAUAUUAUACAACAUUAUUAAUUAGAACUUAAUAACUAUUUCUUAAGGAAGAUGCUUGAAGAGGAAAAUUUAAUAUAAAUUUCAAAGUGCAAUUGGUUCAAUAAGCAAUGAAGUGAUUCCACCCUUAGCCGCUUUUCCAACAUAUGUAUAUCCAUCUCCUUCCCUGUAAAGUACAUCCAUCACCCUUGCAAGGUUUAGGCUACGAUUUAAAACUUCUGUUGGCAUUUCUGUUGGUUUCUGAAACUCUUGAUUCACAUUCUUCCAGGCACUCUCAACAUGCUUGUUGAAUACAUCGUAUGCCUCUUGUGCUGAUACGCCAUAUUCUUCCAUGUAACACUCUAUUGCUGAGCAAUCGUCUUCUCUCCUAUGCUUAAACUGCAGCCAUAAUAAAAUCAAAAUUAUUCUAUCACUAUAUACCCUAAAAUCUAUCAGUUUAUUAAACUACCUUUGUUUGUGACGAUAAAAUACAUUUAUUGACAAUACUUCCUCACUAAAAGCCCUAAAAUGAAACUAGAUUUCUUUUUUUAUUCUUCAAUUUGAGGCUAAACAUUUUAUAUAUAAACAUUAAACUUUAAUUUUUUUUAGAUCAUGACAAAAACCAUCGUUUGAUUUUGUUACAAAGACAUUGAAUUAUUUAGUUAAGAGUUUGGUUUCUUGUGGUUAUCUAAAUAUAUUAUUAUACCUUGUGUUCCGCAACAUCAUCCAUAAACCUACAAAUAAUUGUGGAAGCUUGAAUGAUCUUAGGGUCAUUGGCUGCCCAUUUAAAGGUCUCUGGUGUUACGAUAUCUCCCAUGCCGACGAAAGAUGUAAUAGCAAGCAUGGCAUAACCACAAGUUGGCAAUGCAUUAGCCUUAAACUCUUCGAAUGAUGGUUUGUAGUUUUGAAGAGUCCAUCUGGCCUCCACAAGAUAAGAUUGAGCAAGUCGUAUCAUCUGAGGCGACAAAAUCCCAACAAUUAUCACUAAUAUCAAUUCAAAUUCGAUAAUAAUAUUUAAAUGAUUAUAUAUUGUUAUUCGAGUUAGUUGUUUAUUCAAAUCUAGAAUUUAGCUAAGAUCUUAUCUCUUUUGUACAAAAUAAAUGUUUGUUGAUGUACAUACCGCAUUUUUCGCAUAUUCGACACGAUAUUGUCUCCCAUGCUCAGCCACCAGUUGUUCCAUUUCUUCAUAAACAUCUAAUAGUGCCUUGUAGCUCGGCUUCAUGUAUUCAGGAAGUUCAUCUAUGCAUUUGAUAUCCCACCUGAAUCCAACUUCAACGUUAUAUUUAAUCAUUCCUCGUAAUAUAUUAUUGAAUGUUAACUUCAACUAAAGAAACCUAACCUAUUACCAACAAAAUUAAAGAAAUCUAACCUCUCAAUUGCAUUUGUAUAUGGAAUGAGCUCUUCAUAUGUUGCAUAUGAGUCAUAUGUAUCAUCUACAAUAGAUGCCAUUGCUAUCACUUUUGUCAACAUCUUUCUACCAAGUGAAUAUUGGGGCUCAAAGUACACUCCUGAGAUCCAAAAGUAGCCUUCAACCACUCUAUCUCUUGCAUAUGGCAACUUUCUUUGAAAGUCUAAAUCUUUCCACCACCUAAAAAAUGAUAUCAUAAAAAACCCCAUUAGCACAAUGAAUAUUCAAUGUUUCAAUUAGUUUCACAUUCAUGUUGUUAGAUUUAAGUCAAUUGGCAACCUCAAAUAUUAAAAUAUAUAUAAGUAAAAUGAUAUAGGUGAAAAAGAUGAAUCCAAGGUUCAUGCCAUCACUUUUAACUUGUACUAUUUAAUAAGAUUCAAAUAUUAGCAUUUGCAACUUGUCUCCUAUACUGAGAAUGAUGUCUCCAAUAAAUUCAACCCUCCUUCCACUAAUAAAUAAAUAAAUAAAUAAGAUGAAAAAGAAAAAAUGGGUGAAAGAGAUUAAAAAACAUACCUACAAAUCUCGCUUAGCUCUUUCCUAUGCAAAAAUUGUAACAUGUUGAAGUCGAUCUUAGCAAACUCCAACAAAGCCUUAUUAUGGGACUCAAUAUCUUGGUAUACUGAAAGAUAGUGCCUUGCCUCAACCCUUGGCAAGCCUCUUCGAAUUGAUUGUUUCAAAGCAUGAGAAACCUCUUCGGACAAAGGAUGGUCCAAAGAUGAUACUGCAAGGCUUAAAUGGUUGGUGGUGAAAGAAAUUGCUUCAUCCAAUAUAUCUUCCCCAUGAACCCUCAAAUAGGAAGCUUGGUAAAGUUCCAACAAUCCUUGAACAUCGCUUGUCACGGAUGACUUGAAAUUCCCUUGCUCGUCUUUAAACUUGUUGAAUACGUCUGACAUGAAAUUACCCAAAAUGAAACAUCGUUAUCAAACAUUCCAUGCUAUUAUAUUCUCAAGAAACUUAAAAACACUAUGUUUCUGUUCCAAUAAUUACCGCAUGAAACAUUGUAUCCAUGCUCUCGGAGUAGUCGGAAUCGAAGAGAUGUAGUGUAGAGGUCGUUCUCGGCAUCAUUGUUGUUAUGGUAGAUAUUCUCUAGUUCAUCUUCGAUCUCCUUGGUGAAAUGGUAACUCACACCCAGUCUUUGGACUGAAUCAAUGAAGGCUAACUUUUGGGUCGAAUUAGCCAUUGGUGCCACAAUCAUCUUCCUCACUUCUUCUUUCAAUUGUUGGUGGCGUUUUUCAGUUCCAGCAUCAAUAUUCUGCUCAAAACAAUGAAAAUUUUCUUCAUAUUGAAUCACUAAAUAAUUAAACAAAUAAUAUGUUAAGAUUAUAUCAAUAUGGUGAUAUGUAUGUAUACCUUGUCGGGACAAUUGAGGAAGAAAUCUCCCCAAAUGCUAGGCUGAAAAUCGGCUUUGGGACGGAUUUCAUCCUUAUUGGAAGAAAGGGGUGAUGAAGAAGGCAUUUGAGAAACUUGAGAAGCCAUUUCGAUUGAUCAAAAGCAGAUAUUGAAAAGCUGAAUUUGCAGCCUUUUCUUGGUUUGCUCUUGAAAUUUGGCACAGAAUUUGUGUGAGCAUAAGAGUGCAAUUGUUGCAUGUAUUUAUAGGUAAGAAAAAUAGUGGUGAUAUUUGAAGUCAAAAAAGGAGAACUUAAAUUCAAGAAAACAAAGUGCAUGAGAAAUACAAAUAGAUUAAAAGAAAUGUUGAUUUGUCUUUUGUUUGAUUCUUUUGAUUCAAAGUUGAUGUCUGUAAAAAAUGUUUAAAUAUCCUCUAUUUACUUUAAACUUUUGCAGUUCGAUCAAAAUGUUUGAGGGCAUGAAUGAUAUUUAUUCUUUUCUCUGCUUUUGACAUACUCUUCACAAAACUUUUGUCCAGUAAUCUUAUAUUAAUUUCUUAGGAAAUAUGAUUGGAAAGAAAGAACAAUACGACUCUAUAGUAUUCAAAAUACUGACUUAUUUUGAUAUAAAGUUUUAAAAUUUUACUUUAAAAAAAUGUUUGUCAUGUUUCUUUUAAUCCUUAGUGAUCAAAUGUAUUUGUUUACUUGUUAUCAUUUUAAAAUAAAUAAAUUUGUUACUUAUUUGACCCACUCUCUUUAGGAUAUCAGAAUUGUUUUUAAAUGGAUGAAUUUAAAAACUAAGAAAAGAAAUUGUUUAUAUGUAUCAUUCUUAAAAUUCUAAACAUCAAAUAUUUUAUAAUUAUUUUUUUAAAAAUUAAUAAAAAUAAUAACGAAGAGAUUAAAAAUUAAUAAAAAUUAAAGUAGUUUUAUACACUUUUAUAAUUAUUUAUAUAAUUAAUAUUUUAACGAUAAAACCGUUAUGUUUUAUGGUUUAUUCCUUUAAAUCAUGCAUAAUAAAUUUUAUAUAAAUUUAAUUUAUUUUAUGUAAAAAAUUCAACCAUCAAAUAUAUAUUAAAUAUAUUAAGUAUUUUUUAUAUGAAAAUAAAAAUUGAAUGAAGUCGGUUAAGCAUCUGAAAGUAUUUGCCUUUCUUUUCUGCCUUUUUACAACUGAUUUUUCAUGGAUUUUUAUAGAGCAUGUCAGGUUUGACCAAGGAUUUGUUUACAAUUCACCAUAAACACAUUAGACGCAAUGUUCUCAAGCAUAAUACAAGUUAAGCUGAUGUAAGGAACAUGUAGUGAUUCAAUGCAUAUAUAGUUUAUUCAUGAUGCAAAUGCAAUUAUAAAUUUAAUUUCCAACCUGUCCAUCUUAAUCGCCAUCAAGCAUCGCUCGACACACCAAAACACAUAAAAAAAACUAACCAUCUCGGAUUUGAUUUCCGAUGACGAUGGUCGUUCACUUGUCAUAUGUGACGAUGACUUUUACAACAAUAACUUACCAUCUCAGUUACCCGAUUUUUUAUGGCUUUUUAAACUAUCAUCCUGAUUUAUCCAGUUUUGAUGACAUAGCCACCUACUCUGUGCAAUACUGACUUUUGGUGUGGACUUGAAUUGCCACUAUCUCCUAUGGAACUCCUUCGACCUUCUUACCUAAAUUCAUGUAAUUAUGCACAUACAAUUAGCAUAUUAUGCUAUUUAUCAUCUUUCAAUGCUUCAUUUGAUAUUUCAUACUAUCAUUUAAUGGCAUGUGAUCAUUCAUUCAUUCCCAUCAAUUUCACAUAUACAAUUAAUUUAAGUGAUCUAAAACAAUUUCACAUAUACAAUAUCUUCAUGCGUAUUAACAUUCUUAGUUCGGCUAACACAUACAUAAGCAGGGUUUGCACAUACAGGGUUCUCACAUAUAGGAUUGCACAUAUGGGUUAGCGCAUGUAGGGUUUGCACCUAGGGGUUCGUACAUGUAGGGUUUGCACAUAUGCUACAGUUCACCUAACAGAGUUCGCACAUACAGGGGGGUUCGCAUAGUACCUAGGAUUUUCAUGAUAUGCAAGCUUUGCAUAUUACCUAAGGUUCACAUGAUAUAUAUAGCUCGUAUAGGACCUAGGGUUUGCAUGAUAUACUCGAUUCACAUAUUACCUAGGGUUUGCAUGUUAUAAAAAGCUCGCAAAGUAUGUUUAGGGUGCGCAUGAUAUAUAUGCCUCGCGUAAUAUAUAUAGGGUUUGCAACUUAAAUCCUAUACUAAAAAUCAUGAGGGUUUGCAUAUGUAUAUACAAGCUACAGUUCAUCUAUAGGGGUUCGCGUAUAGAGGUUCGCUCACAAGCUCACACACAGGGGGUUUUGCACACGGGGAUCACACACAGGGCCCGCACAUGCAAGGGGGUUCGCAUAACAUGGGGGUUGCAUAGCAGACUUAUUACUUCCUAACACUACAGUUAAUCAUAUAUAAUGAUUUAUGUUUAGAUCCUACACCUGAUUCGAAGACACAAAAACCUUAAUUUGGAUGAGGAGAAUGAUGUUCUACUUGGGAGGAGAGGGACGAUUUUGGAAACCUUGGAUUUCUUUGCUUGAAAAUUGAUUUGGUAAUGAUGGAGAAAAUGAAGAACUUGAGAGUUUUCCUUGAAAAAUUGACUAGAUAAAAUUUCUAGAGUUUUGAAAAGAUUUCCUAAUUAUAAAACUCUUUUUCCCUAAUUGAAAUAGGUUUUAGGAUUCCAUGGAGAAGCAAGACUAUUUUAAAUUAAGGACUAAAUUAGAAAAUAAAAUUUUUUGGUUUGGGCUAGUUUGAAAAUUCGGCACUUUUAUGGGGUAAAAAUAAGAAAAUAAAAUAUUUUGCUUGAAAGGUGAACAAUAGAUUUCAAACUUGAGACCCAAGAGAAAGCUAAGGCCUUACCAAUGAACUAGUAGACUAAUUCUUGUUAAUUUCUUAUCAAAAAUAAUUUUUAAGGCGUUCUAAAUUCUUUUACCCUAUGCUUAAAAAAAUAAAAUCUAAAUUUUAUCCCUAUUUCUUUUAGCCUUAUUUUUGGGAAGUGACAAUACUCAAAUUUACAAUUUAAUUCAUGUUUUAAGUAUGCUCCACAUUAUAUCCUAAUUGACAUUUAACACUUAAAUUAACUACUAUGCUAAUGGAAAACCUAUUUGAUACCAUGUAAAUAACAUAUUUUGAAGUUUAAAACUAAUUAAGAAUUGGCAUAAUGUCAAAUUUAUCCCUUAAUGUUUACAUUUUUUUAUCAAUUUGGCUCACGACCUUUAAAAAAAAUCAUAUUUGACCAUCAACCUUUCAAAAAAAUUUAAAUUGUUAUUUUUUUAACGGAAAUAUUAGCUAGACAUUAGGUUUUUAGACAUGACAGCUCGCAUAACAAUCCGCAUGUACUUCAUGCUCUCGUUUUUUUUGGAAUUUUUUAUAAUUUAAAUUAUUUCUUGGUGUGACAUAUAAGAUAAAGUGUCAUGUUAGCAUGAAGUACACGUGGAUUACCACACGGGUUGACAUACCAACAUCGUUAAAAAUUAAGGUUUUAAUCAAUAUUUUCAUUAAAAAGUGAUUUGACAAUUUUUUUAAAAAAAAUUGAGGGCCAAAUUUAUAACUCAAAAAAGAAUAAGAACCAAACUGAAAAAAGAUAUAAACAAUUUGACAUUAUACCUUAAACAUAUUGACAAUAAUUUAGAGACAAUUGAUUGAAUUAGCUCAAAAUAAUAUAAGAUAAUGUAAAUGAUAAAACAAGGAUUUCAAUUUAAAAUGGAUUUAUAUGUGAUGCAUUACCGUAAAAUGAAUAUAAAGAAUACAAAAGAAAAAAUUCAUUUAAAUUUUAGAAAUAUGUCCUCAAUUCACUAGCAACAUAUAAAAAGAUUAUAUGAUGAUUGUUGGGAAUCGAUCCGAUUAAGCAACAAACAAGUAAAAAAUAGCGGAAGCAAUUGAGAAAUUGAACACACAAAUUUAACGUGAAAAAACCCCUCCAAAGAGGAUAAAAAACCACGGACAAAGAUAAUUUUACUAUAAUGGCAAAAAAAUAAAAAUUACAAAAGAUGGAGAUAAAAACUAAACCCCGAAACCUAAAAAAAAGAACCCUCAAAAUGUAAAUACAAAAUUCUCCAAAAGUGUAUGAGUUCUAAUAUUUUAAUGGGUGUUUUUUAUAAUGUUGUAAAAGAUCCUAUUUAUAGGCUAAAUUCGUAGGUCAAAUAAUAAUAAAAUAAUCUAGACUAAUCAAAAUUUAACUGAAACAAAUAAACAGGGUUUAACUAAGAGAUUAUCUCUUAAAUUUAACUAUAAGUCAUACUCAACAAUAAUAUUAACCAUUUCAAAAUUACUAUAGAAAUGCUGAAAAUUCUAAGGAUUAACAAGUUUUUCUCUCAUGUAACUUCCUUUUCCAAGAUAACUUAAUUUCCAUAUUCAAAAUUAAGACAAACCAACCUAUUAAACAAAAUACUUUUCAAGUGUAAAUAUUCAUAUUUUAUCAUUUCCAAACAAAAGAAUUUAAAUAAUUAUAUUCAUAUUUUAUAUUUAAUGCGAAUUAAGUGUAAAUAUUCUAAAGGAGACGUACUAAGACCAAUGUUUCUUAAUAAUAAAUAUACAGCAAAUAGAUUUUAUUAAACUUAAUCUUGGACCGGUCAAAAAGAAAUUACGUAUUAUAUUCGGAUUUGAUUUAAUUUCAAUGCACGAAUAAAAUAAUAAUAUAAUAAUAACAGCUUAAAAAGACUGCUAAGGAUACUUAAUGAUAGAAGUCAUGCAUGAUUUAUGAUUCUCACCCAUGCUUCGUGUUGAUUAUUUAUUCUUUUAAUUAAAUUAUUAUAUUUCAAGUUUUUGAAAUAAAAUAUUUAAAUUAACUAAUGAUAUUAAAAAGGAUGAGAAAUCAAAUUAUAAAAAAUUAAAGUAUAUAGAUUAAAUUUAAAAUUUGAGCGAAGUAUACGAAUCAAAACUAAAAUUUAACGACUCUCAUAUAAAGAAAGCUAGUAGGAUUAGAAAAACUUUUAGCCAUUGGUUUAUAAUAUAUAUAAUGCGUAUUUUGUACAUUAGUAGUGUAUUUUUUUAAAAUUUCACAAACAAUCUUAAAAAUUAUAAUGUGUAUUUUUUUAAAAAAAUUACUAUAUUCUUAUAAGAUACUUGUCAAUCUUUAACCGAUUUUACAAAAAGUAUAAUAUUAUAUAUUUUUCCAAAACAUUAUAUUCAUGAAUAACAUGCUUAAAUCAUUGCAAUCUCUUUAGCCUUAAUUAUUCUUUUUAAGUCAAAAGAAUACAACCUUUAAUUAAUAUAUAUAUAUAUAUAUAUAUAUAUAUAUAUAGGUUUUUAAGUUGUUUGUUCUUUUCUUUUUAUUUUUUAUGGUACGUCAUUUAAUGUCCACUAUAGUCUAUCUAGUUGAUAUAACCUUUCUUAUAGCAAAUAUAGUUUCUUUUUUAUAAUUUUGGGACACCAAUCACAAAUUAUCCAUUGUUUUAUUUUAGGGUAAAUUACAUUUCAAGUCAUCCAACUAUUAGUAAUUUUCUUUUUUUAGCCACCCAAUUAUGAAAAGUUACGAAGUGGUCACUCAACUAUUUGGUUUUUUCGUUUUUGGUCACUAGUCGUUGAAUGAUUGGAUAAAAGGUGGCGUAUAACUUUUAAAAUUGGCAUAAUAGAAACUUUAGCACUCAACAUUUAUACAUUGUGACCCUCAGUGUUUACACAUUAUGUAAUUUGGUAUUUUUUUCUUUGUUUUCUUUGUGACCCUUUCACCUAAUAAGCUAAGAAAAACAAUCUAUCAACUAAAUUUAAUUGGAAAUAUAUCAAAAACGAAAACACCCAAAAUCCAAGAUAAUAAUUUUCAUAUUUUCUCAUUCUUUUAAAAUUAACCCUCAAUGUCACAAAUAAAAGUAAAACUGCAAAAAAAAAAUUACACAAUGUGUAAAUGUUGAGGGUUAAUUUUUUUUUGAAUUAAGACUAAAUUGACACAAUGUAUAAAUUAAUGGCCGGUAGUUGGUUGACCAAAUAGAAAAAAGUUGAAUAAUUAUUGACCAUUUUUGUAACAUUUCAUAGUUGCAUGACAAAAAAAAAAAAUACUAAUAGUUGAGUGACUACCAAUGUAGUUCUUCAUUUAAUUAUCAAAUAAUUAUUUUCUAUUAUUUGAACUUAUUGAAAGAAAUUAAUUUUAAUUACUAAAAGGGUAAACUACAACAAUAGUCACCAAUUAUGCCUUCGGUUCUAUUUGGUCACCUGACUAUUGAUUUUUUUUCCAUUUUGCCACUCAAUUUUUUAAAAUUAAAUAUUUUAGUCACUCUCUAGUUAGUUGUUGUUAGAUGAGUGGUGAAAAGCUCGGUAAGCCCUUUUUAUUGAUCUAAUAACAAAUUUAGCUUCCAAUAUUUACAUAUUCUAUCAAUUUGAUCCUAAAUCUAAAACAAAAUCAACAAAAUUAGCCCUAAAUGUUUACAAAAUUUGUCAUUUUAGUUUGAAUUCUAAAAAAAUUAAUAAAUUUAGCCAUCCCAGAAUUUGUCAGUUCUAAUUCUAAAAAUUUCAAUAGAAAAUUGGAAAGUAUUUAAAUUUUUUAAAAUAUUCUUUAACCCAAAAUAUAUUAAACAAGAAGAGUAUUUAACACUAUUUGUAUUGUGCUCUUUUUAAAUUAAUAUCACCUUUUUGAAUAUGGUAAAAAAUCAAAUUGACUUAAAUCCAACUAUUUUAGUGUCAUAUUUUAGAUUAAUAUCAUAUCAUCUAAGAAUCAAUUCCUCUAAAUAGAUUAACAAUUCUUUAAACAAUUACAAAUUAAUUAUUUCCAUGUUUUUCUUAUUUAAAAAAUGUACAAAAUACUUAAUAUUCAAAUAGAGGAAACAAUGAAAUGCGAAAUCUUUCAAAACAUGAAAAACAUAGAAUAUUUGUUUUUUUUCGCCUUUUUUUUUACUUGGACAUAUCAUCAUCAGUAACUUUCAAAUUUGGGUAGAACGUGUAAAUAUUAGAAGACUAAAUUUAUUAUUAGGCCAAUAAAGAAACUCACAUCAGCUUUUCAUUACUUAUCUAACGGCAAUUAACAAGAACGUAACUAAAAUAUUUAAUUUCAAAAAGUUAAGUGAUUAAAUUAAAAUUUUUAAUAAUUGAAUAAUUAAAAUAAAUUGAAAACCAUAGUUGAGUGCUAUUUUUAUAAUUUACCUUUACUAAAAUUAUCAAUAGAUGCGGCGGGUAUUAACUAUUGCACACCAAUCAGUUUCAACAUAAAUACUAAACGUAAAUAAUACAAAAGCAUCAAACUCGAAAUCAAAAACAUUAAAUCUAAAACUCGAAACUUGGAAAAAAGUUACGGGUUUUUCUAGUGUAAAUUUUUUUAGUGAAUUACAAUAACAGGGUAAAGCUCAAACAACAAACACCACUAGUGCAACUCGAACCUCAGCCACACUUGAAGUGGUGAAUACCCUUGACUUUUGAGCCAUCACAUCGGGUUCUCUCACGUACAAUUUUUAUUACCUUAAAAUUUUCUUAUUAAAUAAUAAUUAAAUUAUCCUUGAAGAGUUUAUGUGCACAUUUAUUAUUUAUAUGAAAUUCAAAAGUAAAAUAUUCCAUAGUUUUCAAUAACACGAUGAAAAUAAAAAUAUUAAUAUGUAUUAAUUUAUGAGUCGUUUUAUUAGUUUUUUUUUUCAUCUAAUAGAAGGACAAAUCGAAGAAAAAAGAACUGAAUUAAAUACAGUCUUGAACAAUUAGUAUUUGCUUUUAAAACAUUUAAAUUAGAAUUUAUGUUUCUAUUUAAAUUUUUUGUAUCAGUAUCACUCAUUAAUCAAACAUCAAUUCGAUUAAAAAAUAAUUAAAAAAUAUUAUUUAUAUUAUGAGUAUUCAUUUUUAUCCAGGCUAAACUUAAUUUUAAAGUCACUUUCAAUAAAUCUGAAUUCUAGGGUUAAGUUUAAUUUGAAAAAUCUAAGUUGACUGUUGCUACACUUUCAUAGCUCGAUUUUAUUUUGGAUUUUGACUAUUAAUUUUUUAGUUUAGAUUAUUAUGUUAUUUGUCAGUGUUAUUAACAUUUAAGGGUGGCAUGGCCUCCUGCCUCAUUUUGCAUGGAAAAGCAAAAAAAGGUAAGAAGAAAAAAGAGAGAGGUGACGAGAACAGUGAAGCAUGUAAAGGAGAAAGAAAAGAAGUUUACAAGAGAGGAAGAAGAAGAAGAAGAAGAAGAAGAAGAAGAAGAAGAAGAAGAAGAAAACUACGGAAAAAGAAAGGAGGAAAAGAGAGGAUCUGCUUUGUAUUGUAAUUCUCUUUUGUUUGCAUACGGUGAAAUCUCACUCUAAAUAAACUCAAAUAAAAGGUAAUAUCUUUUGGCUUAAUAUCUGAAAUUUUCACUUUGGUUCUUUUAUAAAAACAUAGAAAAGUAAUAAAAAAACUAAAAAAAUCAUAAUAUAUUUUUCAAAACUAUAUUUUUUUGAAAAAAAAAGUAUAAGCAUGCGAAACUUUGAAAAAAAAGUUAAAAAAAAAAGAGAGUUUCUUUUUGGAAUUUUAGGUUUGUAGAAAAUUUUAGGUUUUUAGAAAAUUUUGGAAUUUUAUUAAAAUUUAGAAGAAAUUUAUGGGAUUUUUUUUUUGGAAAUCCUAAGUAAAAAUUACCAUAAAAUUCUUAAAUUUUUUCAUAAAAUUCUAUAUUUUUAUAAAACCCUAAAUUCAAAAAAGAAAAACAUUUUUUAUAUUUUUAUGAUUUUUUUAUUUUCUUGAAGUUCUGCAUACUUAUAAGUUUAGUUUUUUUUUUAUAAUUUUCAAAAAUAGAUUAAGAUUUUUUAAAAGUUUAUUUUAUAAUUUUCAAAGUUAUAAGAUUUUUUGGGGGUGUUUUUUUAAUAUAUAUAUAUUUGGAAUUUUAAUAUUUUUUAGUUUUUUAUAUUUUUAAAAUUUUUAAGUGAAUUUGAAAUAGAUUAAUAUUUUGAUUUUGUUUUAAAUUUCAGAAUUUUAAGAUUUUUCUGGAUUUAAAAAAAAUGUUUUUUUGGGGAAUUUUAAUGAUUUGUUUUAGUUUUUUUAUAUUUUUUAAAUUUUAAGUGAAUUUGAAAUAGAUUAAGAUUUUAUAUUUUUUUUUGUGGUUUAAGAUUUUUGGGACUCUUUUAAAAAAAUUAUGAUUUUUGUGGAAUUUAAAUGAGUUCUUAUUUUUUUUAAAUAAUUUUUUGUAAAAAAAUAAUUUUUAUAAUUUUCAAAGGUAGAUUAGGAUAUUUUAAAAAAAAAUUCUAUGUUUUCAAAUUUUUGUUAUUUUUGAGAUAUUUUGGAUUUUUAAUUUUUAAGUAAAAUUUUUAAUUUUUUAAAAUGUGGCACAGCAAGUCAUUCGUCGAUUUAAUAUUUUUAAUGAAACUUGCUAAAAGGGCUAAGUUAGUGACGAAAUGGAAAUAGAGAAAACAAUCUGACCAAAAAAUAAUAAAAGGCCAUAAUAAGAAUUUCACUAUAGUACAAAGACCAAAAAUAGUAUUAAGCUUCUUCAUGCAUAACAGUUAAUUUCGAAUUUAGAUUUUGAUUUCGUAGAUAAAAAAUUAUUUUAAUUGAUUUUAAAAUUUUAUUAUAACCAUGAUUUUCUAAAUAACAAAUCACAGUUAAAUAAAAAAAAUAUGUCUAUGUUAGAAAUUUUAUUAGGGUUGGUUUUGAUGAUGUUACAUAGCCAACUUUUCGCUAGAAAUUAAAGCGCAAACUGAUCGAAUUUGUACCAUUUGCUUCAAGUCUUCUCUUUUCUACAAGGGAUGGUUGAGGGUUUUUCAUUUGGAUGCACAAAAAGUAAUCUUUUACGAUCUGAAAGUUUUAAGUAAAUAAAAAAAAUGACAGUGAAAAUCUUCAUUCUUUUAGAUGAAGAAGAUGAGGGGGAUUUUUUAAAAAUAAUUUUCAGAUUUUCAACAAAAUAUUUUUAAUUUUAUUUUUUUUUUUCAAAUUUGAAUGAUUUUAAAUAUAUAUAGUAUUGAGAAUUUUGUUAGAGUUGAGUGGUUCGGAUUCUUGUUAAAAUAAAAUAUAGUGGUAAAUUAAAAUAAAAGUAAAAUCCAAUAGAAUUAUACUUCUUUUAUUUUGCAUUGAUUAGAAAAAGGUUUUUCAACAUUACUACACUUCAUCUAUUUGACAUUGAUUAAAAUAAGGUUUUUCAACCUAUAAAUAGAUAUAGUCUAAAUUUCUCUUGUAUCAUUCGAAUUCGACAUUAGUGAAUUUUCUUCUCCUCUACCGUGGUUUUUUUCUCGAAAGGGUUUCCGCGUAAAAUCUGUGUUUUCUUAUUUUUCUUUCUUUUGCUUUGUGAUUGUUUUAUAUUGUCAUUGUCGACGUUCAACUUUUACAAACUGGUAUCAAAGCUUUUCGGGUUGUUUGUCUCGAUCAUGGUAAUGACGACAUUGAAGUAUGAUAUUCGACUAUUGGAUCACAACACCUGGUUCGCAUUAUGGAAGAUAAAGAUGCAGCCAGUUCUUGCACAAAUGGAGUUAGAGGAUGCCUUGCUAGGGGUAGAUAAGAUGCCUUCGACAUUGACGGAGGAGGAGAAGAAACAUAAAGAUCGAAAGGCUUUAACACAAUUACAUCUACAUUUGUUGAAUGAAAUUCUACAGGGCGUGAUGAAUGAGAAGAUCGUUGGUGCAUUACGGGCAAAGUUGCAACAACUAUACAUGUCGAAAACCUUAACUAGCAAGUUGCAUAUAACCAGCGUCUUUAUGCUCAUCAUUUGGAGGAAGGUGCGUCUGUGCACGAACACUUAACUGUGUUUAAAGAAAUUCUUUCUGACCUAGAGGCCAUGGAGGUUUAGUAUGACAAAGAAGAUUUAGGUUUAAUUCUACUUUAUUCGUUACCCCCGUCUUAUUCAACCUUUACAGAUACGAUUUUGUAUAGUUGUGAAUCUAUCACAGUUUAUGAACUCUAUGCUUCUUUAACAUCGUAUGACAAGAUGAAACAUCCUGUGGUUGGAUCCGACUCUCAGGGAAAGGGUCUCAUUGUUCGUGGGAGACAAUAACAAAAUACUAAUGAUAAUCAUCAGAGGACAUAAGAGCAAAAUCCUCGCAGUAAAUCUAAGGGUAGAUCAAGAUCUUCAAACAAAGGUAAAACCUGUGACUUCUGUAAGAAGAAAGGGCACAUUAAAUCUAAGUGCUAUAAGUUGUAAAACAAGAUCAAAAGGGAGACUGUGAAUCAAAAGGGAAAACAACCAGAACAAUCCGGUGAAGCUGAUGUAGCAGAAAACUACAGUGAUGGUGAACUUCUAGUUAUUUUUGCCAACAAAUUUAAAGUGAGCGAGGAGGGGAUCCUCGAUUUUGGUUGUACGUUCCAUAUGAGUCCAAAUCGAGAUUGGUCUACAACAUAUAAAACUAUGUCUGAAGGUGUUGUUUUGAUGAGAAAUAAUGUUUCAUGUAAAAUCGCAGGUAUUGACAUGAUCAAAAUUAAAAUGUUCGAUAGAGUUAUCAGAACACUUAGUGGCAUACGACAUGUACCAUGAUUGAAGAGGAAUUUGAUUUCGUUGAGUACUCUUGAUUCAAAAGGGCACAAGUACAUAGCUGAAAGUGGAGUUCUAAAGAUUAGUAAUGAUUCCCUUGUUGUGAUGAAAGGGCAGAGAAAGAUUGCCAAGUUAUAUGUUUUGCAAGGUUCUACUGUUACUGGUGAUACAGCCGUCGCGUCCUCUUCCUUGUCAGAUGAUUAUGUUACUAGACUUUGGCAUAUACGUCUAGGGCAUAUGAGUGAGAAUAGCGCGGCAGAAUUAAGCAAAAGAAGACUUCUUGAUGGACAAGGCAAUAGCAAACUGAAGUUUUGUGAGCACUGCAUUUUUAGGAAGCAAAAGAGAGUUUGAUUCACUAGAGGAAUCCAUAACAUGAAGAGAAUGCUAGAUUAUAUUCAUUCUGAUCUUUGGGGACCAUCCAGAGUGCCUUCGAAGGGUGAUGCUAAUUAUAUGCUGACAAUCAUUAAUGAUUUUUGCAGAAAAGUGAUGUGUUUUUUGUGUUUAAGACUUGGAAAACUAUGAUCAAUAAGCAGACAGGAAAAUAGAUAAAACACCUUCGUAUAGAUAAUGGCUUGGAAUUAUGUUCUGACGAGUUUAUUAAAUUGCGCAAAUCAAAAGGAAUCAUGCGACUCUUGGCAGUUUGUCAUACUCCACAGCAAAACGGCGUUGCACAAUGGAUGAAUAGAAUAAUCAUGGAAAAGGUUUCAUGUAUGUUAUCAAAUGCUUGUUUACCGAAGUCGUUUUGGGCUGAAGCAGCCUGUAUUACAUGUUUUUUGAUUAACCAGUCUCUGUUUGUUGCCAUUGGGAAAAAGGCUCCACAAAAGGUAUGGUCUGGUAAUCCUACUGAUUAUUCUAAUUUGAGGAUUUUUGGGUGUCCUUUGUAUGUUCAUGUUGAUAAUGGGAAAUUGGAACCUAGAUCCAUUAAAUGUGUUUUUUCUUGAUUAUAAGGCUGGUGUUAAAGGAUAUAAAUUAUUGUGUCCUGAAAAUAGAAAAGUUGUGAUUAGCAGAGAUAUUAUUUUUUAUGAAACUGCUAUGCUACCUAACUUAUCUCUUAAAGACUCUUCCAAUAGAAACCAGGAAAAACAGGUGGAGCCUCAGAUAGAUCCAGGAUCUAUAACAGAGUCUACUUCUUAAGUUAGUACAGAAACUUAGAGUAGAGUUGUUCUUCACCACAGUAUUCUACUACCAAGAAUAAACCUAGAAGAGAAAUUAAACCUCCAAAGAGGUACGUUGAGGUCGAUCUAGUUGCUUAUGCUUUAAAUGUGGCUAAAGAUAUAGAUGCAAAUCAAAAGCCAUCUACUUAUUCUGAGGUAAUUAAUUAUGAAGAUUUAAGAAAAUGGAUGAUUGCCAUGCUAGAAGAGAUGGAAUCGCUCUAUAAGAAUAGAACGUGGGAUCUAGUGAAAUUUCUUAAAGGUAAAAAGGUUGUACGUUGUAAAUGGGUGUUCAAAAAGAAAUAAGGAACUCCAGGAGUUGAAGAACCCAUAUAUAAAGUAAGGCUGGUUGCAAAAGGUUAUAGUCAGAUUUCAAGUGUAUACUUUAUAGAUAUGUUUUCUCCAGUUGUGAAACAUACUUUGAUUCGAGCCUUGUUUGGUAUUGUGGCCAUGUAUGAUUUGGAGCUUGAGUAGUUAGAUGUAAAUACAACGUUCUUGCAUGGGGAAUCUGAAGAAGAUAUUUACAUGCAACAACCAAAGGAUUUUACUUAUCAGAAAAGGAUGACUAUGUUUGCUUGUUGAAAAAGUUCAUUUAUGGCUUGAAACAGUCACCAAGGCAGUGAUACAAGAGGUUCGAUUCUUUUAUGACUACUCAUGAUUUCAAAAGAAGCAACUUUGAUAGUUGUGUUUAUUUUAAGAAAAAAAGGGAUGGUUCUUUUGUGUAUCUACUCUUCUAUGUUGAUGACAUGUUGAUAGCAGCCAAUAGUCUGUAAAGGAGAGAUAAGAAAGUUCAAAGCCCAACUUAAUAAAGAAUUUGAGAUAAAGGGUUUGAGAGCAGUAAAGGAGAUACUUGAGAUGAAGAUUCUCAGAGAUAGAAAAGCGUGUAAAUUGUACCUAAGUUAGAAAUGGUACAUUGAGAAAGUUCUUUGCAGGUUCAAUAUGCAGAAUGCCAAGCCUAUUAGGACUCUAUUAGCAACCCACUUCAGACUUUCAUCAGUUUUGUCCUGCAAUCAGUAUUCUAGUGUAGUGGGAUCUCUCAUGUGUGCUAUGGUUUGCUCAUGUCCAGAUUUGUCAUAUAUAAUUAGUGCAAUUAGUAGAUACAUGGCGAAUCCCAAUAAAGAACACUGGAAAACAGUUUAGUGGAUUUUCAUAUACUUAUGAGGUACUACUAAUGUUUGCUUAUAGUUUGGAAGAACUAGAGAUGGAGUCAUUGCGAAUGUUGAUUCUGAUUUUACUGGAUACCUUGAUAAAAGAAGAUCUCUCAUAGGGUAUGUCUUUACAAUUGGGGGUUGCACAAUCAGUUGGAAAGCUACUUUGCAAACUACAGUUGCUUUGUCUACUACUGAAGCUGAGUACAUGGCGAUUAUCGAGGCUUGUAAAAAAACUAUUUGGUUAAAGAGACUCUUUGGUGAACUCAGUAAAGACCUUUAGAUCAAUACAUUGUUUUGUGAUAGUUAGAGUGUCAUCUUCCUUACGAAUGAUCAAAUGUUUCAUGAGAGAACAAAUCAUAUUGAUGUUCGGUAUGAUUUUGUGCAUGAUAUUAUUUUCGUGGUGAUAUUGUUGUGAGAAAAGUUAGUACUCAUGAAAAUCCUACAGAUAUGAUGACUAAGUCACUUCCUAUAACCAAGAAGUUUGAGUCUUGCUUGGACUUGGUUGGUAUUCAUUGUUGAAGAGCACCCUUUAAAGGGUUUUGUGGAAGAGGUGGAGAACUUGUUCGUUAAGAGUUCGUGGUGAAGAACUUGUUCGCUGAGAAUUCAUGUCAAGGUGGAGAUUGUUAGAGUUGAGUGACUUGAGUCCUUGUUAAAAUAAAAUAAAAAUAAAAAUAAAAUUCAUAUAAAACUAUACUUCUUUUAUUUUACAUUGAUUAGAAUAAGGUUUUUUAACCUUACUACACUUUAUCUAUUUGACAUUGAUUAGAAUAAGGUUUUUCAACCUAUAAAUAGACGUAGUCUAAACUCCUCUUGUAUCUUUCGAAUUCGACAUUAGUGAAUUUUUUUUUCUCUACCCGUGGUCUUUUUUUCCCGAAAGGGUUUCCACGUAAAAUUUGCGUGUUCAUAUUUUUCUUUCUUUUGCUUUGCAAUCGUUCUAUAUUGUUAUUGUCGACGUUCAACUUUUACAAAUUUUUUAAAUUGCUAAUUAACAUAGUAUAAAUAAUUUAAAUAAUUUGAGUAAUUGAGUUUAGUUUUUAGAGUCAGAUUUGGACAAGAAUUUUUGCACUUCGAACCGGCCUGACUUGAAUUCAAUUUAAAUAAUAAAAAAUAUUUUAAAAUUAAAAUUUAAUUCUAAAAUUAUAUAAAAUAACAAUUAAAAAUUUAUUUUUAAUAUUUUAUUAAUUUUUAACCCGAAAAUAGACUUAAACUUGAAAAAUAUUUUAAACUAGAUCUCGACUCAACCCAACUUUUAACUCAUAAAUAUCUAAUGAUGAAUUGUUUUCAAUUCUUUGCUUUAAACAUGAAUUUAUAUUUGCAAGUGUACUGCCAUUAUAAUAGUAAAAGCUUUAAAAGAAUGCUUGACUAUUUCAAUAACAUAUUUUUCACAAUUAAUUUAACAUAAUUUUCAGCAUAAUGAGAUAAUUUAAGGGGGGAAAAGGGGCACAUUGAUCAUAUUUUCAGCAUCCAUAAAAAAACAGUAAAAUUAUUGACUUGAAACAUAAUAUACGGACUCCGGAGGAACCCCUUAGACUGAGAGUGUUGAAAAGUCUUUUGGAUCAUUGUAAAGGACAAAUUAGUCAAUCUUAGUGACGAAGAAUUCGUUGAAAUAAGAAAUAAAAAUGAGAAACAUAUAAUAAGAUUUAAUCUAUUAAUUAAUCAUGUGCAACUGUGAUGUGUGUCGGGCGGAGCCAGAGGAAUUGGCAGGAAUUUCGGUUACCCUUAAAAUGAAAAAUUUUUUAUUUAAGGUUUUUUAUAAUUUAUAAAAUUUUAAAUUAGUAAUGAUAAAAUUGUACUUUGACCCUAAAAAUAAUAAAUUUUGAUUUAAUUUUUUAAAAAUUAUAAAGAUAUAAACUAUUAAAAUGAUAAAAUUAUCUUUUUACUAUCGAAACAAUAUAUAAUUUAUUUUCAGGCCCUCUAAAAAGAAUUUUUAAAUUCACCCGACGCUUUAAUUUCAACAUGAAUAUAAUUAUUUAACAUGUGUUUGUUUACUUCAUAUUUAUAAUAAAAAAAAAAGAAAGAAAAAAAAAUGUCGGCUUGACUCUUUAAAUAAGGUAUUUUUCACAAUUAAUUUAACAUAUUUUUUUCAAAUUGAAUUCUAUAGUUGUAUGAUUCAGUCAAUACUAGAAUUUUAUAUUUGGAACUCAUAAUUUUAAAAAAAAUAUUCAAAGGGAAUCAGCAAAUUUCAGUAAAGGCGUCUAGAUUUAUCAAUAAAAUUAAUAUAUUCUUCCCUUAUUGUGCAUUCGUAGUUCUACUAAUGGCAUUAAUAAUUCAUUUGGAUAAACUUUAAAUUCUAAAAAUAACUUUCACUUAUUAUAAUUACUUUUUACUAAUUGAUAGUAAACUUAUCUAAUACUGAGUAAUUAAGUAUUACAUUUUUAUUUAUAUUAAACCAAAUCAAUUAAUUUCUAACACAAUAUAAAAAUUAAAUAUUUAAUAUAUUUUUUAAAUUUGGCAUGUUAAAAAAAAGAAAGAAAUAACGGCUAUUAAAAAAACGUAAUAAUUUAUUUAGCCCUUCAACUUUAUAAAAUGUCAUUUUAAUUUUUCAUUUAAUUUUUCGUCUCUUUUAGCUCUUGAAUUUGCAUUGUUUGUCAAAUCAUCCCAAAAUGGAUGGAAAAAUUAAUGUUUGUUAACUUUAUUACUAUGGCAUCCACGUAUGUGCCACGUUAACAAUUAAUUAAUUUUUAAAAUUUUCAAAAUAUAUUUUUAAAAUUUUUAAAAUGAUUUUAAAUUUUAAAAUAUUUUUUAUAUAUUUUGUUAAACUUUCUAAAUUUUAAAAAUUUUAAUUGUUGAGAUUUCAUUCACAUAGCAAUUUACAUAUAUACCACAUCAACAAAGUUAACAUAUAUUAACUCCUUUCUUUUUAGUAUUUUUGAAUUUAAGUAUUUCCAACAAGCAUGUGGUCAGUUGGUAUAGUUUGAAACUUUUAGAUUUUUAAAAUUUUUCAUAAUUUUUAAACUUAAAAUUUAAUUUUUAUAAAUAGUAUAAAUAUUGUAUAGUAGAAACUUAACAUUAAAUAUAUAUAUAGUUUGGCGUGCAUAUGUAUGAUAUUUUUUUUCUUGAGGUACAUAUAUAUAAUAUUAUAUAGGAUAAAUUAUAAAAAUAUUCAUUUAUCUGUGGUUUAAAUUACAUUUUAGUCAUUGGACUUUAAUUUGUUACGAAAUGGUUACUAACGUUAUCGAUUUAUAAUAUUUAGUUAUUGAGCUAUUAAGUAUUAUUAGUGAAAUAACAGUAAGCUAACGUAAGAUGUUAAGUAAUUAUGUUAGAUGAAAAAUUUAAGUUGAAUUGCAGAACUAAUCACUAUAUAUAUAUAUUUCUUUUUUAUAGUUCCUAAAAAUUUUUAAAUAAAAAUGAUAUAAAAAUUUUAAAAAAACUAAAAAAUAUAUGAAAGGAUUAAUAAUAUAUAAAUAAAUAAAAUUUAAAAAAAAUCCUAUUUUCAAAUCCAAUCCUUUGCUUGAUUUUCGAAAAAAAACUUAGAAAUCCCUAAAAAUCUAAAGUUUAGGCUUUCCACCUUCUGAAAUGGGCUUGUCACUUUUCUUUCUUUUGUUUUCUUCUCAAUUUCUUCAUGUUUUUUAUUGCUAAUGAUGAAUCUUUUAUUCAGAUUUCUCUCUUUUGAAAUGGACUUUUAUUUUAUGAAAGCACGAAAUGACCAUUGAAUGAUGGUAAGGGGAGCUAGAAGUUGAUGCUUUAGUUUAGUUCUGUAGCUAGGAGAUUGAAGGGUUAACUCAUAACGAAGCUUAAAACAUAUUGUUAAAAUUAACGAACACUUUAGCCACAGGAGUUAAAUGAGAUGUUAAGGGUCUCUUCUAUCUUAACCAGUGGUCCAAGGUUCAAUUAUUAUCCUGGGUAUGGAGUAAUUUUAAAACUCGUUGUCCGCAUCUACCCCUUAAUGGACCUAUUGAAUGUGGAGGAUUAAUUAUUAAAUUCACUCGAAUAACUUAGAGAAAUAAAAAAAAAUUGAUGAAACCUUUCUAAUUUGCAGCAAACCCACAAACCCAAGGAACAAAAGUGCUUAUUAUGGCCAAACUAAAUUAAAAUUAAAAUAUAUUGAAUAACCUAAAUCAAUUAUUGAAUAUCUUAAAACAUUUUAAUGUUUACCUAAUUUUUCAUAAUUUCGUAAAUUACUAAAUUUCGUAAAAAUACUGAAUUACUAAAACUCUUAAAGAAUUAUUGAAUUACUGAUAGAAUUCCUUAAGAAAUUAGAUAAAUAAAAAAUGUCAUAAUGGAUUCAGUAAUAGUUGAAAUUUUUUUUGGUAAUCAUGUAAGUAAUUCAGUAAUUAUUAUAAAUUCAGUAAUUUUAAAAAAGUUUUAGUGUGGGCUACUUAAAAUACUGAAUUUGCUACAACAUUGUAACAUUUUCAAUAAAUUAUUGAAUUUCUUACAAUGUAAAUUACUAAGUCUUUUACAAAGCUACUUAUAUUAGGAAUACAGAUUUCUUGUAAUAUUACUAAAUAUUUAAUAAUAUUACUGGAUUUUUUACUUACAACUCAUGAGAAGAUUAUUUCUAAACAACUUUUUUUUAGAAAAUUUCUAAAACAGAAAUGGAAAUUUCACAAUGUGGGUCAUUGUAUUAUGAAGUAAAAGACUAAAUUAAUUCAUUAAUUAUUGUUAGAGUUUGUGUGACCCAAAUCCCGUCAUUUGUUGAAGAACUAUGUUUAUUCUAUUUGAUAUUGAUUAGAAUAGGAUUUUUUAACCUUUUUAAUAGAUGUAGUCGAAAUUUCUCUUGUAUCAUUCGUUUUUCAACAUUAGUAAAUUUCUUCUCCUUUGUCCGUAGUUUUUUCCCGAAAGGGUUUCCACGUAAAAUCUGUGUUCUUUUUUUUUCAUACUUUGCGAUCAUGCUAUUGUCAUUAUCGACGUUUAUUAUAACAAUUAUAAAAGUCAACAAUUUUGUCUCUAGACAUUUUCGCUUUGCUUGUUGGAGUGGAAAGAAAAUUGGAAAGAUGGAAAAUUGAAGGGGUUGAAAAUUAGAAGGAUGGAAAACAUAAAUUUUCUUUCCAUAGGUGUGUUUGAUAGGAGAAAUGAAAAAGUGGAAAAACAAAGUAAUUUUCUUUCCCUCUAUUGUUUGAUAGAGAUAAAAAAUGAAAUGAAAGAAAAUAGCAUAAUUUUAAAUUAACAUACACAUCUUUAUAAUAUUCUCUCCUCUCAUCUUUCCAAUUUGGAAGGAUUGAUUUCUAUGCAUUAAGAUGAAAAAUGAUUCUCUCCUAUUUUCUUUUCUCUCACUUUUAUUCCCUACGAAGUACAAUUAAAUUUUAUUUUCUUUCCACUUUUCCACUCCUUCCUCCCAUUCCUCUAGUUUUUCAACCAACCAAUAACACCAAUAAUUUUGAAGCAAAAAGGUAAGAUUUAAACAAAAGUAAUCUUAAACAUUAAAGAAUUGGUAAACUACACUUAUAGCCACUCAACAACUAGUAAGUUUACACUUUGGUCACCUAACUAUUCAAAGAUCAUUUAAGUUUACCUCAUUGUAUUUGUAAUGGCCAAAUUUGUUUGUUUGGUUAUGGAAUUCCUUUAUCAGUCCAUGUGGAAGAAUGAUCCUUGGAGUAUUUAUGUAAGUGUUCCAUUGUAACUACUAUAUUAUAAUUUGACACCAUCAUGCUUAUGAUAAUGUGGUGCCUACGUUGUUGAUAUAAUUGAUUUUAUUUGUUCCAUUUUUAUGUCAGUGUGCUUGGGUGGAUCACCCCUCUAUUGCAAUUGAGCAAGAGAUUAUAAAGUGGCCUUCCAUGAGAUAAUGUUUUUGGGCAAGGUGUAAUGUGUUGUCAUUGGCUUGCCUAGAGAGGUGAUGUUGAUGGUGUAGACAUUUUGUUGGUGGAGCUUCUUGGUGAGUUUGAAAGGAGAGCUUUGUAGCACUAAUUCUAAAGGGCAAGUUGAUAAUGGUAGGGCUUAAAGAGGUGAAGGUGCUGUUAGCUUACUAAGAGAGAUAACAGCAAUAUGAAAAAAAAUAAAGGAAAGGGAAAAUAAGAUGAUCAGUUCAUUUAUUCGCAACAUCAAGAACCUAUUAUAUAUGCAAUUACAUAACAGAAAAAACAAGAAAUUAGGCACUAACAUAAUAAGGCUCACAAUAGGACUCACAAUAAGGGAAAUAAUUAGCCAGGUCUGGUGAAUAUGUCAUCCAGCUGAUCUUUACUCUUGCAGCAUUUAAGAUCAACUACCCCAUCAUUGUUAAGAUCUCUCAAAAAAUAGUACUUCACAUCAAUAUGCUUGCUUCUACCAUGUAAUACUGGAUUUUUUGAGAGUCCGAUAACUGAGUUGUUGUCACAAAAAAUUAUUGUGGCUCCCAUUCUCUUGAAUUUCAGCUCCUCCAAGAUUUUUCUCAACGAAAUAGCUUGACAAGCACAAGUUGUUGCAACAACAAAUUCAGCUUCAGUUGUUGACAAAGGAACAAUAGAUUGCCUUUUGGAUGACCAUGAAACAACUCCGAUUUCCAUCAUGAAAACAUAAAUUGAAGUGUUUUUUCUAUCAUCUAGAUCUCCUACAGUCACAGUCAAUGAACCUAAAUAGAUAUUAAAAUUCUCCUUUUUUGUAAAACAACCCAAAAUAUAUGGUUCUUUGCAAGUAACGAAGGAUUCUCUUAGUAACCAAUAAAUGCAUCUCUGUAGGAUUCUCCAUAAACCUAUUGAUCAAACUCACAAAAUAUAUUAUGUCAGGUCUUGUACCAAUCAAGUACAUUAAAUUGCCUACAAUCUGCUUAUAAAAAGUGUUGUCCACUUACUUUCCUUCUUUGCUCAACUUCAAGCCAAACUCAAUGGUGGUGCUUGCUAGAUUGAAAUCCUUCAUGUCAAACUUGCUCAGAAUAUCUUGAACGUAUUUCCUUUGAGAAAAAAAUAUUCCAUUAGUUGAUUGCACUACUUCUAUGCCUAGAAAAUAAUGCAUCAUACUAAGAUCUGACAUUUUAAACUCAACCAUCAGACUUCUUGAAUCCAUUAAACAUGGAACUACAAUUUCCAAUGAAAAUAAGACCAUCAACAUAUAAACUCACAAUAAGUAUUUUCCUUUUAUCACCAGUUUUAAUGAAAAGAGUAGACUCACAAGGACACUUGGGAAAACCAGCUUUCAAGAAAUACGCUUCAAUUCGACUAUACCAAGCAUGUGGGGCUUGUUUCAACCCAUAUAAAGCCUUUUUUCAGUUUAUAAACUUUAUUUUCACUUUCAUGUUUAACAUAACCAGUAUGUUGUUCAAUAAAAACCUAUUCUUUGAGCUCACCAUGUAAAAAUGUCGAAUUCACAUCUAGUUGGAAGAUAGGCCAAGAGUAUUAGACUAUAAGUGAAAUCACCAAUCUGAUUGUAUCAUGCCUUGGAACAGGAGCAAAGGCUUCUUUGUAAUCUACCCCAAACUCCUAUUUAUAACCUUUAGCCACAAAUGUGCCUUAUACUUAUUAACUUCUCCAUUCUCUUUCAACUUUGUCUUGUACACCUAUUUGACACUAAUUGUCUUGUGCCGUUUUGGAAGUUUAGUCAACUUGUAUGUAUCAUUCCUCUCUAUACUGCAAUUUUUUCAUCCAUUGUUUUUCUCCAUUUUGACUCAUUUACAGCACUUUCAAAGGUUGUUAGAUCACAAUCCGCAAAUAAAGCAAAAUGGAUGGUUGGAUCUUCAGUCUGCCCAACGCUGAUUACCUCAAAAUCUCCUAUCCAAGCUGGUCUCCGUCGAAUAUAGCUAGGAUGAGGUUCAACUACUUCUACUUCAAUGGUUAUUAGAGUAUUAUUUGGUGAACUCUUAAGAUUAAGUGUUGCUUGAGUCUACUAAUCUAAAGGCUACUGCUUUUCAUCUUCAACUUCAGUACCAACAAAGGUUUGAAAAGGUUGUUUGUCAUCCCAAUUCCAAGUAUUCUCCUCAUAAAAAAUUACAUCCCUGCUAAUCACAAUUUUCUCCUUUAAAGGAUUAAAAAAUUUAUACACUUCAGAUGUUUCACUUACACCUAGAAAGACACACUUCUCUCCCUUGACAUUAAGCUUCUUUCUCUUUACAUUUGGAACAUGUGCAUAAGUAAUGCAACCAAAAAUUUUGAAGUGAUCUGCAGCUGGUCUCCUUCCACUCCAAGCUUCUUCAGGUGUCAUGUUUUGAACAGAAAAAGUUGGGCUUCUAUUCAAGACAUGGAUGCUCCAAUUUACUCCUUUUGCCCAAAAUUAUUUUAAGACCCUUCCACUAGCAAGCAUGCUUUUCACCAUAUUAAGUAUGGUUCUGUUUUUCCUCUCUUAUAUGCUAUUUUGUUGGGAGGUAUAUGCAGUGGUAAGCUUUUUCCAGAUGUCAUGGCUCUCACAAAAUGCUUCAAAUUCCUUGAAAUAAUAUUCUCCACCACAAUCAAUGCGAAGAACUUGAAUGGUUUUCCUGAUUUCAUUCUCAACAAGUGCCUUGAAGCUAGUAAAUGCACUAAAUGCUUCCAAUUUCUCCUGCAAAAAGUAAACCCACAAUUUUUGGAAAUAAUCAUCGAUGAAAGUAAAGAAAUAAAUUUUACCUUCAUUAGAUUAUGGUUUUAUUGGUCCACAGAUAUCUGAAUGAACCAAUUCCUGCACAUGUUUUGCUAUCUAAAACUUUCUUUUGGGAAAUUGUUCAUGAUGUUGUCUGCUAACAACACAAUCUUCACACACAUGGUUUGGAAUGACAAUCUGAGGGAGGCCGUUGACCAUCUCUUUCUACCAAAGAGUCUUCAAACCCUCAAAAUUAAGAUGACCACAUCAAAAAUGCCAAAGCCAUGUGUUGUCCUUCACUUUAGCCAUCAAGCAAGGUUGAAAACAAUCAAUCACUAAUGGAAACAACCUGUUGGAACUCAUUGGAACCACUGGAAUAGCACCUCUAGAAGGAUCAUAAAUUUCACAAGCACUUUUUGAUACCGUAAUCACAUAUCUUUUUCCUUGCAAUUGACCAGCACUUAAUAAGUUACUUUUCAAAACAGACACAAAGAAAACAUGGGACAUUGUUUCUUCAAAACUAUUAUUGGUUCUUAUACUAAUACCACCCUUUCCCACUACAUCAACAAUAGAUUUAUCUCCAAAAGGCACAUUAAUGUGAAAGUCUUCAUUUAGAUAAGAGAAAGAAAACUUAUUACCACACAUGUGGUUGCUACAGCCUGUAUCCACAUACCAUAAACAUGAGUUUUGUGGCUUCUCUUGCUUGUCAUGAAUUGCCAUUAACAAGGUUUUAGCUUCUUUUUAUGAAAAUUUUGACUUUUCUCCCUUUUCCUUAUCAUUAGAUAGAUUAGUACGACAUUCAAAACAAUAAUGACCAAACUUAUAACAUCCAAAACAUUCUACCUUUGACUUGUCAAAUUGUCGAUCUUGUUUUUUUCCUUUAUCAUCUAAUCUGGCAUACCUGCCACUAUUUUUAUUCCAACUGUCUCCUCUGUCUCUUCCCUUUCCUUGACCUCCGUUUCUUCUUUUGAAAGAAUGAGUUGAAGUUUUCAAAGCCUGCUCCAUUGGGGGUAGAAGUUCUAUUCAUCUUCUAUUUAUGGACCAACAAGGAACUCUGGAGUUCAUCAAUGGUGAGUGCAUCAAUGUCCUUGGAUUCUUCAAUUGAGUAGACAACAUAAUCAUACUUUGGUGAUGAGGACCGUAGUAUCUUCUUAGCAAUGGUUGUGUCAUUCAUCUUCUCACCAUGAAAUCACAUAUUACUCAUGAUUCCCAUGGAAGAACCUCAAGGUCCUUCCAAAGAGCCUGAAGCUAUGCACGCUUCACUUUGAAAAAAGCCUUGACAUUUUGUCUUAAUGGAGUACCAAAUAUCCUUGAAAGUUUCUUUGCAAAGAAUGGUUUCUAGGAUCGAACGAUCAAUAGCUUGAAAUAAGUAAUUUUUUGCUUUCAAAUCUUUCAACUUCAGCCCCUUCAAGUCCUUUUUGUUGUAUUCUGUAAGCUUUUCUCCAUCUGUUGGUGUUGCUAUACUGUGCUUAAUGACUUGCCAAUACUCCUUGGACUGUAAGAAGUUCUCCAUCAACAUCUCCAAUGGUUAUAGUGACCAUCAAAAUGUGGAAUAGGUAGCUGCAAACAAUUUUCAAAAGCCAUAAGAGGACCAUAAACAUUUUUCUCUCACUGAAAAUACUCUUCUUUUACCAGGCUCUGACACCACUAUUAGCUUACUAAGGAGAUAACAGCAAGAUGAAAAAAAUAAAGGAAAUGGAAAAUAAGAUGAUCAACUCAUUUAUUCACAACCUUAAGAACCUAUUAUAUAGGCAAUUACAUGAUAGAAAAAUCAAGAAAUCGCACACUAACAACAAACGACUCAGAAUAGGACUCUUAACAACUAAGGAAAAAAAUCUAAACCAAAUAAACCCAUGAUCUGUAGCCACUAAAUCCUUGAUGUGCAACAACUAUAUGCCUAGAAACAAGGACAACAAACAUAUUUUAUUAACAAGUAUCCCUAUUUAAGUGAGCUUCUAGUGGCGAUCCUUGAAAAGGCUAUCUGAAUGGCAAAACUUUAUCACAUGCAAUCUUGAUGAUAAUGUUAUGGCGAAGAAGAGAAAAAUCAUUGAAAGUGACAACAAUGUUGGUAAAAAGGAAGAGCAUGAUAGGAUCAUACUCUAAAUUUUGUGUUCAAAGCUAUAGCAACGAAAGAAGGAAAAUUAAAAUAUAAAAUAUAAAAGAGCAGAUUUUUCACAAAUGAAAGCUUGAAAAGAACUUUAUUAGAUCAAUACAAGGAAAUGAAUACAAAGACAGUUGAUUUAGAAUUUCUUUUAUAAUAUAUAUAUUAUAAAACAUUAUUAAUUAUAACUUAAUAACUAUUCCUUAAGGAACAGAAGAGGAAAAUUUAAUACGAUUUCUAAGUGCAAUUGGUUCAAUGAGUAAUGAAGUGAUUCCACCCUUAGCCGCUUUUCCAACAUAUGUGUAGCCAUCACCUUCUCUAUAGAGUACAUCCAUCACCCUUGCAAGGUUUAAGCUACGAUUCAAAACUUCUGUUGGCAUUUCUGUUGGUUUCAGAAACUCUUGAUUCACAUCCUUCCAAGCACUCUCAACAUGCUUGUUGAAUACAUCAUAUGCCUCUUGUGCUGUUACACCAUAUUCUUCCAUGUAACACUCAAUUGCUGAGCAAUCGUCUUCUCUCCUAUGUUUGAACUGCAACCAUAAUAAAAUAAAAAUUAUUCAAUUACUAUAUAACCUAAAUUCUAUUCGUUUGUUAAACUAUAUAUAUUUUUAAAAUGAAACUAGAUAUCUUUUCUUAUUCUUCGAUUUAAGGCUAAACAUUUGAUAUAUAAACAUUAAACUUUAAUUGUUUCAAAUCAUGACAAAAACCAUCGUUAUUGAGUUAAUAGUUUGGUUUCUUGUGAUUAUUUAAAUAUAUUAUUAUACCUUGUGUUCAGCAACAUCAUCCAUAAACCUACAAAUAAUUGUGGAAGCUUGAAUGAUCUUAGGGUCAUUGGCUGCCCAUUUAAAGGUUUCUGGUGUUACAAUAUCUCCCAUGCCAACGAAAGAUGUAAUAGCAAGCAUGGCAUAACCACAAGUUGGCAAUGCAUUAGCCUUAAACUCCUCGAAUGAUGGUUUGUAGUUUUGAAGAGUCCAUCUGGCCUCCACAAGAUAAGAUUGAGCAAGUCGUAUCAUCUGAGGCAACAAAAUCCCAACAAUUAUCACUAAUAUCAAUUCAAAUUCAAUAAUAAUAUUUAAAUGAUUAUAUAUUGUUAUUCGAGUUAGUUGUUUAUUCAAAUCUAGAAUUUAGCUAAGAUCUUAUCUCUUUUGUACAAAAUAAAUGUUUGUUGAUGUACAUACCGCAUUUUUCGCAUAUUCGACACGAUAUUGUCUCCCAUGCUCAGCCACCAGUUGUUCCAUUUCUUCAUAAACAUCUAAUAGUGCCUUGUAGCUCGGCUUCAUGUAUUCAGGAAGUUCAUCUAUGCAUUUGAUAUCCCACCUGAAUUCAACUUCAAUGUUAACUUCAACUAAAGAAACCUAACCUAUUACCAACAAAAUUUUAGAAAUCUAACCUCUCAAUUGCAUUUGUAUAGGGAAUAAGCUCUUCAUAUGUUGCAUAUGAGUCAUAUGUAUCAUCUACAAUAGAUGCCAUUGCUAUCACUUUUGUCAACAUCUUUCUACCAAGAGAAUAUUGGGGCUCAAAAUACACUCCUGAGAUCCAAAAAUAGCCUUCAACCACUCUAUCUCUUGCGUAUGGCAACUUUCUUUGAAAGUCUAAAUCCUUCCACCACCUAAAAAAAUCAUAUCAUAGAAAACCCCAUUAGCAAAAUGAAUAUUCAAAGUUUUAAUUUGUUUCACAUUCAUGUUGUCAAUAAGUAAAUUGUUAGAUUCUUAAGUAAAUUGGCAACCUGAAAUUUUAAAAUAUAUAUAUAACUUAUAUAAUAUAAGUAAAAUAAUGUAAGUGAAAAAGAUGAAUCCAUCACUUUUAACUUGUGCUAUAUAUUAAGAUUCAAAUAUUAGCAUUUGCAACUCGUCUCCUAUAUUGAGAAUGAUGCCGCGAUUAAAUUCAACCCUCCUUCCACCAAAAAAAAAAAAAAGACAAAAAAGAAAAAAAAAUGGGUGAAAGAGAUUCAAAAACAUACCUAGAAAUCUCACUUAGCUCUUUUCUAUGCAAAAGUUGUACCAUGUUGAAAUCGAUCUUAGCAAACUCCAACAAAACCUUAUUAUGGGACUCAAUAUCUUGGUAUACUGAAAGAUAGUGUCUUGCCUCAACCCUUGGCAAGCCUCUUCGAAUUGAUUGUUUCAAAGCAUGAGAAACCUCUUCGGAUAAAGGAUGGUCCAAAGAUGCUACUGCAAGGCUUAAAUGGUUGCUGGUGAAAGAAAUUGCUUCAUCCAAUAUAUCUUCCCCAUGAACCCUCAAAUAGGAAGCUUGGUAAAGUUCCAACAAUCCUCGAACAUCGCUUGUCACGGAUGACUUGAAAUUCCCUUGCUCGUCUUUAAACUUGUUGAAUACGUCUGAGAUGAAAUUACCCAAAAUGAAAUAUUGUUAUCAAACAUUCCAUGCUAUUAUAUACUCAAGAAACUUAAAAAUACCAUGUUGUUGUUCCAGUAAUUACCGCAUGAAACAUUGAAUCCAUGCUCUCGGAGUAGUCGGAAUCGAAGGGAUGUGGUGUAGAGGUCGUUCUCGGCAUCAUUGUUGUUAUGGUAGAUAUUCUCUAGUUCAUCUUCGAUCUCCUUGGUGAAAUGGUAACUCACACCCAGUCUUUGGACUGAAUCAAUGAAGGCUAACUUUUGGGUUGAAUUAGCCAUUGGUGCCACAAUCAUCUUCCUCACUUCUUCUUUCAAUUGUUGGUGGCGUUUUUGAGUUUCAGCAUCAAUAUUCUGCUCAAAAUAAUGAAAAUUUGCUUCAUAUUGAAUCACUAAAUAACUAAACAAAUAAUCUGUUAAGAUUAUAUAUAUACCAAUAUGGUGAUAUGUAUGUAUACCUUGUCGGGACAAUUGAGGAAGAAAUCUCCCCAAAUGCUAGGCUGAAAAUCGGCUUUGGGACGCAUUUCAUCCUUAUUGGAAGAAAGGGGUGAUGAAGAAGGCAUUUGAGAAACUUGUGAAGCCAUUUCGAUUGAUUAAAAGCAAAUAUUGAAAAGCUUAAUUUGCUGCCUUUUUUGGUUUGCUCUUGAAAUUUGGCACAGAAUCUGUGAGGAUAAGAGUGCAAUUGUUGCAUGUAUUUAUAGGUAAAAUAUACUGGGGAGUUUAAGUCAAAAAAGACAACCUAUAUGCAAGGAAACAAUUAUACAAUAAGAUUGGUGUAGGGCGGCCCAUUGCAUGAGAAUUGCAAAUAGAUUAAAAGAGAUGUUGAUUUGUCUUUUUGUUUGAUUCUCUUAUUCAAAGUUGAUGCCUGUAAAAUAUUAGAAGAUGAAAUGUGUAGAAAUGUGUUACAAAGUAAAUAUUUAUCCUCUGUUGAACUUUAGAAUUAUAGAAAUAUAUCAUUUCAGUCCUUCCCUCGGCCGGUCAGCCUCAAUUAAAAUAUAAAUUAAAUCAGUUGGACCAACUGAACUAAAUUAUUUAAUUAAAACAUAAUUAAAUGUUAAAUGUGAUUUCAUAUUAAAUAAGUCUAAAAAGUAGUAACUAGUUCCUUAAAAAAGAAGUAGUAAUUAGCUAAUAAAGAUAUGUAUUUUCUAUCUUGGGUAUGUACAAAAUUAGACAGACCACCAAUUUUCAAUUUAAUCAAUUAACCCAAUACUAUUUUCUUUUUAUAUAAAUAUAACUAUUUUUUAAAAUUAAUAAAAAUUAUAUAUAUUUAAAAUCGAUAAAAUUUUAUUAAUAAUAUAUUAAAUGCAAGAAACCUGUUUUCAAAUAAUAAAUAAUCUUUAACGAUCUUUUAAGUCCUAACCAUUGUUAAUCUUUAAGGCAUCUGAAAGUUAGAUCGGUGCAUGCAUUUGUUUCAGACGCAAAGACUUUUGUUUCUCAGUUCUUCCCACUAAUCUUUUUGAUUGAUUUUUAUAAUAGAGCACGUCAGGUUUCAUCAAGGACUAAGCAACGUCACUUGUUUACUAUUAUCCUAUUGACUAAUUGGCCAUGAACACAUAAACUAUGACGUAAUAUUUAUAAUAUUUAUAAUAUUUAUAAUAAUUUUUAAACCGAAAUAGCAUGUAAUUUUGAAAAUUAAUCAAGUCAAAUUAAAUAGUUCUAAUCCUACGAUUUAAGGCCAACAUAAAUGAUAAUUACAAUCCCACAAUUAAACUGAGUAAAGAGAAGUUAAUGUUUACUAUUAUAAUAGAGCAUGUCAGGUUUGAUCAAGGACUAGGCAACGUAACUUGUUUACUAUUAUACUAUUGACUAAUUUACCAUAAACACAUUAAACUAUGACGUAAUGUUCUCAAAUUAUGCAGAUUUUAAAUUCAAUUUUAAAUUUUAAAAAUAUUUUAAUUCAAUCCGCAAAGUAUUAGUAUCAUAUCAAUCAAGCCUUUCCAUUAGCUUAACAAUUAGUUUAGGCAUUAAAUGUCAACUCAAGCUUGAGUUAAAGUGUAUAUGAAAUACGUAGAUCAAAUUGUAAAGAUGUAUCUAUCUGUAACAUAGAUAAUAUUUUAUUGACAUUAAUUUUUUAAUACGUUAAAAUUUAUUGCAUAGAUACAAUGCUAAUAUUUUAAAGAUUUAAUUAACCUAUUUUGAAGUUUAGAACUAAUUAAGAAUAGGCAUAACCUUAAAUUUAGUUCUCAACAUUUACAUUCUUUUUUGUUAAUUUGACUUUUAUUUUUUUAGCUAAAAUUGAUCCUCACCCUUUUAAAAAAAAUCAUAUUUAACCUUAAACCUUUCAAAAAUAGUUGAAAUGCUAUUUUUUUAAUGAAAAUAAACCGUUAAAUUUUUAAACAUGGCAGCUCACAUACUAAUCCACAUGUACUCCAUAUUAUUAUUAUUAUUUAUUUUUUUUAUUUUUUUGUAAUUUUUAAAUUACUUGUUGGUGUGGCAUAUAAUAAAUAGAGUUAUGUCUACAUGAAGUACAUGUGGACUGUAACACAAGUUUCCAUGCCAACUUUGUUGAAAAAUUAAUGUUUUAGUUAGGAUUUUUGUUUAAACAAAUUUUUUGACUCUUUUUUAAAAGACUAAGGGCAAAUUUAGCUAAAAAGAAUAAGAAAAAGAGUUAAAUUGACAAAAUAUAUAAAUAUGGUGGCUAAAUUUGACAUUAUGCUAUAAGACUAUUGGCAAUAAAUUAGAGAUGACUGAUAGAAUUAAUCAAAAUAAUAUGGGCUUAUUAAGAAUUUUAACUUUAAAAAAAAUAAUUAAAUCCCUCGGAACCUCUUCUACUCAAUUGAAUCCUUGAAUUGACAAUUUUGACCAACAAAGCCCUUUGACCAACAUUGAUCGUUAGAAACUAACAGCAGCGCUAACGUGAUUGUCAACAGAUGCCACAUCAGACAACAAAGGCUAACUUGGCAGUGCCACAUUAGUAAAAAUAACAAAAAAGUAAAAAAAUAUUUUUAAUUUAUUUAAAAAUAUAUAUACAAUGAUGCUGGAUAAAUGAUUGUCCAAAUUCAUUUCAAUCUGAGCACUCAUUUAUUUAAGUUCCUUUGAAACUAGAGACACAUUUCUCAAGAUUCAUUUCGAAAUUAAUAAACAUAAAAAUUAUAAAAAAAUCAUUCAAAUUAUAAAAAAAAUUAUAAACUAAUUAAAAACUAUUGUAACACCACCAAUCAAGCGUAAAAGUUUCGACUAAGUCGAAGAAAUCACAUUUGAUCAUUUGAUGAUUGAAGUGACCGUUGAAACCACUAGUCUAUUUUGUAGGGAAGUUGUUCCUUUUGAUCUUAGGAAAUCAUUUAUUAUUUUUAAGCCGGUUUUAUUUAAAGAUUCAGUUUCGCUAUUAUUCUGGUGGUGUUUUGAAAGCGGCUGAUGUUUUUGGAAAAGGAAAUUAUAAAACCAUUGAAACAAACAGCGAAAAAUAUUUAUAAUAAUUUUCUAAAUCAAAAUAGCAUGUAAUUAUGAAAAUUAAUCAGUUGUAAAUAAAUGAUAAUUACAAUCCCACAAUUAAACUGAGUAAAGAGAAGUUAAUGUUUACUAUUAUAAUAAAGCAUGUCAGGUUUACCAUUCACUAAUUUACCAUAAACACUUUAAACUAUGACGUAAUGUUCUCAAAUUAUGCAUAUUUUAAAUUCAAUUCCAAAUUUUAAAAAUGUUUUAAUUCAGUCCUCAAAGUAUUAGUAUCAUAUCAAUCAAGUCUUUCUAUUAUGUUAACAAUUAGUUGAGGCAUUAAAUGCUAACUCAAGUUUGAGUUGAAGUGUAUUUGAAAUACGUAGAUCAAAUUGUAAAGACGUAUAUAUCUACAACAUAGAUAACAUUUUAUUGACAUCGAUUUUUAAAUACGUCAAAACUAAAUUUUUUAUGUGGUAGAUACACAUGAGUUUACAGUUUAUUCCGUUUGCUUUUAAGCAUGCCGCAUAUCAUAUCUUGAUUCACAUUUAACAAUUAGAUUAACUACGACAUUGAUAGAAAACCUAUUUGAUACAAUGUUGAUAUUUUAAAGAUUCAAUUAACAUGUUUUGAAGUUUUAAACUAAUUAAGAAUGGGCAUAACACAAAUUUAGUCCUUACAUUUACAAUUUUUUUUGUCAAUUUGAUCCCUUUUUUUUAGCUAAAUUUGGUCAUCAACCUUUCAAAAAAAUGUCAUAUUUAAAUUAAACCUUUCAAAAAUUGUUGAAUUGCUAUUUUUUAAUGAAAAUUAACCGUUAAAUUUUUAAACACGGUAGCUCACAUACCAAUCCACAUGUACUUCAUACUUUGUUUUUUGAAUUUUUAUAAUUUUUUUUUAUUUUUUAAUUUUUAAAUUAUAUUUUGGUGUGGCAUAUAAUAAAUAGUGUUAUGUCAAAAUGAAGUACACGUGGAUUGCCACAUGAGUUGCCAUGCCAUCUUCAUUAAAAAAAAUUUAAUGUUUUAGUCAGGAUUUUCUAUAAAAAAUAAUUUAACUCUUUUUUAAAAGAUUAAGGGCCAAAUUUAACUAAAAUAGAAACAAAAAAAACCAAAUUGAUGAAAGAUGUAAAUGUUGCGGUUAAAUUUGACAUUAUGAUAUUGGCAAUAGUUUAGAGACGAUUGAUAGAAUUAAUGGAUUGAAAAUAAUAUAGGCUUAUUAAGCAUUCAAACUUCUUUCAAAAAUCAAGUAAACCCCUCCAAAUCUUUUCUACUUAAUUGAAUCAUUGAAUUGAUAAUUUUGACCAACAAGGCCAUUUGACCAAUAUUGAUAGUUAGAAACUAACAGCAACUCUAAUAUGAUUGUUAACAAAUGCCACAUUAACCAACAAAUGCUAACUUGACAGUGCCACAUCAGUAAAAAUAAAAAAAUAAAAAAAAUAUUUUAAAAUUAUUUUUAAAAAAUGUACAAUGAUGCUGGACAAAAGAUUGUCCAUGCUCAUUUGAACAUGGACCCACAUUUUUCAAUAUUCAUUUCGAAAUUAUAAAAAAAAUAAAAAAUUAUAAAAUAUAAUUAAAAUUUAUAAAAUUAUUAUAAAAUUAUUAAAAUUAUUUUUUAAAAGUUUUUUUUAAAAUUAUUAAAAAUUAUUAAAACGUAUAAAAUUAAAAACCAAAUUAUAUUUAUAUAAAAGUUUUUUUUGUAAUUGUUUAUGUAUUAUUAAAACCAAAUGGAUUUUAAAUAAAAAUAUUUUUAGAAACUAUAAUAAUUUUAAUGUUUUUAAAUAAAAUCUUUAGAAACUUUUAAAAAAGUCCAAAUGGAUUUUUAAUUAAAAGCUUCUAUUCAACCUAAUGGACUUUAUAAAAAUUUAUAAUAAAAAGCUGUGUUUUAAUUUAUUUUAUAAAAUUUUAUGAUUUUUAAUUAAUUUAUAAUAAUUUUAUUAUUUUUUAUAAUUUUAAUUAUUCUUUAUAAUUUUUUUCUUUUUAUAAUUCCAUGAUGAAUAUGGACAUAUGAAUAUCUACAUUCAAAUGAACCUGGACAACUAUUUGUUUAAGUUUAUUGUGUACAUUUUUUUACAAUAAUUUUAAAAUAUUUUUAAUUUUUAUUGAUGCGGAUCACCCCAUCAGCAUUUGUUGAUUAAUGUGAUAUCCAUUAAUGACCACAUCAAUGUUGGUGUUGGUUUCUAAUGAUCAACGUUGGUAAAAAAAUCUCGUUGGUCGAAAUUGUCAGUUUAAAGACUCAAGUGGAUAUAAAAAGUUCAAAUGGAUUUAGUCGAUCAUUUAAAAAUAAUUCAAAAAUUUAUUGUACCAAUAAGCCAAUAAUAAUAGCUAAUAUAAAUGUAUAGAACUUGAGUUCAAUGGAUUUAUAUAUGAUGCAUUGACACUAUCAGUAAAUCAUAUAAUACUAUAAAAUUUAAAAAAAUUUCAUUUAAUUUUUAAUAAUAUAUUCACUAGGAACACGUAAAAUUAUUAUACCUUUCAAAAUUACUAUAUAUAUUUUUUAAAAUUGUAAGGAAGAACAUUUUUUUCAAAAUUACUUAAUUUCCAUAUUCAAAGUUAAGGCAAACCUAGCAAUCAAACAAGAUUCUUUUCAAGGAUUUCGUAUUAGAUAUUGCCGCCAAGCUUAAGAAAUUAUAUAUUUAUUCCUUUCCAAACAAAAGAAUUUAAACAAUUAUAUUCAUAUUUUAUAUUUAUGCGAAUUAAGUGUAAAUAUUCUAAAGGAGACGUACGAAGACCAAUGUUUAUCGAUAAUAAAUAUACAACAAAUAGAUUUUAUUAAAUUUCAUCUUGGAUCAGUCAAAAAAAAAAUAUGUAUAAUAUUCGUAUUUUUAUUUAGUUUCAAUGCACGUGUAAAGGAAUAAUUUAAUAAUAACAGCUUAAAAAGACUGGUAAGGAUAUUAUUAAUUAUAAAAAUCAUAAUCGAUUAUUUAUUGUUUUGAUUAAAUUAAUAAAAAUUGAAAGAUUAUAAAUAGAAUAAACAAUGUUAAUAUACUGUAUUCACUUGACUUUAGUGAAAGCAAUGUAUUAUUGUAAAAACUUCUUGUUAACUGCACAUCUAUAUAUUAUUUAUUAUGAAAUUAAAAAUUAUUUUUUUCCAAAGCAUUAUAGUUGUCUAUAACAUGCUAAAAUCAUUGCAACCUUUUAGCCUCUAUUGUUUUUUUUUAAGUCAAAAGGAUACAACCUUAAAAUAAAAAUAUAAAUGGAGGGCAUAUCGGUUUUUGAGUUGUUCUUUUGGUAAAUUAUAGGUAAAUCUUCGUUUUGAUCACUUAACUAAAAAAAUUAUAAUUUGAUCAUUGAAUCAUUAGAAAAUUUUUAUUUAAGUCAAUGAAGUAUUCAAAAAAUUUUAUUAAGUUACUACGCUAUUAUUUUUUUUAGAAGUUUCGCAAGAAAGCUCAAAGCAAUGAUUCGACAAUCGGUACACUGAAUCAAUAACUAUUGACGAGUAGAAGAACAUAUCUUAGAUACAAGUUGAUUUGAUGGUCAAUGUCGGAGAUUAGAGAAAAAAGCUUUUUGAAUUUUGAAUUGCAAAUUUAUGACGUUCAAAGCUAUUUCAUAAAAAAAUGAACUGUAGAAAAGAAAGGAAAGAGAGGUUUCAAUUGGUGCAGGCAGCGAGAUCUAUUCAUUGAUAAGAGAAAGAAAAAACGUGAGCGGUGAUUGGAUUGAUGAGAAAAUAGAAUCCUGGGUCGCGAACAGUGAUUCGAUUGAUGAUAAAGAAAGAGAAUUCUUGGUUCAAUUCUCCACCUUAACAGCAGAAAAAAGGAUUGAUCAAAUUCUAUUGAGUCUGACUCAUAGUGAUCAUUUAUCAAAGAAUGACUCUGGUUAUCAAAUGAUUGAACAACCUGGACCAAUUUACUUACGAUACUUAGUUGACAUUCAUAAAAAGUAUCUAAUGAAUUACGAGUUCAAUACAUCCUGUUUAGCCAUAUAACAUUGAUUUUAAUAGCUCACUGACUUAAAUGAAAACUUUUGAAUAGUUUAGUAAUCAAAUUGUAACUUUUUUAGUUAAGCGACUAAAAUGAAAACUUACUUAUAGUUUAGGGACUAAUGAUGUAAUUUAUCCUUUUAUUUUUUAUUGUUCGUCAUUUAAUGCCCUCGAUAGUCUAUCUGGUGCAUAUAGCCUUUUCGAUAUCAUAUAUAGUUUCUUUUUUUUUUAGAAAAUUUGGGACACCAAUGACAAAUUUGUUUAUUUAAGGGUAAAUUACACUUAUAGUAAUCCAACUAUAAAAAGUUACAAGAUGGUCACUUAAUUAUUUAGAUUUUUUUUCUUAGUCACCUGCUGUUAAAGGGCUAAUGGGAAGAUGACGUGACAACUUUUAAAAUUGGUUAAACAACUUUUAACCAUCAACAUUUAUAUAUUGGUUCAAUUUAGUUUUGAUUCUAACAAAUUUAACUCUCAACAUUUUCACAUUGUGUAAUAUGCUUUUUUUCCAAUUUUGCUUUUCGUUGUGACCCUUUCACCUAAAAAGCUAAAAAAAAAACAAUCUAUCAACUAAAUUUGAUCAGAAAUAUACAAAAAAUAGAAACACCAAAAAAUCCAAGAUAAUAAUAUGCAUCUUAUGUAAUUCUUUUAAAAUUAACCCUCAAUGUCACAAAUAAAAGUAAAACUGUAAAAAGAGAGAGAGAGAGAGAGAGAGACCAAAUUAUAUAAUGUGUAAAUGUUGAUAUUUUUUUUUGAAAUCAAGACUAAAUUAACACAAUGCAUAAAUGUUGAGCGUUAAAGUUGUUAUUAUGCCAAUUUUAAAAAUUGUCAAGUUAUCUUUUUAUUAGCAAAUUAAUGGUCGGAGACCAAAAAAGAAAAAUUCAUAUAGUUGUGUGACAAAAAAGAAAAAGGGUGAAUAGUUGGAUGGUCAUUUUUUGUAAAGUUCCAUAGUUGGGUGACUCAAAAAAUACUAAAAGUUGGAUGACUACUUUCAAUGCCAUUUUUAUGAACAAAGCUAGCUUGAGAAAUUUUGAGAAAAAUAUGAAAAAUUUAAAAUAUUAAAACAUUGGGUUUUUAUUUAGAACAUAAGAUUUGUCACAAAUCUUUUAACUAGGUGUGAUCAAGUACCUAUAAAAUCGCCUUUUAAAAAUAUAAUUAGUUGGUUUGUUAUUUGAAAAUCAAAGAAAAUUCGAGUUCAGGAAUCAAUUACAUGCGAUGAAGGUAUUAACACCUUCACAAUGCCCAAAAAAAAUAUCUUAUUAAUUAUGUGUUGAUUUUAAAUUCAAAAAUUACAAGUUCAAAUUCAGUAUUCAGUCAUCAUCUGUAAUAUUCUGUUUGUUAAUUAUAUGUUUGUCUGCAUGUUGUGUGCAUUUUUACAUUUGCAUAAAUAAUUUGGGGUUUUGGUUGUGAAGAGAAGAAAGUUUGAUUUGAUCAGUUUAUCUGUAAUAUUCUGUACAACAAUUUUACUGCAUUAUUAUAUAUAUGUCAGCUUAGUUGCAUAUUUUCUUUUGAGUGGCUUAUACCCACUAUCGUGGUGUGUAGGGUGGAUCGGCCUACCAUAGCCCAAUUGUGGUGUGCAGGGUGGUCGGAGUGGUGUUCCGGUUGGUUGGGUGGGUUUUAAUAUUUAUUGCUUUCUUUUAUUAUUAUUAUUUUUAACUUUGUUGAAAACCUUUAUAUGAAUAUGUUUAUGUAACAUCUUUAACCAGACCUAGACGUUAGAUCUGAAUUCAAAAGAUUAUAUUAUCCACUAAAGUGGCUCAAUAAGCUAUCAAAGUUUUGAAAACGAUCAUUUUAAAACAUUUGUUUAUUUUGGUAGGAAAUUUAGAUACAACUCAAAAUUUUAAUUAUGAUUUAGCAACGGAAAAGUACUGUCUAUUUAUUUUUAAUAAAAAUCGGGGUUCAUGCAUACUAGUUAAUAAUCGUAACAUGAUGUCCUAAAAAUUUAAAUCAAGUGUUAUGCAAAAUAAAAACAAACUCAAAUCAUAAACCCCAUGCCACAAUUCGAAUAAAAUAAUAAUACAAUCUCUAAAUAAUGAAAUAUCAAAUAAUAUAUCUAAAAAUAUUUUAACAAAAUUGAGCCGAGACCCUCUGGAUCUAUAAGGAUGAAAAUUAAAGGGGGACUGAGCUAUGACGCUCACUUUGAGUUCCAUCACAAUAAAAUUAGCGUAACAGUCAGUAAGGCAUAUUAAAUAAUAAUGCAUAAAAUAAUCGCAAUUAAGUAGCAGUUCAAAAUAUCCAUUUUCAAUUUAGCCAUCAUUAGCAUAUAUAAUUUACAAUAGCAAUAUCAAAAUAUUGAUUUCACAGAUCACUCAUUCAUAUAUUUAGAUAUAAAUAUAUCUUACCAGAAAUUCUAGGUUUGCAUGCAGAUGCUUUCAUAGAUGCCAUACGGUAUCAGUUUUAACAGAAAAGAUCCUACUCCACCGCUACACACUACGAUUAGAGUUAUCCAAAACUCCAACCGCUAACACACCAAAUUAUGGAUUAACUACCAAUAGAUUACAGUUUUACUGCCAAUGGUUGUGGACACAAAAUAGUGCAGGUAAAAUCUGCCAAUGGCCAUGGAUGCAAAACAUGCUUGCAGAUGAUUACUGUCAAAGGGUUAUGGAUGCACAACAAAAACAUCACAGAUGGAAUCUGCCUAUGGUUGUGGGUACACAAUAAGCCGUCGUAGAUGGAAUUUGCCAAUGGCUGUGGGUUCACAGCAAAAUAAAUGCAGAUAUACUGCAAAUACUUCCUCUAUUCAUAACAUCCUAUCCCAUGUAAAGCAAUAUGACAUGUUCGGCAGAUUAAUAAAAUAACAUUAAAUUAUGCUUUUAACAAACAAUACAAUAGCAAUCAGUAUUCUUAUAAUGGUUUGGUUCAGUAGCAAUGAACAUGCUUGUGACAGAUUAAUUUAUUAGUAAAAAUCAUGCUUUUUUGUGUGCUUGGUUUGACACUUACAUAAGGCAUACCAUACAUACGAUUACAACCCCUAAAAUAAUAGACAUAUAUAUAAUGUUCACAAUUCAUGUGUAUAUAUAUAAAUAUCAUACUAAAUCAAUUCAUCAAAUCAUGGAUUCUAACAUAAUUCAUAUCAUCAGGGCUUAAUUGAAUAAUUUGAAGCACUAUAAAUAGUUCAAAAAUCAUUCAGGGACUAAACUAAACAAAACAUAAAAUUCUUGGUCAAAAUCGUAAAAUCUAAGGUACAGGGGACACACGACAAUGUGGAAAGCCCUAGACUGUGUGGAAGGAGUGCACGGCAAUGUGGCUAGGUCGUGUGACAGACUAUGGCCUUGUGGCAUUUGAAAAAUCAACCUAUAAGGGAGACAUGACCGUGUGGAGGGUCCUAGGCCGUGUGAGGGUCGAAAUAACCUAGGGUUUCAGGGGGACAUGGUCAUGUGAGGGGGCCGUGUGGUCCACACGGGUGGCCCACGCGCCUGUGUGGCACUAUCUUAGGCAUGAUUUUGCAUUGUUUCACUUGUAAAAGAACAUACACUUGACUUCGGGAUCUCAAACGAUGUUCCUUGCGCCUAAAUCUGAUUCGAGGUACCUAGAUCAAGUCCUUCAAAUGACAUUUAAGCAAGAAUUAAUAAUGAUAUUCAAGAUUUAUCAAGAUUACUGGGAAAUAUUGACAAGAUUCGUAAAAGAUCAUUUGAUCAAUCUUAAAAUUAACAUGAAUAAAAAGUCUACAGGAAUUUAAGAUCUAAACUUUAGGAUUAGAAUGUUCUUACUGAUUCUUGGCAACGAGCGGAGAAUGUUUCGAAUUGCGAUUACGAAUCUAGUUGAAAAGUGAGUUAAAAUCAAGAAUAGAUUUCAAUUUUGGGUAAUCAAGAACGAUUUUCAACAAUGGAACAAAAUUUUGAUGAAAAGAAAAGCAAAGAAAAGAAAUAGGGAAGAAAUAGAAAAGAUGGAAGUAAAGUUCUAGGAGAAUUGGAAAAGGAAACAAAAUCCUAGCCUAGUUAGGAUAAUGGUUUAAAUAGCUAGGGUUUUCAAAUUUUUAGGGACUGUUUGGAUGGGUGAUUAACCAUUCUUGCCGAAAAUAAAAAAGGAAAUAGGGUGAGUGGUGUGACUUAAACUUGGGAUUCAAGGGAGAAAUGAAUGAUGCUUAACCAUUGAGCUACUACCCACACUUGAUCAUUUUUUACUCCAUUCAAUAUAUAUUCUAUGGAGAUUUUCAUUCUAGUUUGCUGAAAAUGAAAAGAAAAAUAUGGGUGAGAUGUAACACCCCAAACCCAGCCUAGACGUUAUGGUCGUAUCUGGUAAUGUCACACGAUAGUGUUUUUCAAACCUCGUUGUUACGAUGAAAACAUUCCAUGUUAUUAUCUUUAGUAAACCUUUGUUAGAACUUAGGAAUUCACCUUUAUUCAUUUAAAACAUUUGUUUUGAAACAUCCCUCGUUACAAAAGCUUUAAUAAAACAGUCUAAGUGAUCAUACGUGUAGAAAAUACUUUAACUUUUUGAAAACCAAAUUUCCUAUUACCAACAGGUAUAAAUCCAUAAAGUAAAAUAAAUAAAUAAAAAUCCAAAAUUUAAAACCAAAGUCCCAGAGGGUCCUUAAAUUACAACCCAAAUAAUCAAUACUAAUUAAUCAUAAAACGUAAAUUGAAAACCAUGAAGUCCAAAAAUUUCUGUGGUCACCGCUGAGUCCUCCGUCGCACCGAUCCAUCUAAGUUUGGGGAUUACCUGUGCACAUUAAACAAAAAGUGUGAGUUUACGUAAACUCAGUGUGUAAUCCCGCAGAAACAAACAAGCAAUCAGUAUUCAUAGUGCACAGUUGAACAGUCUUGGGCCUAAGCCCUUUUCAGUAUCAGUGACAAUUUGGGCCUUAGCCCAUCUCAGUAUAGUGUCAAAAAUGCAGUAGGGCCUUAGCCCAUCACAGUAUCAGUAGCAGUAACAAUUAUGCAGUAGCAAAAUCCUACCCAUCCAGCCUUUACAUACCAUCUCCGUCCAACCCUGCACUCCAUGUGGGGAUAUAAUCAACCGAUCCAUCCUUACACUCCAAUUAGUAUCGAAUGCAGCACAAAACAGUAGUUUGCAGCUGAGCUACUAGUAAAUUAGGCUUAAAGCCUUUUAGUCAACUUCCUCCGAAUAACAACCUCUAACCCAAUGCAAUGCAACAUACCAUGGAUGAUAUGCUAUUAUGCAAUUUCAGUACAUAUAUUCAGUUAAGAUAUUAACAUGCUCAGUAUAAAUAUCAUUCAGUCAAUUUCACACAUUUAGGGGUCUAAGUAGCGCUUACCGACCUUACAGUAGGUUCACAGUCGACUUGGGCGACCCAUGCAACCUUAGAAACAUUCCAGUAAGAAUGAGCCCACAAGCCCGUGUGUGCCCGUGUAGCCCACUCUGCCCAAAUUGGCCUUGGUCGUGUGAUCCAUUUUUAAUGUAACCCAUGCUAGCUAAAUAUUCAUAUAUGUUUUCACUAUUUACUUAUAUGUUCAUUCAAAGCUGUCUACUUGAGUCAUUGUCACUAAAUUAUUUAUAUCUUGAGCUACAGAAUUAUAAAUUAAAAUCCACUUGAUGUUUUCAAAACUAGACUCAAAUACUUUUCUACCAUAAAAUUUUUAGAUUUUAUAGUUUAUCAAAUAAGUACAGUAAAAUCUUCAAAUCUAUCCCGAUUCUACUAUUUGACAGCUUCAAUCUUUCCUUACUAAAAUUAUUUAUCUCUUAGUACGGAAUUUGGAUGAUAUUUCUGUUUGUUUCUCUUGAAAAUAGACUUGUUAAGGACUUAAAAAUAUAAAUUUAAGCGCCUAAUUAUUUUUUACAAUUUUUGAUGAUUUUUCCAAAGUCAGAAUAGGGGAACCCGAAACCAUUGUUUCUUCCAUUGCUUACAUUGUUUCUUCCAUGAAAAACUAGAGUCAACAAAAUUUAAUUUCAUAUUUUAUUCAACCUCUAACUCUAUUUCCACUAUUUUAGAUGAUUUUUUCAAAGUUAGACUACUGCUGCAGUCCAAAACUAUUUUAGUGCAAAAUGUCGAUUUCCAAGAUUAUAACACCCUUAUUUCCUUUCUCUACAAUUUUUCACAUCAUUUUCUCUUAUUUCUCGACAGUAAGCAAUUUUGGCUUUUCGCUGAAUCUCAUUUUCUUCCUUUCGGGUACACACCUGUAUCGUUUUCGUUGCUUACGCAAUCCCGAGAUCACCAAAAACCUUCUAACUUUGCACAAUUCCACGACUACUCAACACGAGGGAAAUAGCAACCGAAAUGAUUCGUUGCUGUAAAAAUAACCAUUCCUCAUUAAAGAAGAGUUCAACAAAGUUAAGAACGAAUUCAAAGCCAAAACCACUCGCCCAAACAACACAAGAAAACACAUGCCCUAUACGCAUACCAAACGAUCACCCCUUCGAGUCAAAUCGAUGAAUGUUAAUUCCAGAUGCACGAUCGACUCCUAAACAAUCAACAAAACACCCCUUAAUCCCUUAUCCAGAGUAACAUUCGAGUUUAAUAAAAUGGAAACUUACCGUACAACACAAUUGCACGCUUGCACAAAGGGUAAAAGAUGAAGAAAGACAACGAAAACGAAAGGGGAAUUCAAAGGAAAUUCAACAACAAUGAUUUAUUAUUUAGAAAAAAAGAGGAAAACUGAAAAUUGAGAGUGAGGGAGAAGAGAGAAAAUGUUAGAAAGGUGGAAAAGAGUUCUAAAUUUGAAAAAAAAACUAAACAAAAAGAUAAUGCCUAAAAAAUCUGGUAACUCAUCUCCUUAGUUCUCUCCCUAACCUCCCACAACAACUCCACUACUCGAAAUUUCAAUUUGACUAGGACUCCACUACGCCACACGGCCAAGCAACAAAAAAAAUAAUUCCCUAGCUCAUGCAAGGACUUGAACUCUAGAUCUCCCACCUCCCAACACAUAGCUUAGCCACCAAACCAGCAAGCCCAUUCUAAUAAUAUUUGCCAACUUUUACUUAAAAGCCUACUGACCAAAGAUAGGGCUUAUUCAUAAAAAUACCAAAAUUUUCCCAAGUCCUGGCUUGAACUUAAAACCUCACACACACACAGAAUACUUAACCACUGAAGCAAAUACACAAUUAUGUCACACUUUCGCAAGAACAAAAAUAAAAAUUCUGGGGCGUUACAUGAGAUGUGGAUAAAACCUAGGACCAUUAGGAAAGUGCUAACUUUUUAACCAUCAAACCAAGGACAUUUCUUGAUUAAUUAACCCUAUAUAUUUUGUGGUGUUACAAUUUCUUAAUAGCUAAAUUUCCCAUUUAGCUUUAAGGUGAUAGUCAAUUCGGGAGAAAACCAUGAGAUUUAAAAUCGUACUUAAAAAACAUUUAUUCUGGUAUUUAUUAUUUCUCUUGUUUAAGGAAUAGACAUUGCCGUCUCAUAAAGUUAUAGUGACACCAGGUAAAAAAUAGUUCGUUGAUAUGGUGUUGAUAGACAUACAAUUUGAAGAAUCGAUAUAAUCUGUUAUCGUAUUCGAUCUAUGGAAAAACUCAUUGGCGUGUCCAUUUAAGUGGUUGGUUGGAUCUGUCAAGAGAAAUAACAAUCGAAUUUAAAUGACCCACACGUUUAAGGUUGUUGAUUCUUUUUGGGCUCUUCUAGUUCACAAGGCUAUCGAAGAGCUAAAUCGUGGACUCGUGUUUUGUGGUUAUUCGUUCGGUAAGGGUUAGUUUUUGGGUGUUCCCGUAAUUAAUUUACACACGGAAAGAUUGGUGGUAUUAGGUGCCCUCGAUUACUAUAACAGAUUUAUUGAUUGAAGGAGAAGAUGUUUUAUCAAAGAUCAGCUUGAAACUAGAGCCGAAAUUGAGCCUGAAGCUAGAAUAUUUUCACAUUGGUAUAUUCAAUCUAUUUUUUUUUACUUUUAUUUUGAUUUUAAGUAUUUCUAUUAAUUUUAUUUUAAUCAGAUUUAAUUCCCUUUUUUAUUUUUGUACGGAUCAUCACAUGUCGUGCUUGACACUCAACUUAGCUAAAUCGAAAAAUAAUUUUAGAUAUUCAAUCUCUGUGGGAUCGACCCUACUCCUUAUACUGAUGUUUAUAUAUAGUUUAGGCGUAGGAAUAUUAUUUUUGGUGGAUAUGGCACCAAUCAAUUAUCAAAUAAUUAUUUUCAAAAAUAUAUUUUAAAUUUUUUGACUAAACUACACAUUUAGUCAUCCAACUUUCAUAAAUUUUUAUUUUGUGCACUGAAACAGUGCCCAUAUUGUAGUCUUUUUAUUUUCAGUGCCCCAAAAUAAAAAGAUUGCAAUAUGGGCACUAUUGUUACAUACUUUUAUCAUUUUAGUCACUGUCGGGAGUGACGAUGAUAAAAGUAUGCCGAUAAAAUUUUUUAUGUUUGAAAUUAUCGAAAAUUUAAUUUUAAGGGAUAAAUCCCAAAACUAUACAUGAACUAUGGUUUAAUAUGCAAUUGUAUACAUGAACUUUGAUUUUGUGUAAUUUUAUACAUGAAAUUUUGAUUGGAUCCAAUUCUUUUAAAUUAUUAACACAAUUAUUGAUAUUACAUCAUUUUAUGUUUAUAUAUUGCAUGCAUAAAUAAUUACAUUUAUCCAAUAUAAAAAUAAACUGAUGUAUUUAUUUCUUUAAAUGUGUAUGAUUAAAUCAAAAUUAAAGUUUCAAGUAUAUAUUUGAACCACAAUUAGAGUUUCACGCGUAUAAUUCCACCAAAUUAAUGUUCAUGUAUACAAUUACACAUUAAAUCAAAGUUCAUGUAUAAUUUUUAGAUUUAUCCCUAUUUUUAAUUACUAAAAUUAUCAAAUGCGAGACGAAGUUUAACUUAGAACAUUUAAAUUAAAUAUGCAUUUAAUUCAUGAAUCAUCAAAUAAGAUAUAUUUAUAUUUUCUAUUUCAUUGAAUUGAUAUCAUAAAUUAAUCAAACAUCAAUUCAAUUCAAUUGAAUAGUAAUUAAAAAAUUAUUAUUUAUACUAUUAUAACUUAUUUUUAUUCAGGCUAAGCUCGAUUUUAAACUCACUAUCGCAGGUAAUCAGGUUUCUAGUGUUAAGUUUAAUUUUGAAAAAUCCAAGUUGAAUCUUGCUACACUUUCAUAGCUCGAUUUUAAUUUUUGACCUUAACUUGGGUUAACUUGGGUUUUGACUAUAAAUUUUUAAUGUUGGCUUUUAUGUUAUUUGUCAAUGUUAUUAACAUUUAAGGGUGGCCUCUUUUUCCAAAGGAAGAGAAGAAAAAAGAGAGCGGCGAAGAGAACAGUGAAGCAUUUUAAGAAAAGAAGCUUACAAGAGAGGAGGUGGAAGAAGCAGAAGAAGAAGAAGAGAAUAGAGCGAGAGGAUCUGCUGGUAUAGUAUAUACCUUGUAUUGUAACUCUCUUGUUUGCAUACGGUGAAAUCUCACUUUAAAUAAACAUGAAUAAAAGGUAUAUCUUUUUCAUGCAUAAUACUACUUUCUAAUAAACUUUUAAUUUCCCAAACCAAAAAUUGUUUUGAUGAAUUUUAAUUGAUUUCUAAUUUGCAAAAUUGGUAGCACUCCAUUUGUUGUUCAAAAUUCAUCUAGCAGUACAGAAUCAAUAAAUUUCAUAUGUGACGAAGAAUUGAAUCUAAUAUAUUAUGAUUUUAAAUAUUCAAUAUUAUCAUUUUAAUCAAAUUUUUAUUUGGUAAAUAUAUUUUUUAAUAAAUUUUUUUUCAUCCACAAAGUGGAUGUACUAUAAUUUAGUAAUAAUCAAUAGUCUUCAUUGAAUUCUUAAAAAUUUUGAGAUUUCUAAUUCGAAUAUCGUCUCAUUUAAAUGUGUAAAUUCUUUUUUAAAGUUUUUCAGAUCAUAGUUGAUAUAGUUAUUUAAUUUAAUUCAAAGUUUUCCUAGUUAUAUGUAAAUGAAAAAAUUGCUUCUAAGGUACCUUCACUCAUGCUUCUAAUUAUUAAUUAUUUCAAAUUAUCAAUAUAUUUGUUUUAAAAUAAAUAAUGAAAACCGAAUAGAGAAACAAAGAGAAAACUAGAUGCCUCUACCUAAUUUUACAUCAAAUCAUAGUCAUUAUAUCUUGAGAUUUUCGAUUAUUUAUGUUUGAAGUUUGGAAUUUUCGUGUCGAUUUAUUUAAAAUUUAAUUUUUAUGAACAGUUUAAUUUCUAUAUAAUUUUACAUAUUAUUUAUGAGUUAACAAAAGUAUUGAAAUAAUUUUUUUAAAUUUAAAUUUAAAUAAUUUGUUUAAAAAGUUUUACAUGACAACUUUUUAAAAUCCGAACCCAAUUGUUUAGAUUUUUUAUAAAUGUUGUAUUUAUACAAGUCGAUUCAUAAAAUCACUCUCAAGUCAAUUCAGUUUCUUAUUUUUAUUAUAGCAUUAAAUGAUCUAUCCAAAAUAAUUGAUCCAAAAUAAUGGUGCGAUAGACAUCGGAGCUGUAUCCGGUAGAAGCUUAAUGUCGAACUCAACUUCUCGAUUCAGAGGUAAACCCGGUAACUCCUCAGAAAAACAUUCGAAAAUUCCCUCACUGUUCUCAUAUCCUCAACAGAAAGUCCCAAGAAAAACUAAAACACUAACAUAAGCCAAAUACACCUCACACCCUUUUUGAACCAAUUUCUCAACCACUAGAGCGGAGAUUACAUUAGACUAGUAAUCUCGACGCUCGACAAUUACGACAACCUCCUUAUCAUCCUCAGUCGUUAGAACGAAUUAGUCGCACAAUCCAAGCUAACUCGAUGCUCAACUAACCAGUCCAUACCUAGAAUUAAGUCGAACUCCCCAAACGGUAGCUCCAUCAAAUUUGCCGGAACACACAGCCCCUUGUACCCCUAUAUAGUCUACUAACCCGAACAGAUUGCCCUAACGGACUCAGUACAAUAAUCUCAGUAGAAGUACAAUCAACAGAAAUCCCCAAGUUCUCAAAAACAGAACUAGCUACAUAAGAGUGUGUAGAACCUACGUCUAUCAAAGUAGUAUAUGGAGCAUCAAAAUAAAGAACGUACCCGUGAUCACAUCAGGGGCAUCUCUGUCCUCUCAGUGUCGAGCAGCAUAAACCAGUGCAGGCUGCCUCGCCUCAAUCUGAUUAGCAUCUCUACCCGGUGCUCUGUCCUUAGCCCAUACCAUUACCAUCCCUAGCCAGUCCACGGCCUUUAGGUGGCUGCUGCAUUGCUCACUAAGGCUGAGUAGAACCCGGUCCCGAAGCUUGCAUCUGAUCCACACGAUGUGGACAUUCUCUGAUCCAGUGCUCUAAUGAUCCACAUUUUAGAAAAGCCCCUAAUCUCCUCCAACACUCGCUCGGAUGGCGCCUACCACAAUCACCACAAGGUUGAAUCCAAGUAGGAGCAACAGGAACUCCCACUCUAACAGGCCCAUCAGGUCUAGCUUGUUUCUUAGGCCUUUGAACAGAACUAGAGGGCUCCGAAUCCCUCUUAUUCUUGCCCCUCUCUCUGUCUUUGCUCUGGCGCUCCACGCACUUAACAUCUUCGGCAAUCUUUGUAUUAUCUACCAAAACAACAAACUCACGCUCCCUCUGCGAAGUAAUUAGACGCUCAGACUAUCCCUCAAACCAUCCUCAAAACGGACACAUUUGUCAUACUCGGAUGCCACCAUGCCUCGAGCGUAGCAGCUUAAUCUCAAAAAUUCAGCCUCAUACUCAACCACAGACUUAUUACCUUACGUGAGAUUCAUAAACUCAUGCCUAUGAGCAUCAACAUAGCUCGCGCCCACAUAUUUUCCCUGGAAGGCAGUCUUAAAGUAGUUUCAGUUCAGAUGAUCCAGUUGAGUACCCUCCUCUACCGGUAACCACCACUGAUACGCCUCAUUGUGACGUAAAGAAACUGCACCCUUCAAUUUCUUCUUAGGAGUGUUGUCAAUGUCAUUCAUAAUCCUCUCAGUAGCCACCAACCAAUACUCGGCCACAGUAGGGGCGACUCCAGUGACACUCCUAAACAACUCAGCUCCAUUGAACCGGGGUCGUUCAGUUACUGACCCACGGCCCUCAAAUCCAGAAUAGGGUCCAACGACCCUCUCCAACACCCUUAACAUGGCUUGGGACAAUGCGUCGUCCCCAACUGAGCGGCUUUGAGGCCCAGUCUCAGUAACAUGUGAAACUGAUAUCUUACUCGUAUCUAAAUUCGGUAUACUACCCAGAGAGGAAGACUCAGCUUGAGCCCCCUACGGCGCCUGCCGCACCCACGAAUAUUACGAUCGCGAGUUCCACGAGUGCUCAUCGUAUUUUUAGUUUUAUCUACAUUAUAAAAUUUUAUGCAUCAGUUCCAGUAUUUAUUAAUAGAUAUUUUAUGCUCAAGUUAUCAGAAGUUCCAAAGGAUUUCAGAGGUUUUAAUCUCUAACUAACUUAGUGCAGUUUCAGAAAGUACUAACCACAGUAUUUUCAGAAAAUUCUAUCUAAGUUUAGAAAUACUUACAGGAUCGGCGCCGAAGACUUGAUGUACCACAUACGUACUGAAAAUUAUUCAAAUCAAUUAAAAGCCAGUCCUUUGUCAAAACAUAAUUUUGGAACCCAAAAUUCACAGCCCGAGUUUUGUAACUUGGCUCUGAUACCACUAAAUGUAACACCCCAAACACGACCUAGACGUUAUGGCCGAAUUUGAUAGUGUUACGAAGAAGGGUUUUGAAAUUGAUGAUUUUUCAAUAAACCAUGUUUAACUAUUUGAUAAAACGUCCAAGUAUUAUAAAACAUAUUCAUUACUGAAACCGUUAUAAGUUGUUCCUUAAAAUUAAUCGUUUAUUUUGCAGCGGAAGUUUGGAAAUCGUUUAAAACAAAAACCAAGCUCAUGUUUUCGAAAACCCAUUUGUUGCGUAAAGUGUUUUUGUUGACGUUACGAAAAAAUAGCAAAACAAAAUCCAAAUGCAAAAGUUAAAACCAAAUUGUUUGAAGAGUCCCAAAAAUUACAAACUAUCAAGAAAAACCAAACUUUAAAAUUAAACCACUAAUUACUAAAUAAAAACAGUUCUUGGUCGAGUGGUCACCGCUAAGCCUCCGUCGCACCGACCCGCCUAAGUCUGUGGAUUAAUUGAACAGAACAGACAAACAAUUGUGUAUUUUCGUAAACUCAGUGUGUGACCCAAUAGAAAUAGCCAUGCAACAUGCACAGUGUUUCAUAUAAAGUCAGAUACAGAUUCGACCUUAAGUCCAUAACAAACACAAAUAUCAGAAUCAGAUAAACAAAACAAAUAUACAGAAUCCUACCCCCAUCCUCUACACACCGUCUUCGACCAUCCCAUCACACCACGUAGGGUUAAAAACACCCACCCAUCCCUACACAUUAUAUAAUGUCGAUGCGACACAUAAUAGAUAAUAUGCAGUCAAGCUGCCAAAAUAUAGGCGAAGAGUCGCUACACAGAUCACUUCCUCCACAUAUACAAUUUCCACUCCAUUCACAGAUACAAAGUACAGAUGCAGAAAUAUCAUAUUAAACAUGCUUAACAUGCUCGUAUACAGAUAGAUACAUAAUUAAAUAGUACAAUCAUACAUACAUAUCAGUAUCCUACUCAGAUCAGUCUAUCAAAAUAUCAAAUCACAUGAAAUAAGGUUUGGUUAGCCCUUACUGACCCUACGAUAGGCCCACAAUCGAUCGGAACGACUUGUGCAACUUUAGGGAAAGGUUCAGAAUUCUGGGCCCACAUGCCCGUGUGGCCCCACACGCCCGUGUGGCCUACUAGCUUAGCCCAAAACCCACACACCCGUGUAGUAUGCCCGUGUGGCCCAUACGCCUAACUUGGCCUAGCCCGUGUAGCCCAUACGGCCACACUCACACCGUCACAAUACCGUGUCUUGCGCAGGACCACUCCUUCAUCACUCACACGGCCGUGUCUCGCACAUGGCCAUCUACACGGUCAGCCACAUGCCCAUGUAGCGUCGACAGGCUUCAUUUUUAGCUUUUAUCGAAACUCGAUUUUUCGUGUUAGGAGUACACACCUGGUUCAAUUUUGAUGCGAAAUCACUCUUGAGACCACUAAAACCUAAAAUUUAUCAUUAAAAAGUCAAAUUUAGCUGCAUAAAAUGAUGUUAAACUGAAACUAUAUCGAAUUAACAAUCUCUUGUUCAACCAAAACCCUUACCUUCGAAUGAACAACAGUGAUUUCCUGCAGUUAUAACACUGAUGGAAAGCCUUGAGCCCCUUGAUCUUCUCCUAAACGACAAUAAUGAAACCCCAUCAACCAAAAAUUCACUAGCCAAAAACAAGAACCAAACUUACCAAACCGAAAUUGGGUACCAAGACCGAAAUACAAUGAAUUGCACCAACAAAUUUAAUUAUCGAAACAAAAGAGGAAAGGAGAGCAAAAAUUGACAGAAGUCGAAAAGAAGAAGAAAACAAAACGUCAAAACAAAAAAAAAGAUUUUGGGAAAAAAAUAAAAGAAGAUAAAAUAAAAAUAAAUUAAUCUCAAAAUAAAAGUCCCACUAUAUCCACUCCUAACCAACUGAUAACUACCCAUUUAAACAGACUUUCGAUUCCAUCCAAACUUAGUCAACCGAAGCAAAAAUUAUCACCCUCGCUCACGUAGAGAUUCAAACGUAAGACCUCCAGCAAGCUAACUCAUUACCACUCGAACCAACAGGCUCAUUUUGAUAUAGAUUAACAGACAAUUUAUAUAAACCCACCCAAUAGGGAUAAGGCCUGGAUAAAAAAUAACAAAAUUUUUCCAAAUGUAGGACUUGAACCCUAGACCUCACACACACACACUCAAAACACUUAACCACUAAAACAAACUUAAAUUAUUCAAGGCGUUACAAAGUGGAUUGAAUUUUAGCUUGAUUGGUAUAGGUAUUAUUGUCAAUGUAAGAGGAUCUAGUUUCGAGUGCACUUAAACGCUUUAUCCUCCUAUUUAUGGGUUGGAGAGGGGUUAUGGGUUGAUGAGGGGUUAUGGGUAGUUCUUGGCAUUGUGUUAAAAAAAAUAGAUAUCAUCAAAACUUAUAAUGAGAUUAUUAAAAAAAUGUAUAAACAUAAAACAAAUUUUUUUUCAUCAUUUUCAGAUUUAAAUAAGCUUUAGAUUAAAAUAAAUUUGUGUUGCUUGAGGUUUUCGGAUCUAUUUACUCUCAUUUAAGUUGUAAAGUUUUUAUGAGAGGUAAAAUGCCAUCUCACCAUUUUAAUAGCUUACAUCUUUAUAAUUAUUUAAGGACUAAAUCAAAAUUUUAUUAUUUUUAAAAGUCAAAGUAUAAUUUUUACCAUAUACUAAUUUAUAAAAUUUAUAAAAUUUAAAACGCUAAAACAUAAACUUGCCAUUUUAGGGUGCAGAGCCAACCCCUAUAUUUCGAAUUUGAAUCAAUUUAAGUUUGAAUUUUUAUAUGAUUAAAGAAAAAUAAAAUAAGCUUUAUUUUAAAUUCAUCAAGUUAAAUUUAUCAAGUCAAAUUUUUAGUUAGAAAUCAAAAUUGCAAGGUUUACCUAUAUUAAGAAAAAUUAGCUACUCAAAAAUUGUUAAUAUAUGAACCUGUGUAUUGGCCUGAUGGUUAGGAUAUUUAUCGCCCCAAGUGUGACCUGGGUUCAAGUCGCAUUGCUAUUAGGGCUUUGCCCUCCUCUUAUAAUUCACCAAAAAAUUUGUUGAUAUAUAUUAUAUAGAGAUAGUAAACUAUUCGAAAUUUUUGAGUUGAUUUAUUUAAAUUUGAAUUUCUAUGAAUUUUUAUGUAUUAAUAGUUUAACUUAUAUAUAAUUUUACAUAUUAUUUAUGAGUUAACAAAAUUUUUGAAAUAAUUUUUAUUUAAAUUUAAAUUUAAAUAAUUUAUUUUAAAAGGUCUACAUGACAACUUUUUAAAAUCCGAACCGAAUUGUUUAGAUUUUUUUAAAAUGUUAUAAUUAUACAAGUUGGUUCAUAAAAUCACUCUCAAGUCAAUUUAGUUUUUUUUAUAGCAUUAAAUGAUGUAUCCAAAAUAAUUGAUCAGAUUAACUUAUAUGUCAGUCUAAAAUCAGCACUAAAUGUUAAACAAUUAUGUUAAAUUUAAUUUUUAUGAUUAAAAAUAUAAAUAUCAAUAGUCAUAUUAUUAAAUUUUAGAAAUAAAAUUUUUAACAAAAAUAAUUACUUCAUCUUUAAAUUGUUUUUCACUAUCAAUUGACUAAAUUAUAAUAAAAUUUAUAGCAGCCUCAGUGAAAGGGGGUGCUCAUUCUAGUAAAAGGCAUAAUGUUUUCUUUUUCUUUUUUUAUCUUUUAAUGUUAUAAAAAAGUCAUUUUAGUUUUUCAUUUACUUUUUUAUCUUUUAAGUCUUUAAAUUUGUAUUUUUGUCAAAUCACUCCAAAAAUGAAUGGAAAAGUUAACAUUUUUAACUUUGUUGAUGUUGUAUACAUGUGGACUGCUAUAGGGAUGACAUGCCAACAUUUAAUUAAUUUUUUAAAAUUUAAAAAAUUUAAAAUAUUAUAAAUGUUGGCGCCAUUUUUUUUGAUGAAAACGGGGUCGACUUGGGUUUUGAAAAAUGAAACGGGAGUCGCCACCAAUCCUUUUUUAUGAGGUGUGAUUGGAUCACCUUGAAAAGUGGUUGUUUUUAAUAAACGGUUUAGUUUUAUUAAAACAACGAUUUUGGUCCACAAAAUUCAGAAAAAUGGGUUCGGGAGUCGGUUACGCACGAGGAAGGAUUAGCACCCUCGAUACGCCCAAAAUUGGUACCUAAUUGAUUACUUAAUGUCUUAAUGUCGAAAACUUUGAAGAACUUUAAAAAAUACGAUCCUUAUAUUAAAAUAAAAAUUUUUGGGAAAAGUAGCAUAUUUCACGUUAAUCGAGAAAGAGAAUCAUAUCCAGUAAGUUAGGAUACAAUGUCUCAAAUUCCCAACACGCAAAUGAAAAAUGCUUAUUUAAAAGAUAUUUUAGCCAUCUCGGAUUUAAAAAUGAGAUCACGACCCGUAAGUUAGGACGCAAUUUUUUAAUCCCGAGAUCAUUUAAAAUUUGAGUUUAAAAAGAUUCGUCAUUUAGAUUUAUCGUGAAAAUCGAAACCCAGUAAGUUAAGAUACGAUCCUCUCGAAUCUAAAGACGAAAUAUUAUUUAUUCAAAACAAAUUAUGUUAUGUCGAGUAAAAUAAAACACUAAAAUCGUAGUAAAAAAAUGUGAAAGCAAUUUGCAUUGUUGUUAUUCAUGGCAAAAUCAUAAUGAAUACAAAAGUAUAAAAUGAUAUGAGCAAUAGCAACAAUAAUAAAUAAACGUUAGUCCUACAAUCAUAUAAAAUAACAAUGUAUAUAAACAAAUAAAUCAAAACUUUCAUUCAAAAUAAUAAUAAAAUGAAAUAAAUAGUGAACACAAAUAAAACGUAAAGGAAUAUAUAUAUGUAUAGAAAUGUAAAUUAAAAUAUGUGUGUAUACGUAAGUUACAAAAUAUAUGAAAUAUAUAUAAAGUAUAUUUUAAAAUAUAAAGAAAAAAUAAAUAUGUAUGAAGUGUAUGUAAGUAUAUAAAUAUGUAUAUAUAAUAAAGGUGUAUGAAAAUAUAUUUUAUAUACAUGUAUUUAUAAAAAAAUGCAUAUAGAUAUAUAUAGAUGGUUUUAAGCUAUGAAGUAUGAAAAAUAUGUACAUGUAUGAAUUAUAAAAUAUAUAAAAUAUGUACAUAUAUAUAUGUAAAAAUAUGUAUUUAUAUAUUUAUAAAGGUUAGAAAUAUGUACGUGUAUUAUAAAUAUAUAUGCAUAUAUAAAUAAAUUAUAAAAUAGGUAUGUUUAUAUGUAUAUAUAUAUAUAUUACAAAAAAAUGUGUAUAAGUAUAUGUAAAAAUAUAUAAUAAUAUAUGUAUAUAUCUAUAAAAGCAAUUAUAAUAAUAAUAAUAAUGCAAUAACAAUAAUAAUAUAAAAUUUGUAAAGAAAAUAAACAAAAUCACUAAAGGAUUAGAUUAAACAUUAAACAAGAUUCGGGGGGUUCAAAGCGCAAAUAAACGAAAGGGGAGGGAUUGCUCUGAACACGCAUGUAACAUGGAGGGACCAUCAAAGAAAAUUACCCUUCCUUUAAAACGGCGUAGUUCGAGUAAGGACGAAGUUGAAAAUACGAAAAAAUUUUGGGUAAAUUUAAAAGAUCAAAAGAACCUAAUUUAAAAAGCAUUAAAAAAGCGGAAGGGCUAAAGGUGCAAUUAGCCCUUCCGUCAAAAACACGCGGAUCCCUAGAUCAGACGGGUCGGGUCGCGGGUCGGAUCUCGGUUUAGACGCAAAACGGCGUCGUUUGAGGCCGAAUGAAACAGGCCAAAACGACGCCGUUUCAUUUAGGUAUUUAAACCAAUUUUUGUUUAAAAAAAUCAUUCAGCCCCAUUCCCCUUUUUUAAAAAAACUAAAAACUUCUCAGUUCUCUCUCCCUCUUCCCCUUUCUUGAUCUCGGGUCCGGCCGAGGGCCACCUUGUCGGCCGUCGGAUCGCCGGUGCCAGUGACGCCGUACACGGUGGCCGGCGAGUGGAGAAAGGCGUGCCCUUAGAGAUGCCUAUCUCCUAAACCCGAAUCCGGCCUCAAAAUGACCAAAAACGAAUGGGAAAAGGCUGUUAGGCUUCUCUACAGUCGGUUUCCUCACCGGAGAAGGAGUUUCCGACGAGGAGGAAACAGCGACCCGCGGUGAGUCUCUUUUUUCUUUAUUUUAUGUUUUUUAUUUCGUUUAAAAAAUCAAAAUAAAAUAAAAUAAAUACAACGAAAAAAAGAAAAAGUAAAUAUUGCAAUCGAAAACCCAGGGAAUCACCUUGAAGCUUGAUAUUUUUUAUUAUUCUGUUGAAAUUUGUUUUCUUGGUUACAAAUCGAAAAAAGAAAAAGAAGCCCUUUUGAUUUUUUCAAUCGGCCUUAUAUAGCCAAACUACAAAAUAAAAAAUCUCCUUUUGCUAUCCGUAUUUGCUGUUGCUUGUUGGUGUUUGUUGCAGGUACUGGCGGAGCAGUUGGAGCAGGUGAGUCGGUGGCAAGUGGGCGUGGUGACGGCUGUGAACAGAGGGCAGGUGAGGAGGCCAGGAGCAGGUGCGGCACAACAAGGGGCUAGGGUUUCUGCUAGGUGUUUAUGUUUUGGGCUGAUUGGGUUAGGCUAGUUGGGCCUGGGUAGUUUUUAGGUUAAAAUUUGUUAUUGGGCCCUGGGUCAAAAAUUGGGCUUGUACAGCUGCCCCUCUUUGCUCGUUGUCGUGUAACGAUAACAGAGCAAAGACUAAGAAAGACCAAUUUUUGUCCAGUCUUUGCCGAGUAUUGACUUCUCUUGACGCUUCUUUUCAAGUAACUUUAUUCUAGUCCACUGUGUCUUGUUGCGUCGACCCACUCCACUGUAACUUCCAAAAGACAAAACUUGUAGCUUCAAUCCACUCUAUUGUAGCUUCAGGGGGUAAGGUCCAUCAUUUUGACCCGCUCCACUGCAACUUCAGGGAGAUCGGACUCAUAUCUUCAACUUGCCCCACUACAACUUCAGGGGGAUAAGAUUCGUGACUUCAACCUGCUUUACUGCAACUUCAGAGAGACAAGGUUUGUGACUUCGCUUCCAUCUAUUCUACUACAACUUUAGGGGAAUAAGAUUAGACAUGAUAAGAAUCACUAUCUUCUGUCCGCUCCGCUACAACUUUAGGGAGACACGCCUUAUUGUUUUCAGUCUGUUCCACUGCAUCUUCAGGGAAAUAAGACUUGAUGCGAUCUACUCUGCUGUAACCUCAGAGAGAUAAGAUCUUUUAUUUUAAUCCGCUCCACUGUAACUUCAGGGAGAUAGGAUAGUGUCUUCGAUCUGCUCCGCUGUAAUCUCAGGGGGAUAAGAUCUGAAAUUCUUUGGUCUAUUCCACUGUAAUCUCAGGGAGAUAAGACCUGAUGUGAUCUUCUCUACUGUAACUUCAGAGAGAUAAGAUCUUUUAAUCCGCUCCAUUGUAAUCUCAAGGAGAUAGGAUUACUAUCCUUGAUCUGCUCCGCUGUAAUCUCAGUGAGAUAAGAUCUGAAAUUCUUUGGUCUGUUCCACUGUAAUCUCAGGGAGAUAAGACCUGUAUAAUAAACCUAAUUAUGCCUAAUGAUUAGGAUGACAUGAUCAAAAUGAAACAAAUGCUCCUAACUAGACAUAUGUGAAUGGUGUUUGCAUGAAUGCAGAAUUUUAUUUUUCCGAGAAUGAUCUCGCUUAGGUUAUCACUACUCGAAGUUUAUCAAGGUUUUGUGACUGAUGUGCUACAACGCCUUCUCGCUUGGCUGAUUUUUCUGAAGAAACAUUUAGCCAGACUGUCCCCAUUGUAAACCUCAAAGUUAUAUCCACUGGGAUGCCAAAAUUUGUACCAUCAUUCUCUCACAGUAAUCUAAGGGUAGAAAUAUGUGGCUUUUCCUCUGUCCUCUUUUAUCACAAUUUGGGGAUAUAGGAUCUGAACCGUUCUGGUUUCCUACACCAUUCUCAAGGUGUCGUACCAAAGUCUUAUGCGCAAGUGAAGGCUCUCUUCUCCGAGGUAACCUCUUCCUAUUGCCUGAUGAUCAUUGCUUGCUUGUUCAUUUAAGCUUUGUAAUUAACACGACAGCUUGUCAUUUUGUUCAAUCAAUGUUUAGACGACAAAAUCUGAAAGGAUAGUCUUUAACUUAGACUCUUCCUUCCUAGCUAUUUCACCCUUUAAACUUGGUAUUUUCUAAACAAUAGUCAUGUUUCAGGUCCCUAUAUUAUUUAGAAAUUUUCCAGAGUAAUGUGCAAAACUUCUUUCCUGAAAGUUUUAUUAGUUCGUUAAUCAUUAUUCCUAUGCAACAUGUUUGCAAAAAGAUCAUAACAAUGGAUAAGAAUAAAGCUAGCUCUGAUCAUAACUCAAAUAAAACAUCAAAGAUGGCGAAAGAAAGGUAACAAAGAAGUGGAUUGAGAAUGUGCGUUUUCACAAAAGGAAAGGAAGAAAUAAAGAAAAUAAAAAAAUGUAUUUUCAAGAAUACACAUAAGAACUAGGUGCCCCAGUUAUCACCGAUUGAGUUUCUCUGUACAAACUUUCCGAAGACCCUUCUAAGUUUGACAUGUGUUCAGGAGAUCUGUAAUACUCUGUCAAUGUUCCAAGACGUUGCAUAUCCUUUCUCAUUGGUUCAAGUAAAGGAAGAUCAUCAUAUCCCCCCGAUCAAAAUUUGAUCCGCUCAAGUCCUGAUGUUCCAAUCCUGCCCAAUACUUGAGUCGCCCUUUUCGGGUUUUCGACUCAAGCCCUCUUUGGUCUCAAAGUGCCCUUUACGGGUUUUCACCUUAGCCUCUCCAAAGUCUCCCCCUUUUUUUUUUUUUUAGGAAGCAAAGCGCCCUUUACGGGUUUUCACUUUGGUUCCCCUUUCUUUCAAGUGAAGUACUUCUUGACGGAGUCUGCGUUUACAGGAUUUGGUAAAUUUUUGCCAUCCAUCUCGCAUAGGAUCAAAGCUCCACCGGAAAAGGUCUUCUUUACAACAUAAGGGCCUUCCCAAUUUGGCAUCCAUUUUCCUCUAAAAUCUUUUUGCAUAGGAAGAAUCUUUUUUAGUACCAAGUCCCCUUCACGAAAUUCUCGGGGGCGAACCUUUUUAUUAUAGGCUCGCAUCAUUCGUUUCUGGUACAUUUGCCCAUGGUGAAUAGCUCUUAGCCUCUUUUCUUCUAUUAGGUUCAACUGAUCGUACCGAGAUUGGAUCCAAUCGGCUUCAUCCAACUGUAGCUCAGAUAACACCCGUAGAGAAGGGAUUUCAAUUUCAAUGGGUAAUACUGCCUCCAUUCCAUAAACCAGAGAAAAAGGCGUUGCCCCAGUAGAAGUUCUAACAGAUGUUCGAUAGGCAAGGAGAGCAAAUGAUAAUUUCUCAUGCCAAUCCUUGUAGGUUUCAGUCAUUUUCCCCACAAUCUUUUUAAUGUUUUUAUUGGCCGCCUCCACUGCACCAUUCAUUUUGGGACGAUACGGCGAUGAGUUAUGAUGCUUAAUUUUAAAUUUGCUACAAACUUCAGCUAUUGUGCUAUUAUUCAAGUUCAUCGCAUUGUCGGAUAUGAUCCUCUCAGGCAUUCCAUAUCGACAAAUGAUCUCCUUCUUCAAGAAUUUGCUGACUACUGCUUUCGUGACAUUUGCAUAUGAAGCAGCCUCCACCCACUUGGUAAAGUAAUCAAUUACUACGAAGAUGAAGCGAUGCCCAUUAGAAGCCUUUGGUGAUAUUGGCCCAAUAACAUCUAUACCCCACAUGGAAAACAGCCAAGGAGAGGUCAUGACGUGAAGAGGUGAAGGAGGCGCGUGUAUUUUGUCUCCGUAAAUUUGGCAUUUGUGGCACUUCCUGGCAUAAUCAAUACAAUCUCCUUCCAUUGUGGGCCAAUAGUACCCAAAUCUCAUGAUCUGUCUGGCCAUCGUGAAACCACUGGCGUGCGUCCCACAAAUACCCUCAUGGACUUCUUCCAAAAUUUUCUUGGCUUCUACAGCAUCCACACAUCUUAACAGUACUUGAUCCUUCCUUCUUUUAUAUAACACUUCUCCAUCUAAGACAUAUUCAAUGGCUAUCUUUCUCAGAGUUCUUUUGUCAUUCUCUGUCGCUUGAUCAGGGUAUUCCCGAUUCUUCACAUAUUGUAGGAUACUCUGAUACCAAGGACAAUCAUCUUUUCCCUCCUCCUCAAUAUUGCAGCAAUUAGCCGGGGUCUCAGAGAUACUCAUCUGGACAGGCCUCAUUGCCUCAAGUCUAUUCACCUGAAUCAUCGAAGCUAGAGUAGCUAAUGCAUCAGCCAUUUGGUUUUCCUCCCGUGGGAGGUAAUAGAAGGUGAUAUCGUCAAACUCCUCAGCCAAUUCAAGAACUAGUUUUCUAUAACCGAUUAGCUUAGGAUCUCUAGUCUCCCACUCCCCUUUAAGUUGGUAUAUCACCAACGCUGAAUCCCCGUAUACUCUCAAUACUUUGAUGUUCCAUUCAAUGGCUGCACGAAUGCCCAUAAUACAUGCUUCAUAUUCUGCCAUGUUAUUUGUACAAUCGAAGUCCAACUUGCUAGCAACAGGAUAAUGAUCUCCACUUGGGGAUACCAAGACUGCCCCAACUCCAUUACCCGUAGCAUUUGAAGCUCCAUCAAAAUUUAACUUCCAUACGUGAUCCAUUUGAGGAUUUUCUUCAGUAUUCGCCACAUACAUCAAGUCCUCGUUUGGAAAAUCGAAAUUCAAAGAUUCAUAGUCCUCCAAGGCUCUACUAGCUAGGAAAUCGGCUAUUGCACUUCCCUUUAUGGCCUUCUGACUGACAUAUACUAUAUCAAAUUCUGAGAGCAAGAUCUGCCAUCUAGCCAUUCUCCCGUUCAAAGCAGUCGAUUCCAUCAUAUAUUUUAAAGGAUCUAACUAUGAAAUCAGCCAAGUCGUGUGAUACAACAUAUACUGCCUCAGUCUUCGGGUUGCCCAGAUUAGAGCACAACACAACUUCUCAAUUGAUGAGUACCUCAUUUCGCAAUCGGUAAAUUUCUUACUGAGAUAGUAUAUUGCCCUUUCUUUCUUUCCCGCCUCAUCAUGUUGGCCCAAUACGCAUCCCAUGGAAUUCUCCAACACUGUUAGAUACAAUAUCAAUGGCCUAUCUGGACUUGGAGGUGAUAAGACUAGAGUAUUAGCCAAGUACUGCUUUAUCUUAUCGAAAGCCCUCUGACACUCUUCAUCCCAUUCGCCCGGAUUAUGUUUCUUUAAGAGCCGGAAUACUGGAUCACAUUUCUCUGUCAGUUGUGAGAUGAACCGAGCAAUGUAAUUCAGCCUCCCUAGGAAACCUCGAACCUCCUUCUGAGUGCGCGGGGGAGGUAAAUCUCGUAUUGCCUUUACUUUGUCUGGGUCAACCUCGAUCCCCUUUUUGCUAACUAUGAAGCCUAAUAACUUCCCUGAUCUGGCUCCAAACGUGCAUUUGGCCGGGUUAAGCUUGAGCUGAAAUUUUUUUAAUCUCAAAAAUAACCUUUUCAAGACCUGAACAUGCUCUUCUUCCGUUCUAGACUUCGCGAUCAUAUCGUCAACAUAGACUUCGAUCUCCUUGUGCAUCAUGUCAUGAAACAAAGUCACCAUAGCUCUUUGAUACGUUGCUCCCGCAUUCUUCAAUCCGAAGGGCAUUAUAUUGUAACAGAAUGUUCCCCAUAAGGUAAUGAAUGUGGGUUUCCUCAUGUCUCCAGGAUGCAUCUUUAUUUGAUUGUAUCCAGAGAAACCGUCCAUGAAAGAAAACAAUGAAUAGCCGGCCGUGUUAUCUACCAAAGUAUCAAUGUGAGGCAGUGGAAAGUUUUCCUUUGGACUAGCCUUGUUUAAAUCCCUAUAAUCCACACACAUUCGUACCUUUCCAUCUUUUUUGGGAACCGGGACGAUGUUGGCUACCCAAUCCGAAUACUUGACCUCUUGUAAGAAACCAGCGUCGAAUUGUCUUUUAACUUCUUCUCUUAUUUUCAACACAAUGUCAGGUCUCAUUCUCCUAAGCUUCUGUUGAACGGGUUUACAAUCCUCCUUUAUGGGCAGACGAUGCACCACAAUGUUAGUACUUAGCCCAGGCAUAUCUUGGUACGACCACGCGAAAACAUCCUUGAACUCUCAGAGCAAAUUAAUAAGGUCUUGCCUUGUCUUUGCGGUGAUUUCAGUUCCAAUUUUCACCUCCUUUUCGUCCUCUAGGCUCACUAUUUCUAACGAUUCCCUAUGAGGUAGGAUAUGCUUAUCCUCUUGUUCCAUCAUUCUUAACAAGUCCGGAGAUGCAUCAUAAUCUUCGUCAUUUUCAAAGUCGUGGGAUCCCUCUGAACACACUUCUUGCUCAAAAAUAGGCUCCAUGUUUGAGGCUCAUAAGGGCAGAUCUCCAACAAAGCCCUCCUUUCCGUUGCUUCUAUGGCGUUGGUAUAAACGUUUUCCAACAUUCCUCCCAUGCCGCUACCGGACACUCCACAUUCAGAAUGAAUAAAUCCUCCCGACACAAAAGAUGUAGAUAUGUGGGGAAAGGUUAAAGGCUCACACUUAGCUUCAUGUCCAUUCAAACGCGCCCUUCUUCUCUCUUGUCUCUUCUCUACUUCUUUCUUCUUCUGCUUCAUGUCUGGCUUGUACCCUAAACCAAAUCUAUCAAACUUUUCCUUCGGCAUUGGUGCCUCAAUCUUUCCCUGAAGAUAUUUUCCCAAUCCUUUCCCGGGUAAGGCUCCUCUUCCUACCAUCAAUCGCAAUCCCAUCUCAGUGGUUCUGGAUAUUUUCGGUACUGGAAUUCUAUUUCCCUCCGCAAUAAACAUCGCGUUCACAAAUUCUAACGACCGAAAAGAACAUUCUAGUGCCUCAUCGUUGAUGUCCACAUAAGGUGCAUCGCUAGUCAUCAUUGCGAUAAUAUCCUCCUCUGCAUCUAUUGUUACCAACCGAUCCUCCGAUACCAACUUCACCUUCUGAUGUAAUAAUGAAGGUACUGCCCCUGCUGAGUGUAUCCACGGUCUCCCCAAUAGACAGUUGUAGGAGGGUUUAAUAUCCAUUACCAAGAAAUCCACCUCAUAAGUGACUGGGCCAAUCCUUAAUGGUACCUCAAUUCUCCCCAUAACCUCCUUUUUUGUUCCAUCAAAUGCCCUUACUAUGCUCUGGCAUGCUUUCAUGUGCGAACUGUCUAUUGGUAAUCGACUAAGAGUGGACAAAGGCAAUACAUUUAGUGCAGAUCCAUUAUCAACCAAGGCCCCCGGGAGUGUGUACCCUUUGCAUCGGACAGUAACAUGCAGGGCUUUAGUAGAACCUCUUCCUCCGGAUGGUAUUUCAUCAUCACUGAAGAAGAUAAAAUUGUCAGCACCAAUAUUGUUGAUCAGCCGAUCCAGCUUGUUUACCGAAAUAUCGUCAGCCACAUAUGUUUCGUUUAGCACCUUUAAUAGUGCAUUCCGAUGUACUUCUGAGUUUAAGAGUAAAGCUAAUACAGAAAUGCGGGCUGGCUGUUUGUGCAGUUGCUCCGCAACACUGUAUUCACUGUGUUUCAAAAACUUCAAAAACUCCUUUGCCUCCUCUUCUUUUAUUGGUUCAUUUACCAAUGGUUCAACUUCUACUGCUUUCCCUUUCCUCUGUUCUUUCUUCCAAUUCUCUUCCCUGGACGACUCUGCUUGAGCAUCAUAUCUUUUUCCAUUGCGCGUGUAAGAACCUAUUUCCUGAUUUCUUUCUGCUUCUUUUCCCAAAAUGGUCACAUUGCACCCGUAAUUCCACGGCACCAUUUUGUUAUCCCUAUAAGAGAAAUUUGAUGGUUUCUGGAUUACAAUUUUUGGUGUUACCUGAGCCCUAACCUCAUUACCCUUAGGGCGUGAGAUAAUGACCACAGGAUGAUUUAUUUUUGGAGCCUUUGUUCCCAACUCUGUCGCGCAUAUGCUCCUCAUUUCUUUCGCAUCUUCGUAAAACCUCAUCUCCUUGUUAUCCAUCAUGCUUUGAACCAAAGCCUUAAAUCCUUCACAUUCUUGGAUUUCGUGCCCUGUUUUAUGGUGAAAUUCACAAUAAUUUCCCAUCUCAUGCCCUUCCUCAGAAUCUGAAAUAACCAAACCUCUUUUCGCCAUUUCUUUCCAGACCCGUUUCAAUGGAGUUUUUACUUCAGCAAUGUCAGUCUUGACUUCUUCUCCCGUACCUUCGCUAACCAUAUUCACCCCCUUAUCUGCGUGAUUAGGUAACGGAUUCUUUGCGUUAGGUGAGUCGUCAAGUUUGACAACACCUAAAUUGAUAAGUCCUUCUACUACCUUCUUGAAGGCCGUACAAUUUUCUAUCGAGUGCCCAGAAAUUCCCGCAUGAUAAUCACAUUGCGCGUUCGUAUCAUACCAUUUUGGAUACGGGGGUUGUAGAGGACUCAAGUAACGAGGAGCAACAACAUGUGCAUCGAAUAAAGUCUGAUACAACUCCUUGUAUGACAUCGGGAUUGGCGUGAAUUGGGGCUUUUCAGUAGUUUGCCUAGCUCCCGACUCUUGUCUUGAUGAUCCCUGUUGAUUAGCAACCACUUUCUUUGGUUGAUUCACGGUAAUUGACCUACCAUAAGCAUUCACAUUAUUCACUUCAUUUUCUCUUUUCCUCAGGGGUGCCCUCCUAUUAUUUUCUCCUCCAUCUAUUUUUCCACUUUUAAUGGCAUGCUCAAUCAUUUCACCGUUCAUGAUUAUAUCCGAGAAAUUUUUUGAAGCGCUUCCCAACAUGUGAGUGAUGAACGGGGCUUUCAAAGUAUUAAUAAAAAGCGUCGUCAUCUCUUUUUCCAAAAGCAGUGGUUGCACCUGAACCGCCACCUCUCGCCACCUCUGCGCAUAUUUUCUGAAGCUUUCGUUCGAUUUCUUCUCUAAAUUUUGCAGAGUUAUCCUGUCAGGUAUCAUUUCUGAGACAUGAUUGUAUUGUCUCAGGAAAGCCUGUGCUAAAUCCCUCCAAGUAGCAAUUUUAGCUCGGCUCAGCUGAUUGUACCACUUUGACGCCGCUCCCGUAAGACUUUCCUGAAAGCAAUGUAUUAAUAAUUGAUCAUUAUUAAUAUGCCCCGUCAUUCUUCUACAAAACAUAGUAAUAUGGGAUCCUGGGCAACUAGUCCCGUUGUAUUUCUCAAAUUCCGGCAUCUUAAAUUUGUAAGGGAGCACCAAGUCCGGAACCAAGCUCAGAUCCUUUGCAUCUAUUCCAUAGCUUUCGAUGCUUUCUAUUGCCCUAAACUUCUCUUCUAUCCAUUUCCAUUUCUCCUCAAAUUGUUUUGAAAAUUCCUCCUUCGCCUUGUCCUUUUCAACCAUCUCGUAAAGAUCUGGGACAGCAAUAUUAUUCGGGCUAUCACCGGGAUUAAAGCCCGCUCCGGGUUGAAAAUUCAUUGGGAUUGAAGCAUCGCCUUGGAACUGCUGGGGCCUAACCGACACAGAGGGUCUCCGCGGAUGCAGCUCAGUCUGUACUUGCGCAUGCGGAUGCGUGAAACCUAGAGGAUAAAGUGGUUCACCAUUGUUUUCUUCUUCACUAACAAUCACAGGACCUUUACCCUUAUCUACUCCCUUCAAUAAUUGCGUCAUCUUAGCCACCAGAUCAUUUUGGGACUCCUCCAUCUUUUGCACCAUGUCACGCUGAAUCUUUUCUAUUUGCUCUUUCAUUUGCGCCUGCAACUGGUCUUGCAUUUCUUUUUGAAGUCGCUCUAGCUUCUCCAACCUUUGGUCCAUAAUUUUUGUCUUAGCUCGGGUGCCGUAACUUUGUUGGUUUUCCAGGUUAACUGAAAUGAUUUUAUUCGAUUAGGUUUUUAAUGGUCAUUAAUGCAUAUGAUGUGAUGCAAUGCAUGAAAAGAAUGCAAAGAAAAAGAGGCACUGAUUCUAAUUCAACUUCAUUAGAAAACUUUACUAGAUAAAGAGUUUCUUUACAUAAAAUAGACUACAUAUAUGGCUUUGCCCUUACACUCAAAGCCUUAACCUUUCUAAGAAGCCAAGCUAACUCUCGGCCCCUGUUCGACACUAACUCAUACUUCAAACUUAAUAGAUCAGCCUGAACCGCUAGAGUUUACAGAUGAUCAGCUACUUCGCGCACUUGAGUCACCGCCUCUCCCAUAAUAUAAUCUCUUUCUCCAAUCUGCUCUUGAGACCGACGGAAUUGUCUUUGCCACUGCUCAUUACUUUCUUCCAGAAGCUCUAUCUGGAUUUCACUAUUUUGCAAUGCAUUCUCUAGCCCUCCUAUUUGUCUUUUUAAUUCUUCAAUUUUGUCUAAGCUCGCCCUUAAUUCAACCGUAGCAUUACGAUUACAGUACUGGUGAAGCGACCUUUCUAGUUCAGUUAUCCGGACCUUCAACUCCGUCUUCUCGUCUUGGCAAACUAGUAGACUCUUUCCCAAGGCGACUUCUCGAGCCCGAGUAUCCUGAAAUUUCUUUUCCCAUUGAUUAGCUUUCAUCUUUUCCUCCUGAAUUUCUUGUCGCCAUUGUUCUGGCGUUUUACCCAAGCCAGCAGCUCUUACCGACCUACGCAACUUCUUGUAAUCUGUCUUCAGGCUGUCCAAAUCUUCUUCUGCUUUGUUCUUUCCUUUUCUCAAUUUAUCGGCCUCUAACCUUUGAAUGUCCACAUCCAGUCCUAACUGCAUUUUUUCUUCCUCUAGUUGUUCUAUUUUCUUCCCCAAUUCUAAACUCCUUUUUUCAAAUUCUUGUUUGAUGAUUUCUAUCUCAGAAGGCAAAACUUGUAAAUGUUCCUCCAAAGAUCGAGCAGUUUCUGGAUUUGACGCCGGGAUGUUGUCGUUGAUCCUUUGAUCACGCCACCGACCAUACUCGGGGGUAAUUGUCGGACCCACGGCUAAGAUCUUCAUUCGACGAGUCUGGUUCCAGGCACUAGAUAUUUCCCGAACCUUCUUCUUGUAAUUGUCCUCCCUAUAGGAAAAAUCAUAAUAGGCCAACCCCUGCGUUGCUGGUAUGAAUUAUCGUGAUCUAUACUGUCUUGAUACGAAUAGAGGAGCAUAUCCGAUAGCUCCCCAUAUCCCGAGCAGCGGAACCCAGUCAAAAUCUCCACAUUGGUACAAUAUCUCAUCAGGAAUUAACCAAGGAGCCCUCCAUUCAAUAUCUUCAUCCUGGAGAUUCUGGAGUAUCUCUAUCCAUUUUUCUUCUGAAAUAUCAUCCCGUCUUGGCGUGGCCACCAAUUCUCCUAGAGGGGAGUAGCUAUCAGAGAAUACCCGAUAAGAGACCUUUUCGACUUUCCAGAAGUGGCUAUGGAACCAUGCCAAUAAAAGCUGCGCGCAUCCAAUAAACCUUCUCUCCCCUGCUUUUCGACACGCAUUCAAGGAUCUAAAAGUUUCAGCGAGUAUUGCCGGAACCGGCGUAACCCCUUUACUAAGCCGAUCAAACAAAUCAGAUACAGCCUCGUCUAUGUGUCCUAAAGCUUUGGGGAAAACCACUAGUCCAUAGAUACCUAAAGCGAAGACAUCGACCCUUUUCUUUAAGUCAGGAUGUACAAGCACCAAAUCUCGCAAACUUUUCCAAGGAACACAAUUACUGUUGCCCUUCUGUUGGAUCCGGGCAGCGACCCACUGCUCGCUCAUCCCAGUGAUGUUCAUUAAUUUCUUUAACAACGGAGGGACACAAGCAGCUCUGGAAUAAGCCUUGUCGACUUGAAUCUUUGGGCACCGAAGCAAGGUCGUAUACUCCUCCACAGUAGGCGUCAAAUCUACCUUCCCAAAAGUGAAACAACUGUAGGCAGGAUUCCAAAACUGAGCAAGGGCUCGGAAUAAAUACUUGUCCACUUUGACACUAAGCAGAUAAGGUAGGUCACCGUAGUUACAAUAGAACAGCUGCUUGGCCUCGACAUCCCAUUGAUCCCAGACUUCUUUCAUUUCUCGAAGGUCAUUCUGGAUUACACUGAUACGGGUAAAAUCCCACAAUUCUGACACGUACCCUUCGGUAAGACUAUCGCCUUUCUCCCGUUGUGUCGUUUCAGCCCAUAUUCGCACAGCCGCAUUAUCCUCUACUUUAUCAACAAACCCCUUUUCCAUGAUAAGCUUUCUACCAAGAAACUGAACGUAAAUCGACACCUCUUUUAGAAUGAAGAUGCCAUGCAAUCACAAACAAAGUAAAUUAGCAUUAAACACAGAAUAAGAUUUAAAAUAAGCGACAAAUAAAUACAACAUUCAUUUAGGUAAGCACUAAAAAUUUGGAGUAGCUCUACCUAGGUCAGUUCCUAUGGCUCAUUACAUGUGGUUUGGUUCUAAAGUAGGGUACCUGAACCAGCAAAUUCCUCGAUCCUCACCCAUUAUAGGCUCAUACGGACCAAGUUCGAUUCAGGGGGAUACAUUUCCCUAUGGCCAUGCGGAGAUGAAAAUCUCACGAAGACAUAGGUACGGAUAUAUCCCGAAAGCGAUUCACUAUCCCAUGCGGAGGUGAAAACCUCACGAAGGCGUAGCUUCUCACUCCCACCUAAAAAGGUGUGACCAACGGUCAUGCAAUGCAAUGCGGAAAGAUACCAAAAUUUAAACAAAUAGAGCAAUUAUAAACCCCAAUGAUGAUGAUUAUGAUAAAGACAGAUAAAAUGCGAUGAAAGGAUCGUAAUUUUAAACCGAAUUUUCAAUUUUUGACAAAAGACAAAAAGUAAUCACCACGUGGCUUGACCCUCUUAUCGGUGUCCCCAGUGGAGUCGCCAAGCUGUUGGCGCCAUUUUUUUUGAUGAAAACGGGGUCGACUUGGGUUUUGAAAAAUGAAACGGGAGUCGCCACCAAUCCUUUUUUAUGAGGUGUGAUUGGAUCACCUUGAAAAGUGGUUGUUUUUAAUAAACGGUUUAGUUUUAUUAAAACAACGAUUUUGGUCCACAAAAUUCAAAAAAAUGGGUUCGGGAGUCGGUUACGCACGAGGAAGGAUUAGCACCCUCGAUACGCCCAAAAUUGGUACCUAAUUGAUUACUUAAUGUCUUAAUGUCGAAAACUUUGAAGAACUUUAAAAAAUACGAUCCUUAUAUUAAAAUAAAAAUUUUUGGGAAAAGUAGCAUAUUUCACGUUAAUCGAGAAAGAGAAUCAUAUCCAGUAAGUUAGGAUACAAUGUCUCAAAUUCCCAACACGCAAAUGAAAAAUGCUUAUUUAAAAGAUAUUUUAGCCAUCUCGGAUUUAAAAAUGAGAUCACGACCCGUAAGUUAGGACGCAAUUUUUUAAUCCCGAGAUCAUUUAAAAUUUGAGUUUAAAAAGAUUCGUCAUUUAGAUUUAUCGUGAAAAUCGAAACCCAGUAAGUUAAGAUACGAUCCUCUCGAAUCUAAAGACGAAAUAUUAUUUAUUCAAAACAAAUUAUGUUAUGUCGAGUAAAAUAAAACACUAAAAUCGUAGUAAAAAAAUGUGAAAGCAAUUUGCAUUGUUGUUAUUCAUGGCAAAAUCAUAAUGAAUACAAAAGUAUAAAAUGAUAUGAGCAAUAGCAACAAUAAUAAAUAAACGUUAGUCCUACAAUCAUAUAAAAUAACAAUGUAUAUAAACAAAUAAAUCAAAACUUUCAUUCAAAAUAAUAAUAAAAUGAAAUAAAUAGUGAACACAAAUAAAACGUAAAGGAAUAUAUAUAUGUAUAGAAAUGUAAAUUAAAAUAUGUGUGUAUACGUAAGUUACAAAAUAUAUGAAAUAUAUAUAAAGUAUAUUUUAAAAUAUAAAGAAAAAAUAAAUAUGUAUGAAGUGUAUGUAAGUAUAUAAAUAUGUAUAUAUAAUAAAGGUGUAUGAAAAUAUAUUUUAUAUACAUGUAUUUAUAAAAAAAUGCAUAUAGAUAUAUAUAGAUGGUUUUAAGCUAUGAAGUAUGAAAAAUAUGUACAUGUAUGAAUUAUAAAAUAUAUAAAAUAUGUACAUAUAUAUAUGUAAAAAUAUGUAUUUAUAUAUUUAUAAAGGUUAGAAAUAUGUACGUGUAUUAUAAAUAUAUAUGCAUAUAUAAAUAAAUUAUAAAAUAGGUAUGUUUAUAUGUAUAUAUAUAUAUAUUACAAAAAAAUGUGUAUAAGUAUAUGUAAAAAUAUAUAAUAAUAUAUGUAUAUAUCUAUAAAAGCAAUUAUAAUAAUAAUAAUAAUGCAAUAACAAUAAUAAUAUAAAAUUUGUAAAGAAAAUAAACAAAAUCACUAAAGGAUUAGAUUAAACAUUAAACAAGAUUCGGGGGGUUCAAAGCGCAAAUAAACGAAAGGGGAGGGAUUGCUCUGAACACGCAUGUAACAUGGAGGGACCAUCAAAGAAAAUUACCCUUCCUUUAAAACGGCGUAGUUCGAGUAAGGACGAAGUUGAAAAUACGAAAAAAUUUUGGGUAAAUUUAAAAGAUCAAAAGAACCUAAUUUAAAAAGCAUUAAAAAAGCGGAAGGGCUAAAGGUGCAAUUAGCCCUUCCGUCAAAAACACGCGGAUCCCUAGAUCAGACGGGUCGGGUCGCGGGUCGGAUCUCGGUUUAGACGCAAAACGGCGUCGUUUGAGGCCGAAUGAAACAGGCCAAAACGACGCCGUUUCAUUUAGGUAUUUAAACCAAUUUUUGUUUAAAAAAAUCAUUCAGCCCCAUUCCCCUUUUUAAAAAAACUAAAAACUUCUCAGUUCUCUCUCCCUCUUCCCCUUUCUUGAUCUCGGGUCCGGCCGAGGGCCACCUUGUCGGCCGUCGGAUCGCCGGUGCCAGUGACGCCGUACACGGUGGCCGGCGAGUGGAGAAAGGCGUGCCCUUAGAGAUGCCUAUCUCCUAAACCCGAAUCCGGCCUCAAAAUGACCAAAAACGAAUGGGAAAAGGCUGUUAGGCUUCUCUACAGUCGGUUUCCUCACCGGAGAAGGAGUUUCCGACGAGGAGGAAACAGCGACCCGCGGUGAGUCUCUUUUUUCUUUAUUUUAUGUUUUUUAUUUCGUUUAAAAAAUCAAAAUAAAAUAAAAUAAAUACAACGAAAAAAAGAAAAAGUAAAUAUUGCAAUCGAAAACCCAGGGAAUCACCUUGAAGCUUGAUAUUUUUUAUUAUUCUGUUGAAAUUUGUUUUCUUGGUUACAAAUCGAAAAAAGAAAAAGAAGCCCUUUUGAUUUUUUCAAUCGGCCUUAUAUAGCCAAACUACAAAAUAAAAAAUCUCCUUUUGCUAUCCGUAUUUGCUGUUGCUUGUUGGUGUUUGUUGCAGGUACUGGCGGAGCAGUUGGAGCAGGUGAGUCGGUGGCAAGUGGGCGUGGUGACGGCUGUGAACAGAGGGCAGGUGAGGAGGCCAGGAGCAGGUGCGGCACAACAGGGGGCUAGGGUUUCUGCUAGGUGUUUAUGUUUUGGGCUGAUUGGGUUAGGCUAGUUGGGCCUGGGUAGUUUUUAGGUUAAAAUUUGUUAUUGGGCCCUGGGUCAAAAAUUGGGCUUGUACAAUAAAAUUAUUUUUAAAAAAUAAAAAUUAUUAAAAAAUACAAAAACAAUAUUUUUAAUAGUUUAGAGAUGAAUUAAAUGCUAACAUGUCAUCUACUCAGCAAUCCACAUGUAUAACACGUCAUGAAAGUUAAUAAACAUUUAUUUUUUCAUCCACUCUGGAGUGGCUUGACAGAAAAUGUAAAUUCAAGUGUUAAAAGAAGCGAAAAUUUUAAUGGAGGGCUAAAAUGACUUGUUUUGUGAAGUUGGAGGGCCAAAAAAUAAUUAUGCCAAAACUAAAUGAUUAAUAGAAAACAAGGGGAAAUUUGCAUGCAUCUAUAUAAUUUUAUUUCAAACCAUUGUCAUUAUCUUGAGAUAUACAUUGGCAAACAUUCAUUGAAUAUACCUUGGGAAAAAAAAAUACUACAAGACAACGAAAUUAAAUAUCAUAAUCAAAUGUUGAAAAUGAAUGAUAAGAAAUUUAAAUUAAAAAUCAAACAUAGUAGGCUUGAUGUGCAAGCUAUCUGCAAUCUUUUUUUUUAAUUGUUUUAUUAUAUAGAUUUUAAUAUUUCUUACGUCUUUUAUCAGUCAAUUUGAACUGAUGCAUUCAUUUGUUUCAUUCAUAUGGUGUUGGAUCACAUUAAAAAAUAUAUACAAUUAAUUAAUCAUUUUUAGCUUAAUAAAAAAUAUAUAAUCUUGAUUGGUAUGAGUAUUAUUAUUAAUGUAAGAGGAUCUAGUUUUAAGUGUGCUUAAGCGCAUUAUCCUCCUAUUUAUGGGUUGAGGAGGGGUUAUGGGUAAUUUUAGGCAUUAUGUCAAAAAGAGCAUAUAUGAUCAGAACUUGUAAUGAAAUUAUUAAAAAAAAUGUAUAAACAUAAACAAUUUUGUUUACAUAAUUUUUAGAUAUAAAUGAGCUUUGGAUUCAAAUAAUUUUGUGUUGCUUGAGGUUUUCGGAUCUAUUUACUCUCAUUUAAGUUGUAAAGUUUUUACGAGAGGUAAAAUGUAAUUUCAUUAUUUUAAUAGCUUACGUCUUUAUAAUUAAUUAAAGGUUAAAUCAAAAUUUUAUUAUUUUUGAAAGCUAAUGUGUGAUUUUUACCAUGUAGUAAUUUUUAUAAUUUAUAAAAUUUAAAACACUAAAACAUAAACUUACCAUUUUAGGGUGCAGAGCCAGCCCCUAUAUUUUGAAUUUGAAGCAAUUUAAGUUUAAAUUUGUAAUUUUUUAUGAUUAAAUAAAAAUAAAAUAAGCUUUAUUUUAAAUUGAUCAAGUAAAAUUUAUCAAGUCAAAUUUUGAGUUAGAAAUCAAAAUUGUGAGGUUUACCUAUAUUAAGAAAAAUUAGCUACUAAAAAAUUGUUAAUAUAUAAAUUUGUGUGUUGGCUUGUUGGUCAGGGUAUUCAUCGCCCCAAAUGUGAUUUGGGUUCGAGUCGCGUUACUGUUAACGUUUUGUCAUCCUCUUGUAAUUUACUAAAAAAUUGUUAAUAUAUAUUAUAUAAAGAUAGUAAACUGUUGACUAACAUAAUGUCAUCAUUCAUAGAGGAAAAAAAAAGGCACAUUGAUCAUAUUUUCAGCCAUCCAUAAAAUAGCAGUAAAAUAAUUGACUUGAGAAAUAACACAUAAAAUCAUAUGAUAUAUUUGAUACACUGAGAGCAUUGAAGAGUCAUUUGAAUCAUCGUAAAAGACAAAGUAGACAAUUCAGUGACGAAAUUCUCAAUAUAUAUAACUACGAAAUUCCACACAAAAUUGUGAAAACAACGAAAAAUAUCUAAUAAAAAUAAACCAUUCAAACAAGACCGCUUGACUCUUUGAGUAAUGAAUUUUUUUUCACAAUUAAUUUAACAUGUUUUUCCAAUUUGAAUAGUAAACACUAUAGUUGCAAUUCAGUCAAUACUAGAAAUUUAUAUUUUAAACCCAUCGUUUAGAAUAUUCCAUUUUUUACAUUGGAAAUAACACAAAAGAUUCAAAGGAAAAAUAAGCAAAUUUCAUCAAAGGCGUCUAUUUGUAAUGGAAAAUUUAUAAUGUGGAUCCUUGUAUUAUAAACUAAAGAACAAAUUAACUCCUUAAGUAUAAAAGUGAGCAAUUUAGUCCUUUAGGUCUUUUCUCUUUUUUCUCCAAGCCGUUUGUUUCUUCUUUUUUGUUUUGCGUAGCAACGGUGGCAAUCUCCGGGCUGGCUACUGCCCACCUUUUGCUCCCUCCAUUCCAUAUGUUUUCUCUCUUUUCAAUUGAUACAUCUAUUUUGUAGGUAUCUUUGUUGCCUUCACAUGUUGUGAUGGACAGAUGAUGAUGCCUAUCGUCGCUGAAAUUACCCUGGCCAUCAACAGUUUCUCUAAGAAAGUGGGUGACUUUUAAUUGGCUCUUGAUCUAUUUUUGUUUGGAGAGUAUUUUAGAAUAAUAAAUAAUUUUACGAAUCAGUUUGGACCUCUAGUAUUUUAAGUCGUCACCAUUCAUUCCAUGAAUGGAAUCAUAUCAUUUAUGUAAAAGAUAAAACUUAAACAUGUCUUUAUAUUUGUAAAAACUUAACAAUAAGAAGGCUUGACUAUUUGAAUAAGUUAUUUUUCACAAUAUUUUCAAUUUGAAUUGUAAGUACUCCAUAGUUGUAUGAUUCAGUGAAUACUAGAAAUUUAUAUUCAAAACCCAUCAUUUAAAAUUUUCUGAUACAUUAGAAUUGAGAAGAAAAAUAUUUAGAGUAAGCAAAUUUCAGCAAUGGCGUCUAUAUUUAUAAUUGAAAGUUAUCAAUAAAAUUAAUAUCUUAUUUCUUUUUAAUAUUUUAUUGUGCAUGCGUAGUUUUACUAAUGGCAUUGAUAUCCCAGAAUUAAAAUAUUUCCAACAAGCAUGUGCUCUAUUGAUUGACUUUAAAGUCUCUAGAUUUUUAAAAUGAAUUUACUAAAAAAAUGAAAAAAAAUUAUUAGAAUUAAUUUUUAUUAAUUGAUAAUAAACUUAUGAAUAAUUAAGUAUUACAUUUUUAUUAAUUCCAAAUCAAACUUCUUUUUUUAUAUAAUACCUAAAACUACUUAUAAUCCCUUCCUAAUCCUUAAAUAAGAAAAUAAUGUGUUUCAACAUAUUCAAACCCACAUCUUCCUGCACUGACAGAUUAUAUAAAUUUAAAUAUUCAAUAUAUAUAUUUCUCUAAAACUGACAUGUUGAAAAAGGAAAUCACAACUAUAAAACAAUCAUCUUCAAAGUUUCAAUAAUAAAAUAAGUAUAAUACAAAUUUAAUGAUAAAUUCAUGAUGUGUUAGGAUAUAAAACUAAUAUUUUAAAAAAACGAUAUGAAAUUAUAAAUUCUAUUGUGAUUAUAGUAUAUUUAUAAAUGAAUGUUGGGAUAAUUAUAAAAUGGAAUUAAAUUAAUAUAAAAUACAUUAAAAAUUAAAAUAAUUAAAACUAAAAUUGAUUCAUUGGACAAAAAUAUACACUUAACAACGACGCAUUAUAAAAGUAAAGAUCUAGAUAUGAUAAUUGCAUAUAAUAAAAUUUAAAUAUAAAUAUAAAAUACUUAAAAAUUUCAACCAACAAUAUCUUCGUUAAAAUUAUAAAUUCGCUUGAUUAUUUUCCUUUGAUUUAACACAUCUUCUUUUGGUAGCCGUCUGUACCUGACUCGACCAGUUAACCCACAAAACAUUUUACAUGUACAAUAAUGACACAAUUUCGCUCAGGCCUAAUUUACAUAUAAAUACAAAAUUACAAAUCCAAAUAAAAAUAUUACAAGCCCAAAUGUAAAAAGGAAGCCCAGUGGCCCAAAAAACUUAAACAUUUUCAGAAGGACAGAAACCUUAGCCAGCGCGCCGCCCUCUCUGCUUUGCCAGCGGUUUCGUUGCCUGAGGUUUGACGCCUCAUCUGCCAGUUGUCGCCAUCGACUAGGGACACUUGCAAAAAAGGAAGAACAAGGACAGAAGCACAACACCCAAGAAAAAACAGUAGAAACAGUAGAAAAACAGUAAAAAAGAGAGUGUAAUUCGACUAUAAAAGCCAUGACUUUUAUGUAUUUCUUUACAAGAAAAAAAGGAAUAAAAAACAGAACACAAAGAAAACAUUUUUAAAGGUGAUUUUCUUCAUUUUUUUAUCUGUUAUUUUUAGAAAAAAAACAUAAAACAUAAAAUCAAAAAAACUUACUGAGCCGUUUCAUGUUCCACCGCCGCGAGUAGACGAGGACACCGUCCGCGAUGACGGACGGCUCCCUUCGGUGAGACCUCCGAGUCACUUCUGUUUUGUCUAAGGACCACGGCGGAGAAAACCAAGGGGUUGUUCAGAUUUUUUUUAAUUUUUUGUUGGGUUUUGGAAAGUACUGACCCCGGAUUCGGGCUCAAGAAGCCGUAACGGCCAAAAAAUGGUUGCUUGUAGAUUCUAGCCACCGGGAACAGUGAAAUCAUCGCCGGCGCCAGGGGCAAACGUGGAAAACCGAGAGAGAAAAAAAGACUCAGUUUUUUUAAGAAAAACUAAACAUAAUGAUUUUUUUUUUUAAUUUGGCUUAUAUAGGCGAGGCUAAACGACGUCGUUUAAAGCUGGCUUCAAUAGCCCCAAAACGACGUCAUUUUGAAACAUGACCCGAAUACAAACAGGAUCCGCAUGUUUUCUUAAGAAAGGGUCUAAUUUUUACUUCAGUCCUUCUGCUUUUUAAUUGAUUUUCAAUCUAGUCCUAUUUCUUUUUUUUUAAUUUUUGCCCAGUGAUUUUGUUUCUUUUUAGUCCCUCAUGGAACGGUGUGUUUGCGGGCCUGGGAAUAAUUUCCUAGUUGGUCCGUCCUUGUAAUACCCCAAAAAUUACUACAGGAAUAAAGUAAUAUAGUAUCCUUGAUAUAGUAAAAUCAGGAAAUAAAGUGACAAAAAGGGAAAUUUUGAGUUAUGUCAACAUUGGGAAGUAUAUUAUGACAUAUUAAUGCAAAAAAAGAUUAAAUCGCAAAAGUGAGAAAAGUUUUGUUGCCCAAGAGUAAAUACUCAAAAAUUGAGGGGUUAAAGUGUAAAUAUAAAAAAGUUCAAAGACCAAUAGUGAAAAUAUUUUAAGGGUGGAAUGAUAUAGAAAAUAAGGAAAAUGGAUGAAUUAUGACCAAAUUGAAUAGGUGAAGAAUUAUGAUGGACUAAAUCAUAAUUUUACCAAAUUAAGUGAUGACUCAAUGAUGGAAUUUUAAAAGAUCAUGAAGGGCAAAAUGGUCAAUUAGAAAGAGAGAGAACUCUAAAAGGUAAUGAUGAUGUUGGUGAUAUUUUUAAUUAAUUAAUUAGAUAAAUGUUAUUUAAUUAAUAUUUUAUUUAGAUUUUUAGUAUUAUUUUCUUUAUAAUUUGGUUAUUUUACCAAAAAUUCACCAUUUUCACUUAGAAAUCAAAAGAAUUUCUAUAGCUACCAAGANNNNNNNNNNNNNNNNNNNNNNNNNNNNNNNNNNNNNNNNNNNNNNNNNNNNNNNNNNNNNNNNNNNNNNNNNNNNNNNNNNNNNNNNNNNNNNNNNNNNNNNNNNNNNNNNNNNNNNNNNNNNNNNNNNNNNNNNNNNNNNNNNNNNNNNNNNNNNNNNNNNNNNNNNNNNNNNNNNNNNNNNNNNNNNNNNNNNNNNNNNNNNNNNNNNNNNNNNNNNNNNNNNNNNNNNNNNNNNNNNNNNNNNNNNNNNNNNNNNNNNNNNNNNNNNNNNNNNNNNNNNNNNNNNNNNNNNNNNNNNNNNNNNNNNNNNNNNNNNNNNNNNNNNNNNNNNNNNNNNNNNNNNNNNNNNNNNNNNNNNNNNNNNNNNNNNNNNNNNNNNNNNNNNNNNNNNNNNNNNNNNNNNNNNNNNNNNNNNNNNNNNNNNNNNNNNNNNNNNNNNNNNNNNNNNNNNNNNNNNNNNNNNNNNNNNNNNNNNNNNNNNNNNNNNNNNNNNNNNNGGCUUUAGUAGAACCUCUUCCUCCGGAUGGUAUUUCAUCAUCACUGAAGAAGAUAAAAUUGUCAGCACCAAUAUUGUUGAUCAGCCGAUCCAGCUUGUUUACCGAAAUAUCGUCAGCCACAUAUGUUUCGUUUAGCACCUUUAAUAGUGCAUUCCGAUGUACUUCUGAGUUUAAGAGUAAAGCUAAUACAGAAAUGCGGGCUGGCUGUUUGUGCAGUUGCUCCGCAACACUGUAUUCACUGUGUUUCAAAACUUCAAAAACUCCUUUGCCUCCUCUUCUUUUAUUGGUUCAUUUACCAAUGGUUCAACUUCUACUGCUUUCCCUUUCCUCUGUUCUUUCUUCCAAUUCUCUUCCCUGGACGACUCUGCUUGAGCAUCAUAUCUUUUUCCAUUGCGCGUGUAAGAACCUAUUUCCUGAUUUCUUUCUGCUUCUUUUCCCAAAAUGGUCACAUUGCACCGUAAUUCCACGGCACCAUUUUGUUAUCCCUAUAAGAGAAAUUUGAUGGUUUCUGGAUUACAAUUUUUGGUGUUACCUGAGCCCUAACCUCAUUACCCUUAGGGCGUGAGAUAAUGACCACAGGAUGAUUUAUUUUUGGAGCCUUUGUUCCCAACUCUGUCGCGCAUAUGCUCCUCAUUUCUUUCGCAUCUUCGUAAAACCUCAUCUCCUUGUUAUCCAUCAUGCUUUGAACCAAAGCCUUAAAUCCUUCACAUUCUUGGAUUUCGUGCCCUGUUUUAUGGUGAAAUUCACAAUAAUUUCCCAUCUCAUGCCCUUCCUCAGAAUCUGAAAUAACCAAACCUCUUUUCGCCAUUUCUUUCCAGACCCGUUUCAAUGGAGUUUUUACUUCAGCAAUGUCAGUCUUGACUUCUUCUCCCGUACCUUCGCUAACCAUAUUCACCCCCUUAUCUGCGUGAUUAGGUAACGGAUUCUUUGCGUUAGGUGAGUCGUCAAGUUUGACAACACCUAAAUUGAUAAGUCCUUCUACUACCUUCUUGAAGGCCGUACAAUUUUCUAUCGAGUGCCCAGAAAUUCCCGCAUGAUAAUCACAUUGCGCGUUCGUAUCAUACCAUUUUGGAUACGACUCAAGUAACGCAACAACAUGUGCAUCGAAUAAAGUCUGAUACAACUCCUUGUAUGACAUCGGGAUUGGCGUGAAUUGGGGCUUUUCAGUAGUUUGCCUAGCUCCCGACUCUUGUCUUGAUGAUCCCUGUUGAUUAGCAACCACUUUCUUUGGUUGAUUCACGGUAAUUGACCUACCAUAAGCAUUCACAUUAUUCACUUCAUUUUCUCUUUUCCUCAGGGGUGCCCUCCUAUUAUUUCUCUCCAUCUUAUUUUUCCACUUUUAAUGGCCUAUGCUCAAUCCUUUCAACGUUCAUGAUUAUAUCCGAGAAAUUUUUUGAAGCGCUUCCCAACAUGUGAGUGAUGAACGGGGCUUUCAAAGUAUUAAUAAAAAGCGUCGUCAUCUCUUUUUCCAAAAGCAGUGGUUGCACCUGAACCGCCACCCUCUCGCCACCUCUGCGCAUAUUUCUGAAGCUUUCGUUCGAUUUCUUCUCUAAAUUUUGCAGAGUUAUCCUGUCAGGUAUCAUUCUGAGGACAUGAUUGUAUUGUCUCAGGAAAGCCUGUGCUAAAUCCCUCCAAGUAGCAAUUUUAGCUCGGCUCAGCUGAUUGUACCACUUUGACGCCGCUCCCGUAAGACUUUCCUGAAAGCAAUGUAUUAAUAAUUGAUCAUUAUUAAUAUGCCCCGUCAUUCUUCUACAAAACAUAGUAAUAUGGGAUCCUGGGCAACUAGUCCCGUUGUAUUUCUCAAAUUCCGGCAUCUUAAAUUUGUAAGGGAGCACCAAGUCCGGAACCAAGCUCAGAUCCUUUGCAUCUAUUCCAUAGCUUCGAUGCUUUCUAUUGCCCUAAACUUCUCUUCUAUCCAUUUCCAUUUCUCCUCAAAUUGUUUUGAAAAUUCCUCCUUCGCCUUGUCCUUUUCAACCAUCUCGUAAAGAUCUGGGACAGCAAUAUUAUUCGGGCUAUCACCGGGAUUAAAGCCCGCUCCGGGUUGAAAAUUCAUUGGGAUUGAAGCAUCGCCUUGGAACUGCUGGGGCCUAACCGACACAGAGGGUCUCCGCGGAUGCAGCUCAGUCUGUACUUGCGCAUGCGGAUGCGUGAAACCUAGAGGAUAAAGUGGUUCACCAUUGUUUUCUUCUUCACUAACAAUCACAGGACCUUUACCCUUAUCUACUCCCUUCAAUAAUUGCGUCAUCUUAGCCACCAGAUCAUUUUGGGACUCCUCCAUCUUUUGCACCAUGUCACGCUGAAUCUUUUCUAUUUGCUCUUUCAUUUGCGCCUGCAACUGGUCUUGCAUUUCUUUUUGAAGUCGCUCUAGCUUCUCCAACCUUUGGUCCAUAAUUUUUGUCUUAGCUCGGGUGCCGUAACUUUGUUGGUUUUCCAGGUUAACUGAAAUGAUUUUAUUCGAUUAGGUUUUUAAUGGUCAUUAAUGCAUAUGAUGUGAUGCAAUGCAUGAAAAGAAUGCAAAGAAAAAGAGGCACUGAUUCUAAUUCAACUUCAUUAGAAAACUUUACUAGAUAAAGAGUUUCUUUACAUAAAAUAGACUACAUAUAUGGCUUUGCCCUUACACUCAAAGCCUUAACCUUUCUAAGAAGCCAAGCUAACUCUCGGCCCCUGUUCGACACUAACUCAUACUUCAAACUUAAUAGAUCAGCCUGAACCGCUAGAGUUUACAGAUGAUCAGCUACUUCGCGCACUUGAGUCACCGCCUCUCCCAUAAUAUAAUCUCUUUCUCCAAUCUGCUCUUGAGACCGACGGAAUUGUCUUUGCCACUGCUCAUUACUUUCUUCCAGAAGCUCUAUCUGGAUUUCACUAUUUUGCAAUGCAUUCUCUAGCCCUCCUAUUUGUCUUUUUAAUCUUCAAUUUUGUCUAAGCUCGCCCUUAAUUCAACCGUAGCAUUACGAUUACAGUACUGGUGAAGCGACCUUUCUAGUUCAGUUAUCCGGACCUUCAACUCCGUCUUCUCGUCUUGGCAAACUAGUAGACUCUUUCCCAAGGCGACUUCUCGAGCCCGAGUAUCCUGAAAUUUCUUUUCCCAUUGAUUAGCUUUCAUCUUUUCCUCCUGAAUUUCUUGUCGCCAUUGUUCUGGCGUUUUACCCAAGCCAGCAGCUCUUACCGACCUACGCAACUUCUUGUAAUCUGUCUUCAGGCUGUCCAAAUCUUCUUCUGCUUUGUUCUUUCCUUUUCUCAAUUUAUCGGCCUCUAACCUUUGAAUGUCCACAUCCAGUCCUAACUGCAUUUUUUCUUCCUCUAGUUGUUCUAUUUUCUUCCCCAAUUCUAAACUCCUUUUUUCAAAUUCUUGUUUGAUGAUUUCUAUCUCAGAAGGCAAAACUUGUAAAUGUUCCUCCAAAGAUCGAGCAGUUUCUGGAUUUGACGCCGGGAUGUUGUCGUUGAUCCUUUGAUCACGCCACCGACCAUACUCGGGGGUAAUUGUCGGACCCACGGCUAAGAUCUUCAUUCGACGAGUCUGGUUCCAGGCACUAGAUAUUUCCCGAACCUUCUUCUUGUAAUUGUCCUCCCUAUAGGAAAAAUCAUAAUAGGCCAACCCCUGCGUUGCUGGUAUGAAUUAUCGUGAUCUAUACUGUCUUGAUACGAAUAGAGGAGCAUAUCCGAUAGCUCCCCAUAUCCCGAGCAGCGGAACCCAGUCAAAAUCUCCACAUUGGUACAAUAUCUCAUCAGGAAUUAACCAAGGAGCCCUCCAUUCAAUAUCUUCAUCCUGGAGAUUCUGGAGUAUCUCUAUCCAUUUUUCUUCUGAAAUAUCAUCCCGUCUUGGCGUGGCCACCAAUUCUCCUAGAGGGGAGUAGCUAUCAGAGAAUACCCGAUAAGAGACCUUUUCGACUUUCCAGAAGUGGCUAUGGAACCAUGCCAAUAAAAGCUGCGCGCAUCCAAUAAACCUUCUCUCCCCUGCUUUUCGACACGCAUUCAAGGAUCUAAAAGUUUCAGCGAGUAUUGCCGGAACCGGCGUAACCCCUUUACUAAGCCGAUCAAACAAAUCAGAUACAGCCUCGUCUAUGUGUCCUAAAGCUUUGGGGAAAACCACUAGUCCAUAGAUACCUAAAGCGAAGACAUCGACCCUUUUCUUUAAGUCAGGAUGUACAAGCACCAAAUCUCGCAAACUUUUCCAAGGAACACAAUUACUGUUGCCCUUCUGUUGGAUCCGGGCAGCGACCCACUGCUCGCUCAUCCCAGUGAUGUUCAUUAAUUUCUUUAACAACGGAGGGACACAAGCAGCUCUGGAAUAAGCCUUGUCGACUUGAAUCUUUGGGCACCGAAGCAAGGUCGUAUACUCCUCCACAGUAGGCGUCAAAUCUACCUUCCCAAAAGUGAAACAACUGUAGGCAGGAUUCCAAAACUGAGCAAGGGCUCGGAAUAAAUACUUGUCCACUUUGACACUAAGCAGAUAAGGUAGGUCACCGUAGUUACAAUAGAACAGCUGCUUGGCCUCGACAUCCCAUUGAUCCCAGACUUCUUUCAUUUCUCGAAGGUCAUUCUGGAUUACACUGAUACGGGUAAAAUCCCACAAUUCUGACACGUACCCUUCGGUAAGACUAUCGCCUUUCUCCCGUUGUGUCGUUUCAGCCCAUAUUCGCACAGCCGCAUUAUCCUCUACUUUAUCAACAAACCCCUUUUCCAUGAUAAGCUUUCUACCAAGAAACUGAACGUAAAUCGACACCUCUUUUAGAAUGAAGAUGCCAUGCAAUCACAAACAAAGUAAAUUAGCAUUAAACACAGAAUAAGAUUUAAAAUAAGCGACAAAUAAAUACAACAUUCAUUUAGGUAAGCACUAAAAAUUUGGAGUAGCUCUACCUAGGUCAGUUCCUAUGGCUCAUUACAUGUGGUUUGGUUCUAAAGUAGGGUACCUGAACCAGCAAAUUCCUCGAUCCUCACCCAUUAUAGGCUCAUACGGACCAAGUUCGAUUCAGGGGGAUACAUUUCCCUAUGGCCAUGCGGAGAUGAAAAUCUCACGAAGACAUAGGUACGGAUAUAUCCCGAAAGCGAUUCACUAUCCCAUGCGGAGGUGAAAACCUCACGAAGGCGUAGCUUCUCACUCCCACCUAAAAAGGUGUGACCAACGGUCAUGCAAUGCAAUGCGGAAAGAUACCAAAAUUUAAACAAAUAGAGCAAUUAUAAACCCCAAUGAUGAUGAUUAUGAUAAAGACAGAUAAAAUGCGAUGAAAGGAUCGUAAUUUUAAACCGAAUUUUCAAUUUUUGACAAAAGACAAAAAGUAAUCACCACGUGGCUUGACCCUCUUAUCGGUGUCCCCAGUGGAGUCGCCAAGCUGUUGGCGCCAUUUUUUUUGAUGAAAACGGGGUCGACUUGGGUUUUGAAAAAUGAAACGGGAGUCGCCACCAAUCCUUUUUUAUGAGGUGUGAUUGGAUCACCUUGAAAAGUGGUUGUUUUUAAUAAACGGUUUAGUUUUAUUAAAACAACGAUUUUGGUCCACAAAAUUCAAAAAAAUGGGUUCGGGAGUCGGUUACGCACGAGGAAGGAUUAGCACCCUCGAUACGCCCAAAAUUGGUACCUAAUUGAUUACUUAAUGUCUUAAUGUCGAAAACUUUGAAGAACUUUAAAAAAUACGAUCCUUAUAUUAAAAUAAAAAUUUUUGGGAAAAGUAGCAUAUUUCACGUUAAUCGAGAAAGAGAAUCAUAUCCAGUAAGUUAGGAUACAAUGUCUCAAAUUCCCAACACGCAAAUGAAAAAUGCUUAUUUAAAAGAUAUUUUAGCCAUCUCGGAUUUAAAAAUGAGAUCACGACCCGUAAGUUAGGACGCAAUUUUUUAAUCCCGAGAUCAUUUAAAAUUUGAGUUUAAAAAGAUUCGUCAUUUAGAUUUAUCGUGAAAAUCGAAACCCAGUAAGUUAAGAUACGAUCCUCUCGAAUCUAAAGACGAAAUAUUAUUUAUUCAAAACAAAUUAUGUUAUGUCGAGUAAAAUAAAACACUAAAAUCGUAGUAAAAAAAUGUGAAAGCAAUUUGCAUUGUUGUUAUUCAUGGCAAAAUCAUAAUGAAUACAAAAGUAUAAAAUGAUAUGAGCAAUAGCAACAAUAAUAAAUAAACGUUAGUCCUACAAUCAUAUAAAAUAACAAUGUAUAUAAACAAAUAAAUCAAAACUUUCAUUCAAAAUAAUAAUAAAAUGAAAUAAAUAGUGAACACAAAUAAAACGUAAAGGAAUAUAUAUAUGUAUAGAAAUGUAAAUUAAAAUAUGUGUGUAUACGUAAGUUACAAAAUAUAUGAAAUAUAUAUAAAGUAUAUUUUAAAAUAUAAAGAAAAAAUAAAUAUGUAUGAAGUGUAUGUAAGUAUAUAAAUAUGUAUAUAUAAUAAAGGUGUAUGAAAAUAUAUUUUAUAUACAUGUAUUUAUAAAAAAAUGCAUAUAGAUAUAUAUAGAUGGUUUUAAGCUAUGAAGUAUGAAAAAUAUGUACAUGUAUGAAUUAUAAAAUAUAUAAAUAUGUACAUAUAUAUAUGUAAAAAUAUGUAUUUAUAUAUUUAUAAAGGUUAGAAAUAUGUACGUGUAUUAUAAAUAUAUAUGCAUAUAUAAAUAAAUUAUAAAAUAGGUAUGUUUAUAUGUAUAUAUAUAUAUAUUACAAAAAAAUGUGUAUAAGUAUAUGUAAAAAUAUAUAAUAAUAUAUGUAUAUAUCUAUAAAAGCAAUUAUAAUAAUAAUAAUAAUGCAAUAACAAUAAUAAUAUAAAAUUUGUAAAGAAAAUAAACAAAUCACUAAAGGAUUAGAUUAAACAUUAAACAAGAUUCGGGGGGUUCAAAGCGCAAAUAAACGAAAGGGGAGGGAUUGCUCUGAACACGCAUGUAACAUGGAGGGACCAUCAAAGAAAUUACCCUUCCUUUAAAACGGCGUAGUUCGAGUAAGGACGAAGUUGAAAAUACGAAAAAAUUUUGGGUAAAUUUAAAAGAUCAAAAGAACCUAAUUUAAAAAGCAUUAAAAAAGCGGAAGGGCUAAAGGUGCAAUUAGCCCUUCCGUCAAAAACACGCGGAUCCCUAGAUCAGACGGGUCGGGUCGCGGGUCGGAUCUCGGUUUAGACGCAAAACGGCGUCGUUUGAGGCCGAAUGAAACAGGCCAAAACGACGCCGUUUCAUUUAGGUAUUUAAACCAAUUUUUGUUUAAAAAAAUCAUUCAGCCCCAUUCCCCUUUUUUAAAAAAACUAAAAACUUCUCAGUUCUCUCUCCCUCUUCCCCUUUCUUGAUCUCGGGUCCGGCCGAGGGCCACCUUGUCGGCCGUCGGAUCGCCGGUGCCAGUGACGCCGUACACGGUGGCCGGCGAGUGGAGAAAGGCGUUGCCCUUAGAGAUGCCUAUCUCCUAAACCCGAAUCCGGCCUCAAAAUGACCAAAAACGAAUGGGAAAAGGCUGUUAGGCUUCUCUACAGUCGGUUUCCUCACCGGAGAAGGAGUUUCCGACGAGGAGGAAACAGCGACCCGCGGUGAGUCUCUUUUUUCUUUAUUUUAUGUUUUUUAUUUCGUUUAAAAAAUCAAAAUAAAAUAAAAUAAAUACAACGAAAAAAAGAAAAAGUAAAUAUUGCAAUCGAAAACCCAGGGAAUCACCUUGAAGCUUGAUAUUUUUUAUUAUUCUGUUGAAAUUUGUUUUCUUGGUUACAAAUCGAAAAAAGAAAAAGAAGCCCUUUUGAUUUUUUCAAUCGGCCUUAUAUAGCCAAACUACAAAAUAAAAAAUCUCCUUUUGCUAUCCGUAUUUGCUGUUGCUUGUUGGUGUUUGUUGCAGGUACUGGCGGAGCAGUUGGAGCAGGUGAGUCGGUGGCAAGUGGGCGUGGUGACGGCUGUGAACAGAGGGCAGGUGAGGAGGCCAGGAGCAGGUGCGGCACAACAGGGGGCUAGGGUUUCUGCUAGGUGUUUAUGUUUUGGGCUGAUUGGGUUAGGCUAGUUGGGCCUGGGUAGUUUUUAGGUUAAAAUUUGUUAUUGGGCCCUGGGUCAAAAAUUGGGCUUGUACAAUAAAAUUAUUUUUAAAAAAUAAAAAUUAUUAAAAAAUACAAAAACAAUAUUUUUAAUAGUUUAGAGAUGAAUUAAAUGCUAACAUGUCAUCUACUCAGCAAUCCACAUGUAUAACACGUCAUGAAAGUUAAUAAACAUUUAUUUUUUCAUCCACUCUGGAGUGGCUUGACAGAAAAUGUAAAUUCAAGUGUUAAAAGAAGCGAAAAUUUUAAUGGAGGGCUAAAAUGACUUGUUUUGUGAAGUUGGAGGGCCAAAAAAUAAUUAUGCCAAAACUAAAUGAUUAAUAGAAAACAAGGGGAAAUUUGCAUGCAUCUAUAUAAUUUUAUUUCAAACCAUUGUCAUUAUCUUGAGAUAUACAUUGGCAAACAUUCAUUGAAUAUACCUUGGGAAAAAAAAAUACUACAAGACAACGAAAUUAAAUAUCAUAAUCAAAUGUUGAAAAUGAAUGAUAAGAAAUUUAAAUUAAAAAUCAAACAUAGUAGGCUUGAUGUGCAAGCUAUCUGCAAUCUUUUUUUUUAAUUGUUUUAUUAUAUAGAUUUUAAUAUUUCUUACGUCUUUUAUCAGUCAAUUUGAACUGAUGCAUUCAUUUGUUUCAUUCAUAUGGUGUUGGAUCACAUUAAAAAAUAUAUACAAUUAAUUAAUCAUUUUUAGCUUAAUAAAAAAUAUAUAAUCUUGAUUGGUAUGAGUAUUAUUAUUAAUGUAAGAGGAUCUAGUUUUAAGUGUGCUUAAGCGCAUUAUCCUCCUAUUUAUGGGUUGAGGAGGGGUUAUGGGUAAUUUUAGGCAUUAUGUCAAAAAGAGCAUAUAUGAUCAGAACUUGUAAUGAAAUUAUUAAAAAAAAUGUAUAAACAUAAACAAUUUUGUUUACAUAAUUUUUAGAUAUAAAUGAGCUUUGGAUUCAAAUAAUUUUGUGUUGCUUGAGGUUUUCGGAUCUAUUUACUCUCAUUUAAGUUGUAAAGUUUUUACGAGAGGUAAAAUGUAAUUUCAUUAUUUUAAUAGCUUACGUCUUUAUAAUUAAUUAAAGGUUAAAUCAAAAUUUUAUUAUUUUUGAAAGCUAAUGUGUGAUUUUUACCAUGUAGUAAUUUUUAUAAUUUAUAAAAUUUAAAACACUAAAACAUAAACUUACCAUUUUAGGGUGCAGAGCCAGCCCCUAUAUUUUGAAUUUGAAGCAAUUUAAGUUUAAAUUUGUAAUUUUUUAUGAUUAAAUAAAAAUAAAAUAAGCUUUAUUUUAAAUUGAUCAAGUAAAAUUUAUCAAGUCAAAUUUUGAGUUAGAAAUCAAAAUUGUGAGGUUUACCUAUAUUAAGAAAAAUUAGCUACUAAAAAAUUGUUAAUAUAUAAAUUUGUGUGUUGGCUUGUUGGUCAGGGUAUUCAUCGCCCCAAAUGUGAUUUGGGUUCGAGUCGCGUUACUGUUAACGUUUUGUCAUCCUCUUGUAAUUUACUAAAAAAUUGUUAAUAUAUAUUAUAUAAAGAUAGUAAACUGUUGACUAACAUAAUGUCAUCAUUCAUAGAGGAAAAAAAAAGGCACAUUGAUCAUAUUUUCAGCCAUCCAUAAAAUAGCAGUAAAAUAAUUGACUUGAGAAAUAACACAUAAAAUCAUAUGAUAUAUUUGAUACACUGAGAGCAUUGAAGAGUCAUUUGAAUCAUCGUAAAAGACAAAGUAGACAAUUCAGUGACGAAAUUCUCAAUAUAUAUAACUACGAAAUUCCACACAAAAUUGUGAAAACAACGAAAAAUAUCUAAUAAAAAUAAACCAUUCAAACAAGACCGCUUGACUCUUUGAGUAAUGAAUUUUUUUUCACAAUUAAUUUAACAUGUUUUUCCAAUUUGAAUAGUAAACACUAUAGUUGCAAUUCAGUCAAUACUAGAAAUUUAUAUUUUAAACCCAUCGUUUAGAAUAUUCCAUUUUUUACAUUGGAAAUAACACAAAAGAUUCAAAGGAAAAAUAAGCAAAUUUCAUCAAAGGCGUCUAUUUGUAAUGGAAAAUUUAUAAUGUGGAUCCUUGUAUUAUAAACUAAAGAACAAAUUAACUCCUUAAGUAUAAAAGUGAGCAAUUUAGUCCUUUAGGUCUUUUCUCUUUUUUCUCCAAGCCGUUUGUUUCUUCUUUUUUGUUUUGCGUAGCAACGGUGGCAAUCUCCGGGCUGGCUACUGCCCACCUUUUGCUCCCUCCAUUCCAUAUGUUUUCUCUCUUUUCAAUUGAUACAUCUAUUUUGUAGGUAUCUUUGUUGCCUUCACAUGUUGUGAUGGACAGAUGAUGAUGCCUAUCGUCGCUGAAAUUACCCUGGCCAUCAACAGUUUCUCUAAGAAAGUGGGUGACUUUUAAUUGGCUCUUGAUCUAUUUUUGUUUGGAGAGUAUUUUAGAAUAAUAAAUAAUUUUACGAAUCAGUUUGGACCUCUAGUAUUUUAAGUCGUCACCAUUCAUUCCAUGAAUGGAAUCAUAUCAUUUAUGUAAAAGAUAAAACUUAAACAUGUCUUUAUAUUUGUAAAAACUUAACAAUAAGAAGGCUUGACUAUUUGAAUAAGUUAUUUUUCACAAUAUUUUCAAUUUGAAUUGUAAGUACUCCAUAGUUGUAUGAUUCAGUGAAUACUAGAAAUUUAUAUUCAAAACCCAUCAUUUAAAAUUUUCUGAUACAUUAGAAUUGAGAAGAAAAAUAUUUAGAGUAAGCAAAUUUCAGCAAUGGCGUCUAUAUUUAUAAUUGAAAGUUAUCAAUAAAAUUAAUAUCUUAUUUCUUUUUAAUAUUUUAUUGUGCAUGCGUAGUUUUACUAAUGGCAUUGAUAUCCCAGAAUUAAAAUAUUUCCAACAAGCAUGUGCUCUAUUGAUUGACUUUAAAGUCUCUAGAUUUUUAAAAUGAAUUUACUAAAAAAAUGAAAAAAAAUUAUUAGAAUUAAUUUUUAUUAAUUGAUAAUAAACUUAUGAAUAAUUAAGUAUUACAUUUUUAUUAAUUCCAAAUCAAACUUCUUUUUUUUAUAUAAUACCUAAAACUACUUAUAAUCCCUUCCUAAUCCUUAAAUAAGAAAAUAAUGUGUUUCAACAUAUUCAAACCCACAUCUUCCUGCACUGACAGAUUAUAUAAAUUUAAAUAUUCAAUAUAUAUAUUUCUCUAAAACUGACAUGUUGAAAAAGGAAAUCACAACUAUAAAACAAUCAUCUUCAAAGUUUCAAUAAUAAAAUAAGUAUAAUACAAAUUUAAUGAUAAAUUCAUGAUGUGUUAGGAUAUAAAACUAAUAUUUUAAAAAAACGAUAUGAAAUUAUAAAUUCUAUUGUGAUUAUAGUAUAUUUAUAAAUGAAUGUUGGGAUAAUUAUAAAAUGGAAUUAAAUUAAUAUAAAAUACAUUAAAAAUUAAAAUAAUUAAAACUAAAAUUGAUUCAUUGGACAAAAAUAUACACUUAACAACGACGCAUUAUAAAAGUAAAGAUCUAGAUAUGAUAAUUGCAUAUAAUAAAAUUUAAAUAUAAAUAUAAAAUACUUAAAAAUUUCAACCAACAAUAUCUUCGUUAAAAUUAUAAAUUCGCUUGAUUAUUUUCCUUUGAUUUAACACAUCUUCUUUUGGUAGCCGUCUGUACCUGACUCGACCAGUUAACCCACAAAACAUUUUACAUGUACAAUAAUGACACAAUUUCGCUCAGGCCUAAUUUACAUAUAAAUACAAAAUUACAAAUCCAAAUAAAAAUAUUACAAGCCCAAAUGUAAAAAGGAAGCCCAGUGGCCCAAAAAACUUAAACAUUUUCAGAAGGACAGAAACCUUAGCCAGCGCGCCGCCCUCUCUGCUUUGCCAGCGGUUUCGUUGCCUGAGGUUUGACGCCUCAUCUGCCAGUUGUCGCCAUCGACUAGGGACACUUGCAAAAAAGGAAGAACAAGGACAGAAGCACAACACCCAAGAAAAAACAGUAGAAACAGUAGAAAAACAGUAAAAAAGAGAGUGUAAUUCGACUAUAAAAGCCAUGACUUUUAUGUAUUUCUUUACAAGAAAAAAAGGAAUAAAAAACAGAACACAAAGAAAACAUUUUUAAAGGUGAUUUUCUUCAUUUUUUUAUCUGUUAUUUUUAGAAAAAAAACAUAAAACAUAAAAUCAAAAAAACUUACUGAGCCGUUUCAUGUUCCACCGCCGCGAGUAGACGAGGACACCGUCCGCGAUGACGGACGGCUCCCUUCGGUGAGACCUCCGAGUCACUUCUGUUUUGUCUAAGGACCACGGCGGAGAAAACCAAGGGGUUGUUCAGAUUUUUUUUAAUUUUUUGUUGGGUUUUGGAAAGUACUGACCCCGGAUUCGGGCUCAAGAAGCCGUAACGGCCAAAAAAUGGUUGCUUGUAGAUUCUAGCCACCGGGAACAGUGAAAUCAUCGCCGGCGCCAGGGGCAAACGUGGAAAACCGAGAGAGAAAAAAAGACUCAGUUUUUUUAAGAAAAACUAAACAUAAUGAUUUUUUUUUUUUAAUUUGGCUUAUAUAGGCGAGGCUAAACGACGUCGUUUAAAGCUGGCUUCAAUAGCCCCAAAACGACGUCAUUUUGAAACAUGACCCGAAUACAAACAGGAUCCGCAUGUUUUCUUAAGAAAGGGUCUAAUUUUUACUUCAGUCCUUCUGCUUUUUAAUUGAUUUUCAAUCUAGUCCUAUUUCUUUUUUUUUAAUUUUUGCCCAGUGAUUUUGUUUCUUUUUAGUCCCUCAUGGAACGGUGUGUUUGCGGGCCUGGGAAUAAUUUCCUAGUUGGUCCGUCCUUGUAAUACCCCAAAAAUUACUACAGGAAUAAAGUAAUAUAGUAUCCUUGAUAUAGUAAAAUCAGGAAAUAAAGUGACAAAAAGGGAAAUUUUGAGUUAUGUCAACAUUGGGAAGUAUAUUAUGACAUAUUAAUGCAAAAAAAGAUUAAAUCGCAAAAGUGAGAAAAGUUUUGUUGCCCAAGAGUAAAUACUCAAAAAUUGAGGGGUUAAAGUGUAAAUAUAAAAAAGUUCAAAGACCAAUAGUGAAAAUAUUUUAAGGGUGGAAUGAUAUAGAAAAUAAGGAAAAUGGAUGAAUUAUGACCAAAUUGAAUAGGUGAAGAAUUAUGAUGGACUAAAUCAUAAUUUUACCAAAUUAAGUGAUGACUCAAUGAUGGAAUUUUAAAAGAUCAUGAAGGGCAAAAUGGUCAAUUAGAAAGAGAGAGAACUCUAAAAGGUAAUGAUGAUGUUGGUGAUAUUUUUAAUUAAUUAAUUAGAUAAAUGUUAUUUAAUUAAUAUUUUAUUUAGAUUUUUAGUAUUAUUUUCUUUAUAAUUUGGUUAUUUUACCAAAAAUUCACCAUUUUCACUUAGAAAUCAAAAGAAUUUCUAUAGCUACCAAGAGAGAAAAAUAAUAAGGAGACAAUGGGGAACUAGAAUAUCAAGUUAGAUUCAAGAAAUAGAAGCUGGAGGAGAGAGAAAAUUAAGUUAAAGAUUGAAAUCAAUAGGACAAGGUAAGAACCUCAAAUUUCAAUAUAUUUUUUAGUUUGAUAUUAUUGAAAAAGUAUGAAAUUGAUGGCAAAGUAGAGUUUUAUUAUAUAAGAUUCUAUGUUCUUGAUAUUCUAGUGAAGGGAAAUAAGAGGAAGUGAUGGGAAAUAUUGUAGAGAAAGGAAAGAAGGGUGUUAUAAAUUUGGUUAUCAACAUUUUACACUAAAACAGUUUUGGACAACAGCAGUAGUCUGACUUUGAAAAUUCACCAAAAAACGUAGAAAUUGAAUUAGAGGUUAAUUAAAGUAUUAAAAUAAAUCCUAUUAAGUCUAGUUUUACAUGGAAGAAAUGAUGUAAGCAAAAGAAUUUCAUAUUAAGAGAUAUAUGAAUUUUUGUGAGACAGGGUCAGAUUGAUUUCGGGUUCCCCUGUUCUGACUUUGGAAAAUCAUCAAAAAAUUUUAAAAAAUAAUUAGGGGUUUAAAUUUAUUUUUUUAAAUUCUUGAUGAGUCUAUUUUCAAGAGAAACAAACAGAAACAUCAUCCAGACACCGUACUAAAAGAUAAUUAAUUUUUAGCAAGAAAAGGUCAAAGCUAUCAAACAGCAGAAUAUGGAUAAAUUUGAAGCAUUUACUGUACUUAUAGACUAAACUGUAAAUUCUAAAAAUUUUAUGGUGGAAAGAUAUUUGAGUCUAGUUUCAAAAACAUCAAUCAAAUCUUAAUUUAGAAUUCUGUAGCUCGAGAUAUAAAUAAAUUAUUGACCGUGAUUCAAGUGGACAGCUUUGAUAUGAACAUAAGUAAAUAGUAGAAUUAUAGAUAAUAUUACAUAUAAGCAUAAUAUAUACAUUAAGGAUGUGGAAUGGAGAGGAGGAGGAGGAGGAGGAGGAGGAGGAAAAUAUAUGAAUAUUCAACUAGCAUGAGUUUUCAUUAAAAAUGGCUAAUUUGCAUGUUUUAGGUUCAGAGACUAAAUUGAAUAAAAGUAAAAUUUUAAGGGUAAUUUUGUAAAAAUGUCAAAAAUGACCAAAUUGUAUGAAAUAAAUUUUUUUAUUAUUUAAAUUAAUAAAUUGAAUGAAAUAUUAAUUUAGAUCAAGAUUGAGUGGAAAAUCGAGGGAAAUGGAAAAUUACUAAAAUGCCUCUGUAUAUUGGUAUUUAUGCAAUUUGGGCUGGUAAGUUCGUAUGAACUAUAUUCUGUAUAAUUUUGAUUAAAGUGAAUGAUAUUUGGUGAUGGAUAUUAUAUAUAUGUGUGUUCAAUUGUUGGAAUUGAAUUUAAUACUCAGUUUGGAUUGAAUGCGGGAUUGACUACAAUCGUUCUGUGGCAAAGGAUGAAUUGACGGAUAAGACCAUAACUAGGUUAUGACACUAUGAACGUAAGACCAUGGUUGGACCAUGGCAGUGUUUUUAUGUAAGACCAUAGCUGGGCUAUAGCUUUCUAAUGAGACCAUAACUGGGUUAUGGCACCUUGAACGUAAGACCAUGGUUGGACCAUGGCAGUAUAGAUACAUGUGUAAGACCAUAGCUGGGUUAUGGCAUUCUAAUGAUAAGACCAUAAAUGGGUUAUGGCACUACAAAUGUAAGACCAUGGUAGGGCCAUGGCAAUGCAUGUGUAAGACCAUAGUUGGACUAUGGCACAAAAAGUAUAGCUAGACAAAAGAUUUUUUUUUUUUUUUUGCAUUUAAACUUCUGAAGUAUCUUUGAUGAAAGAGGUGGUGGAAAUAACGAUAGCUCCAAUGAAGAAGAAGACAAUGUCUUAUAUGACUCAAAAAUGGAAGUACCUAGGGAUGUUAAUACUAAAGUACUGAGAGCCAUUAAAGGAGAUUGGGUUUACAGUGAGUGUAAUUCACACCAACAUGCUAAGAACCACUAGAGGAAGUAAAUAGGUUUGGAGAUAUCUAGAGUUAUGAAUGAACUUAGACAAGGCUAUUAUGGAAAAUGAAUAUACCUCUUCUUAGAGAAAAAGGUAACUUUAUAUAGAGAUUUGUGUACAUCUUAUUGUGAUGGUGGUCUACCUCAGGCUCAGUUGUAAGGCCAAAAAAGCCCUGUUAGGCAAUGACAUGUGAUAGUGUAUGGAGUUUGUACUAAAGUUAUGGAGGGUCCUACUAGGAUGUGGUAGAAAGGACCUCUGAGUAGGCCCUAAUGAGACUCAGCACUGGGACUUGAUUUGACAAUGGCGCAUGUAAGGAGAUAAUUGAAAGCUUGAAUUUGGCAAGCCCUUUCAUGGGCGAGCCCUUCUAGAUAAAAUUGGUUGACUUAGGGCCAGAUUUUCAUUGCUUUUGAGAAGUGCUUCUGAGAAGUGCUUUUGAGAAGUGCUUUUUAGAAGUGCUUUUGAAAAAUUUGAGUGUUUGGCAUUGCUGUCAAAAAGUGCUUUUGAAGAAUAAAAUGUCCAUUUUAGACAUAAGAUUAUAAAGUAAUAAAUAUGUAUUUAAAUAAUGUUCAAAUUAGUUAAUAUUAUGGUAUUUUAGCAAAAAUAUAAAAAAAUAAUUUAUUAUAACUUAUUGUUAAUAUUUUAAUAUAUAAUAUCAAUUUUAAAUAUUUCUAAGUAAUUAAUAUUAAUUAUUUAGAAAUAUUUAAUUAGAAUAUAUAAACUAUAUUUAAAUAUUUAAAUAUAAAAAUUAAAUAUUUGUAAUUAGAUAUUUGAUGGGCUACUUUAACACUAAAAUUAAUCAAACAUAAUACUAUCUAACUAAAAUCUAAAAUCUAAUCACUAAAACCCAAUAUUAAACUUAGUAAUUCACUUAAAAAGAGCCUAAAACUAAGUGUGAAUUUAACUCUAAAACAUAUAUUAAUUAAACACCUAUCAAUUUCGUUCCAACUGUCAUUGUAAUGUAAUGUUAUAAUGUUUUUGUUCUAAUAUAUGACAAUGCACAUUGUUUAUCAUAUUUUUGUUCCGAUUUAAUGCACACUACCAUUUUAGUGUAAUGUUUGCCAAUAAUUGUUUCAAAAUGGUAUGAACUUUGGACCAAAAGAAUAAAAAAAGUUAUAUAAACAACAAUUCAAUAGAAAGCCGACAAAAUUAAUUGAAGUUGGUUCGAUUCGGUUAAUUAUUUUAACAGAAAAAAGGUCAAUUCAACUAACGGUUUAGUUAAUUAUAAUUCAAUUAACAAUGGAUCGAACUAACUAUUUCAUCACCCUUUAGAUUAAAUGUUUGAGAAUAUAAAACAAAAUACUUAGAAUUAUAAAAGAAAACAUAGUUUCAAUUGAACAAUUUAGCGUGCAAUGGAUACUAAGAUUCUAAUUUGAGGGUAAAAUAUGGAAUGCCCAUAUUGUAAUCUGUGGUGCUUUAUUAACUGCUGAUAUCUUUAACAACAUAAAGCUACAAUCCAGGGUCAAGGCGAGGCUUUCAAGGCAGCUUCUCCUAGUUUACCUCUGAGCAAGUGAUGGAUUGUAGGGUGCUCCCCAAACUGAGCUACGGACAGUUUGACUACCGGUUGCAACAAUAAACGUGAGGGAAGGUUAGAGCACAACUAGAUGGUUCUACUUUGGUUCUUAGUAUGAAUUUUCUGACAAAACUGCAAAUAAGCGGGAAAGGUUGCAUUAUUUCACAGGACAAGCUAGCCCAGCCUGAUGAUAAUACGUAAGUCGUGAAGAAGGUAGCCUGCAGACAAGAACAAUUUCAGUUAGAUGUAAUCCUGAAGAUACACAAUCACAUGCCAUAAAAAAGUGAGAAAAGCAAUCUGUCCUAUGUGAGUGCCUACAAAAGAGAGCGCUUAAUAGUGUAUUUCAUGCAUCUCAAUAGACCAAGGUAAAAUCUAAAUCUAAAUGCAUAUAACAACUUGCCAUGAAUGGAGGUGUUGAGGUUUUAUUAAACCAACAAUUGAGGACGCAUGGAAAGGUUACGUGGGUUGGCACUGCUCUGGCAAGUUGUUUAGGUGCAUCUUUAAAACUUGAGAAAACAGUCAAUUGCCUGAUGAUGGAUCCAGAAAGGACAUUAACAAAGAAAACAUUCCAAAUUGUGAAGUACAGAACUUUGAUGCAAGCACCCCAUUUCCUCUGACUACGUGAAAUAUUCCCCUCCAUUGUAGAAAACAACAUCAUGGUUGGUGGAACAGCAUACAGAAAUAAGAUUAGAAUCACACUUGGUAAGUAACCUGUUACCACCCGGUGUAUGAACUCCCUACAUAGCAGAAUAAACAAGAUAGAUUCACAAUGAGUGCCUGGUUCCUUCUCUUUUAAUUCCUUCAAGUUUCCACUUAAAAACAAUGAUAUUUGUCCUAUCUACAUGUAUUAAUACACACCAAGAGCUUGGGUGAGUUUAAUGCAGUUAAAUAGCAAUGACAUCACUAUAAUAAGUUGUAUCUGGCUAUUUAUGUACUCUAGAUUGUCUUUCAGAGCCUUCAAUCUAGACCUGUUCUCAGUAUGCGCCACAAGCAAUAGCAGAUAUAGGAGUAUUAACAGGGUUCACGAUUAUGGAUCUUUUCAUGCAGGUUUCUAUAUAGAGUUUGUUGCAUCAGGCAUCAGUCAUGACUGCAAUGUGAUAUGAAAGCAGCAUAAUUGAAAAAAAAAUAACAAGCUUAUACUGGUUUUGCAAUAGAGUUUGGGGAAUGAUACUCACUGUUUUUAAAUUCCUUUAAGAAAUGGAACUCUACGUGAUAGCUGGUCUAAGUGCUCUAGUUGAGUCAAGCCUUGCACAAAUGUAACAGGAAGAAGAAACAGGAAUUGAAAUGUUGAACCACUUCAAGAUGUUUUGAACUUAAAUUUGAGACUUAAUUACCUGAAAACAACUAUUCUCAUGAAAGCUACAGCAUCGUAACAUAAAUAGACUUAAUUACUCGGUUACUAACAUGAAAUUAAUUAAACAAAACAGCAACAGCAACAGACCCUUUAUGCUAACCGCAUUUCUUAAGAAAAAAGAAAUACCAAACAUAAAUAGAAAAAAGAAAGAAAAAAGAAGAAGAAGCAACAAAACAGCAACAACAACAGACAAGCUUUUUCUCUUAUCAGGGUACACAACAAACAUUCCCACAUUUCUUAAGAAAAAAGAAGAAGCAACAAAUGGAAUUGAUUGGGGAAGUUCAACAAACAGAAGGAGAGCAAAAUAAGACAAUGAGCAAAAUACCAAACAUAAAUAGAGUGUGUGCUUGGCUGCAUCUCUUUGAUCCCAGCUACUGUAAGCCUUUAUAUGUAACCAAAGCAAAGCACCGCCCCCACUUAUCUGACUCACCCACCCACCAGAACCUUCAGACCAUUUUGCAGACUUAUGAUAACACAGAUAAAAUAAAUCCUAAAGCCAAACAUGUGUAUGCCUUGUGAAAGUUACGGCACAAAAGAACAGAGUAUUUUAUAACAAUGAAGCAUGGCAAUCAAAUUCCAGCGAAAGAAAAUAUUAAACAGAAGAGGAACUAAUUAAACAGAAGAAGAAUUAUAAAAGAAACUCUCACCAGCGGAAGAGGAACAAAGAACAGAAAAUAGCUUUGAAAGCCGAAAAUGGGGAAAAGAAAUUGGGUAUAAAGCUCCAAUUUCACCAGCAGAGGGGAAAGAAAAUUUGGGGAACCAGCAGAGGGGAAAAAAACGUUUGGGGGAGAAUUUGGUCAAUAAUCAUCCAAAAGCAGUUAACGCUGAAGAAAAGGAGAAAAUUUUAGCUUCUCCAUCUAGAGAGAAGCACUUUUCUGAUGGAGAAUUUGUAAGAGAAAAGGAGGUUGUUCUUGGUUCCUUUUAAGAGAAAAGUGCUUUUUAGUGAAAAAGUGCUUUUCAAACGGGAAAAAGAACGGGCCCUUAGCGAGGUGUUUAAGUAUAAUAAUUUUCCUUUAAAAGUUGAGGAAGAGGUUAUAAAGUGGCUUUUCCCGAGAACUUUUUUUGGCGAGGUGCUCUCCUUUCGAUGAUGAUGUGAUGUGUUGUCUUUGGCAUGCCUAAAAAGGAGAUGUUGGACGGGUAGGUAUUUUGUUGGUGUACCUUUUUCAUGAUCUUAACAAGAUUAAAAAGGUGAGCUUAAGAGUCAAUUCUAAAGGGUGGGCUAGUAAUGGAAAGGCUUGAAUAGACAAAGGUAUGCUUGGCUAGGUGAGCUCGUUGAGGCAAGGCCUGAAAGUCUAUUUGAAAGGUGAACCUUUAUUGUAUGCAAUCUCGAAAGAUAAAGUUACGUUAAAGAAGAAAACAUCGUUGAAAGUGGAAACAACGGUGGUAGAUAGGCCAACAAAGAGGAAGAGCACGACAAGAUCACACUCCAAAGUUAUAGCGACAAAUUAGAGUAGAUUAUAUUUUCUAUUGCUAUAUAGUUAUUUCCUUUUGGGGGUUAAUAUUUUUCACAAAUAUUAUCUUUUUUUUCUUUUUAUUUUUUAUGGUUACUUCAUGUCGGGGAUAUAAUGUUUGAACGAGAAAUUUAUUACUUUCUUCAUUAUGUUAAUUAAUUUAUGAGUGGGGAAUUAAACGAAACGAUUUUUUCAAUUGAGUAUUUGAUUUCACAUUCUUCUCCAAUAAUAUCAUUCAAACAACUACUACAUUGAAAUAGACUAUUUAUUCUUUACAAUUACCUACAAAUUAGAUGAGUGUUAAUUCAUGUGGGCAUUUCAUAUUUGAUAUUAGUAAAUUGUAAAUUUGAAUAAAGGAAAACCUAUCUCUUAAGUGGUAAUUUUACUGGAUUCUUUUUACUAUUUUGAUCCCAUUUAUGAUAUUUGUUACUCUUCCUAUUCUCAUACUCUAUAUAUAUUCAUGAAUGCCAUUAAAUAAAUAAACAAUUAAAAGAAAAGAAAAUAUGAAACAGAAGAAAGCUUUUCUUGAAAAAAGAGCAGGACUUUGAUGGUAAAAAGGUAGAAAAAACUUCAUUGGAUUAAUAUAAGGUAGUGAGUACAAAUCUAAUCAAUUUGGACUUUUUCUUUAUAUGAUAUGUAUGAAUAUUAUAAAACAUUAUUACUUAAAAUUUAAUAUUUAUUCCUUAAGGAAAAAGCUUGAAGAGGAAAUUUUAAUAUAAUUUCAAACUGCGAUUGGUUCAAUCAGCAAUGAAGUAAUCCCACCCUUAGCUGCUUUUCCAACAUAUGUAUAGCCAUCUCCUUCACUGUAAAGCACAUCCAUCACCCUUGCAAGGUUUAGACUACGAUUUAAAACUUCUGUUGGCAUUUCUGUUGGUUUCAAAAACUCUUGAUUUACAUCCUUCCACGCACUCUCAACAUGCUUGUUGAAUACAUCAUAUGCCUCUUCUGCUGUUACGCCAUAUUCUUCC